rnacentral:lncRNA from 1 species
UCUUUUCUUCUAUUUUUUUUUAAUAAUAAUAAAUUUCCUUGAAAAGUGAUUACAUAACAAACAAGAGAGAGUAUGCAAGAGAGGAGGGGCUAGCUUUAAAUAUAUUUUAUAUAACAUAAGAAGUGAUUUGUACAUAUAAUUACAAGCGGACACAUAUACAUAUAGGCGCAGAAAAUAAGCUAGCUUAGACUGUAGGCUAGCUAUCCAAACCACUUCUACAUCUGAUAUACAUACAUAUUCUAUAUUACAGAGAGCUUCAUUAGUUAACUAAUUACUUAUACCAAACUAAGUUGGUAAUAAUUAGCGGCGAACCUUGGGGUACUCUCUUAUCUCUAUGCCCCCAAAUAGCAGGGCUGCGUCCUUGCUAUUAAGAACAGCCUGAUCAUUCCUAAGAGGAGCUGGUUGUCUCCCGGAACGAGCUUGUUGGUCUUGAGAAAAUGGAGACCUCUUGCUGGGCUGGCCACAGAACUUGUCUAGCAUGGCAAAAGCCUCCAUUCCAAGCCUUGCUAGCUCUUCUUGAGUUGCCAUAAUAAUAUUGCUAAAAUUUAGUACAAGCACACAAAACACAGAUGCACGAAGCAGGUCAGGUAAUUUGGUUUGCCUUUGUUUUCUUGGUAACAACGGUUUGCGGCCACGCCCCAUUAUGUAGGAGUUAAAAAGGCGAAUAUGGAAGAUUUUUUGUUGCUAAGAAUUUCGUGCAGGUUGACAGACGGAUAUGGUUGGUACAAAAAACAUUAAUGAAAAAUAGGAAUAAGCACAAAUUGUGGGAGGUGAAGAUAUUAUCUUCCUGAAGAGAUUGGAAGGAAUCAAUAUCAAACUUUAUCUGGGUUUACUUUCUUUGCUUGAGAGCUGCAAUGAUGGAUUUUUCAAAUAAAUAUUUCAACGUUUAUCUCUUCAAAAAAUCACACAAAUUGACAGGUGCACAUGCAUGUGAUAAAUACUCAAAUAAACUUAUUUGAGGGGUAUUUUUGUAGAGUUCAAUUGUAUUGUACGUAUUUCAACAAUUUGAACCAUCUAUAUCAUUGAUUAUAUAUCUUUAAACAAGCACCCGAAUUGAAUUUUGGGAGAUUCACUAUUAUACCCAAUAUGGGGGCCCAAAUUAUAAAAAUAUCAUAUAUAAAAUGGACUUUAGAAACACACCCAAAGCCCAUUUACAACAUAACAAAAAAGCUUUUAACUUCUUAUAAAUUACAAAACUGCCAUCAAUUUCUUAAAACAAGCCCAACCCCAAAAUCUCAUAAAAAUACCCAAAACACUCAAUAGGGCAUCAAAGUAAUUUAAUAAUCAAUAUUAAAUUCAAUAAGGCCAGCUAUCAUUUUUUGGGUUUUUUUUGGGUUUGUUUAUAGGAAUUCAAUUGUGUAGGGUUUAUUUAUAAUAUUAGUGCUAGAAAUGGGUAUAUCACUAAAUAUCUCUUGAAUUUUUUUCGAGUGCUGAUUUUCUCCCUCCUCUUUUGUUCACUUACACUCCAUUUUGUCUUUUUAAGGGAGUGUAAGUAGACAAAAGAGGAGUGAGAAAAUUAACUUCCUUUUUUUAAAACCAUUUGAUUGAAUAGUACAUAAUUUAAGUAUUUGUCUAUUUGUCUAGUCACAUUUACAAUUUGUUCAAUAUUUUAUAAGGAAAAUCUGUGAAUGAAACUUGAAAAUUAGAAAGUGGAUGAACCCUAGAAAGUGUCAAUAGAAUGAUAACCUUACACAUAUUUGUUUAUUUUAUAUAAAUAUCACAACAAACAUAGAAUAAACAGUUCUGCAAAACAACAUAAAACUUCUAAUACUCAACAAAUACAUACUUUUAGGAGUGCAUCUUAUUUAUGCAUAUUUUUCAAUAUCUUUUGUUUAUUCCUUCUUUCUUGUUAUUAUUAAAUUCCUACUUGUCUCUCAAGUAUUUUGAUUGAUAAUUACGUUGGUAUUUCCUUGGGACUCAAGUGUGAUUAUGCUUUGAAUUGAAAUAUAUAUUUUUGAAUAAAAAUCAGUCUUUAAUAGUGUAAUUAUCAAAAAUCUCAUUUUGAUUAGAAUUUUCCUCUUUUAUUGUUUUGGGCCUCACGUGUAAUCACCUUUAGCAUAGGAAAGUAUCUUUGUGAUUACUUUCAUGUCUUGCAAAUUAAAAAGGUUUUGUAGGUGGUUGGAACCGGGAUAUAGUAGAAAGAACUACGUGUGGCUUGAUCCUUUAGUAAGGGUACGUAGGUAGCCUAGAGUAGUGCCUAGGUGCAGCCGCGGCACUACUACAAAAAAGCAAAAAGACGACGGUAAAUCACCGUCGUUGUUACAAUAUACAACGUCAUCAACAAAUACAAAACGACGUCUUUGUACUGCAAAAAGAUCUAUAAAAGCAGUCGAGGAUGAGAAUAGACGACCAACUCUCUAAAAAAACCGUCGUUAAAAAGGAAAAAUAUGACACAUUAACAGAACAAGGCCGCAAUAUAGACAUACAACGACGAAAAUUUAAAAAAGACGCCGUUAAAUAUCAUUUUCACGACAAUAAAAAAUAUGACGUCUUUAAAUACAUUAGAAGACGACGUUAUUGAUACCUACUACGUCGCCUAUAUAAAAACAGCCGUCGUAAAAUAAAUUUUCCACUUCGAUUUUUCUAUAAAAGAUGACGUGGAAAUAGUUGUCAGUGUCAUUAUUUACGACGUAUGUAUUUAUAGAGUAGACGUUGAACAAGGAAACAACGUCAGUUACAAAUAUAUGAGAGUCGUAUUACAAAAUUUAUACGUCCUAUUUUCAGAAACAAACAACGACGAUAAAUAUUAGACGUUGUUAAAUAAACCAACGUCGAAAACAAAUAAAAAUAGACGUGUUUAGUCUGCUAAAGUUCUAAAAAAUAGUCGACGAUGAGAAUAGACGACCAACUCAAACAAAUCACCGUCGUUAAAAAGGAAAAAUAUGACACAUAUUAAAAGAACAAGGCCGCAAGAUAGACAUACAACGACGACAACUAAAACAUUACGCCGUUAAAUAUAAUUUUCACGACAAGAAAAAAUAUGACGUCUUUAAAUACAUGAGAAGACGACGUUAUUGAAAUAUACUACGUCUCUUAUUUACAAACAACCGUCUUGAAAUAAAUUUUCCACUUCGAUUUUUCUAAAAAAGAUGACGUGGAAAUAGUUGUCAGUUUCAUUAUUUACGACGUAUGUAUUUAUAUAGUUGACGUUGAAUGCGAAACAACGUCGGUGGCAUUUAUAUUGUCGACGUUGUAUUUAUAUGUAUUCAUUACUCACGACGCACUUAUUAAUAUAGACGACGUUGAACUUCUAAACAACGUCGGUUCCAAAUAAAUGAGAGCCGUAUUACAGAACAUAUAGACGGCGUUGAUUAUGAUGGGAGCCGUAUUACAAAUAACGUCGUUUAAUUGAUAUUAGACGGCGGUUAUAAUGAAUUACCGUCGGAAUUCUUUUCGUUCCUCUUCGUUUAUAAAAGAACUUGCGACAUGGAAAAUGUAUGAUGACGUCGUAUUUUUUAACGUUCAGAUUAUAUAUCUCGUUUUUUAGACGUCGGUAUUAUGGGAUUGGAGUCAUGUUAUUUUGAAUUACAUGGCGGUUCUUAAUCCUUUCCCGACGUGAUAUCCUGAAUAAUUGCUUCACAAUAGCGUCGUGGUUCUUCAUUGUUACGUUGCUUUAAGACGUCGGUAAAUAUGCUGAAUAACUGGUUCACAAUAACGUCGUGUUUUAUUUGAACGUAGAAAGUGAAGAAAUCACAUUACAAUAUAUUACAAAAUUAAUGUCAUACACUGCCAAUUACAUAAGCAUCAUUCAAUCCAUAUAUCUUCACACCCAUCUCGAAUAUUUUGACCGCCUAACUCACCCACCAGUUCAUCAAAUGUGUCAACAUUUGGCAUCCCUCUAGUAAAUGGCUCACACUCAAUUAUCACAUCACCUAAGACUUCAUCACCAAUAACAUCAUUAUAUUCUCUAUUAGGCAUUGAUAACACUACCGACUAACCACGAUGCAUCGGGUCGUCAACAAAAAAUAUUUGUUUGACUUGAGAAGCCAAAACAAAUUGGUCAUUCCUAUGUCCAAUUUUACUCAAAUCUACAAGGGUAAAUCCAAGUUCGUCGACUACAAGACCAGAACUAUCUAUCCAAUCACACCUAAAGACUGGGAUUGUAAACUUUUGGUAGUCAAGGUCCCAAAUUUCUUGAAUGACACCAUAGAAACCCAUAUUUGAGAGAAUUGGGUUUUUAUCCUUGGCACUAGCAACUUGCAUGGUAUGUGCAAGUAAAUAAACUCCACUAUUUUGAGUUGUCCGCACAUCAUCUUGUGCCUUGAUAUUGAAUUUAAUACCUUUAAUAAGAUAGCUCCUAUAUAAUGGCACUGCCAUGUUUGGACCAGCUGCUAGCCACCUUAAAUUUUCUGAUACGCCAUGAUUGUCUUCCUCAAGUUCACUUUGAACCUGCAAAUUAAUCAUAUAUCUUAAUUCAAUCUAACAUAGAAAUAAGAAGAAAAUUAAAAGAGAAAUAUGUUAUUCAACAACAUAUACCUUGAAGCGUAGCCAUUGAAUGAAAGUGCUAUUGUGCUUAUCCUGCAGCCACUUUGUUCUCUUUCUAAAUUUUGGAUAAGCAGUCUUGAUGUGGAUCAUAUGUUGCCUACAUGACACGAAAAAUUCAAGCAUUACGGUCCCAAAUAUAGAAGAUAAACAUAAGAAAUAAUUUAAAAUGGAAACUUAAAGAAUAAAACUCAUACGUACUCGAUAUAAGGUAGGACUUCCUCCGUAUUCUCCAAGACAUAUAGAUGUGCUUGAUUCAACAGGUCCUGAUCAACUACGCUCACUGUGCAACCUGAUAAUGGCUUUGAAAGUCCCAUCUUUUGGCUUGAAGGCACUCCAACUGUACUAACAUCAGAUAAAUGCUGAGUACAAAACUCUACCGCUUCUUCAGCUAUAUACCGCUCAGCAAUGCAACCUUCGGGACGAGUACGAUUCUGAACAUACCCCUUCAGAACUUUCAUAUAUCUUUCAAACGGAUACAUCCACCUAAAAUAUACUGGCCCACAUAGACGAAGUUCUCUGACAAGAUGUACUACUAGAUGAACCAUGAUAUCAAAGAAUGAAGGGGGAAAGUACUUCUCAAGCAAACACAGAGUAACUACUACAUCUUCUUCCAACUUAUCUAGCUUGGAAACAUCAACAGUCUUUGCACAUAUAGCAUUGAAAAAGAAGCACAAACGAGUUAUUGCAUACCUUGCAGGCUUCUCCAAAACAGAACGAAUUGUCACAGGGAGCAAUUGUUGCAUUAAGGUAUGACAAUCAUGUGAUUUAAGGCCAAGAAGUCUUGAAUCUUGUAAAGAUACAAGAUUUUUAAUAUUUGAAGAAUAACCUUCAGGGACCUUCAUACCAUAGAAAGAAUUGCAAACUUCUCUCUUCUCUGCUCUUGACAAAUUCCAAGGCCCAGGAGGCAAACGAGUACGUCUUUCUCCAUACUCGGGUUGCAAAUCAGUUUUGACCCCCAUGUUCAAUAAAUCUAAUCGAGCAGCAAUCCCAUCUUUAUUUUUUCCAGGGAUCUCCAGCAAUGUACCAAUAAUACUAUCGCAAACAUUCUUCUCAAUGUGCAUAACAUCUAGGGCAUGCCUCACAGGAAGGUAUUUCCAAUACUCGAGAUCAAAGAAUAUUGAUUUCUUCUUCCAACAAACUCUGUCACCAUUUUCAACCAUAUGCAGCACUUCUUCUCCGGUUAAUGGCUCGGGAGGUAUGCCAUAUUCAGGUUUCCCAUUAAAAGCUGCACGUUGCCUCCUAUAUGGAUGAUUGAUUGGUAACCAUUUUCUAUGCCCAAUGUAACAAAUUUUGUGGCCAUUUUUCAACCUGUGACUAGGUGUAUCAUCGCCGCAUAUUGGACAAGCUUUAUAUCCUUUAACAACACAACCAGAUAAGUUUCCAUAGGCGGGGAAAUCAUUAAUUGUCCACAUUAAUGCAGCUCUGAGUGUAAAGUAUUCUCCAUUAUGUGCAUCAUACACUCCUCUAAUCCCAUCCCACAAAGAUUUUAAAUCAUCAAUCAAAGGCUCCAAGUAGACGUCUAUAUCAUUUCCGGGUUGUUUAGGACCGGAAAUCAAUAAGGUUAACAUCAUGAACUUUCGUUUCAUGCACAGCCAUGGAGGGAGAUUAUAUGUAACUAAGAUAACCGGCCAACAACUAUAUCUGCUACUUAGAGAACUGUGGGGAUUGAAUCCAUCAGAUGAAAGAGCCAAUCUCAAGUUUCUCGGCUCAUUACCAAACUCAGGCCAUUUAUCAUCAAGAAGUUUCCAAGACGGGGAAUCCGCCGGAUGAGACAUCUGACCAUCAAUUGAUUUUCUAGCAGCAUGCCAAGUCAAACUCUUAGCUGUCUCAUGUGAAUGAAACAUCCUUUUAAACCUUGGAAUUGGAGGAAAAUACCACACCACCUUCGCUGGCACACCUUCUUUCAAGAUUGAAUCUUUGCCUUCCUUCCACCUUGAGAUACCACAAGUAGGACAAUUAGUUGAAUCCUCAUACUCCUUCCUAUACAAGAUGCAAUCAUUGGGGCAUGCGUGCAUUUUCUCAUAACUCAGCCCCAAUGCACACAAAGUCUUUUUAGCCUCAUACAUAGAGGUUGGUAUUGUAUUUCCUUCUGGAAGCAAAUCGCCUUGAAGUAUCAAUAAUUCUGUAAAACAGACAUCACUCAUCCCAUGUUUUGCCUUCAAAUUAUACAACUUCACUAAUGCCGAUAACUUCGUGUACUUUCUACAACCAGGGUACACUAGUUGAUCUCCAUCCCCAAUCACAUUGGCAAACUCAUACGGAUCGGAACCAAAAUCACCAAAAUCAUUAUCAUCCAUAUCAAUUUCUUCAGACACAAAACUGUACCUACUAUGGCCAUCAUCUUCUUCAACAUUUCUACUAGCAUUAGUAGUUGCUUCCCAAGGUUCUCCGUGAAAUGUCCAAUUCUUAUAGCUUUGGUCAAUUCCAUUAAAGUAUAAGUGAUCCCUUAUAAUUCCAACCCCAAACAACUUCAAAUUAACACAUUUAACACAUGGACAACGGAUAUGUGUUGUAGUUAGAAGAUUUUCUACAGCAAAGUUCAAAAAUGCUUCCACCCCAAACUCAUAUGCCUUCGAUCUUCUAUCCGAGUGCAUCCAUGACUUAUCCAUCUCCGACACUAUAACCUAUUAUCUAUAAUAAAGUGAAAAUACAGGCAAUGACCAUCACUAUAGCAGAUUAUACAAAGAUCUAAUAGCAAGUAAUACACAACAGAGACGACGGGUUUUAAACAAAAACAGACGUAUUUGGCAUAUAUAGACGACGGAUUUUCAACAGACGUCGUCUAAUAUAAGUAAUACAAACGACGGUUUAUGAAAAAAUCGUCGUGUAUAAGUAAUACAACGACGGUUUUUUCAUAAACCGUCGUGUAAUCGUCGUCGUAUGCCUAAAAAGGCGUCGUGUCUCAGUUUAUUUUCAAGAACCCAAAACCCAUUAAGAACACAACAUAUAUAUGAAACCAAGCAAGAAACCAACAUAUACAUGAAAUCACUAUAGCAGAUUAUACAAAGAUCUAAUAGCAAGUAAUACACAACAGAGACGACAGGUUUUAAACAAAAACAGACGUAUUUGGCAUAUAUAGACGACGGAUUUUCAACAGACGUCGUCUAAUAUAAGUAAUACAAACUAAAAAGGCGUCGUAUGCCUAAAAAGGCGUCGUGUCUCAGUUUAUUUUCAAGAACCCAAAACCCAUUAAGAACACAACAUAUAUAUGAAACCAAGCAAGAAACCAACAUAUACAUGAAACCAAGCAUGAAAACAAUAAAUCCAUUCCCAAUUCAACAUAACAUAGGGUGAUUAAAAGAUCUGACAAAAUUAAAUCCAUUCCCAAUUCAACAUAACAGAUAAUGUAAUCCAUGAACCCAUUAAACAGAAAAUUCAUGAACCCAUUAAACAGAAAAUCCAUGAACUCAUACCUAUAAGCACAUUAUUAACAGAUCGCAAAGCAUAUACCUAAAACCCUUUAACAAAACAACCUAAUAUCAUUCAAUGAAUUUACAAGGGGAAGAUAGGGUUUGUACUUACAGGUUGGACGAGCUCACAGAUUCGACGGAGCCUGGAGAGUGCAACUUUUAAUUAGAGCAGAAGUGAAAGAGCGAAUGUUAUGUUGCGCGAAAUCUGAAAAUUUUAGGGUUCAGGGUUAGAAGUAUAAGAAUAAGAGCCAAAUAUAAAAAAUUUAGGGCGCGCGAAAAUUUUUAGAGCGCGCGCUCUUUAAAACGUCGAAAGAAAAACCAUGGCGAAAGUUCAACAAGAACCGACGUAAAUGUAAUAUUCCACGACGGAAACACUGAACGUAACGCCGUUUCUUUUGACGCUUCAUUUUUCGGAUUAAUUUUAAAUUUAUUUUGAAUAUUUUGAUAUAAAGACGACUGAAAAACCACGUCGAAGUUAAGAAACUGAAAACGUUGUAAAUUAUAAUAAACGACUUACAUAUUAAAAUGACGUCGUUUAAAGUGGAAACCAUGUCGAAUAUUUUACUGCACGACGUAACAUAUGUAUUCCACGACUCAACCACCGUCGUUAACAAUUAAUACCCUAAACCCUUAAAACUAAAUUAUAUAAUUUUAAAAAUUAAGUUUAUAAAAGGGUUUAUGGUUUUACAGCCUAAUAUAUACCCUAGACUACCCAAAAAUUAUACUUUAAAACGAAACAACAAAAAACGACGGCUUUUGACUUUAUUACGUCGUUGGAAAAGUAUUACACGUCGUUUACGCAAUUUGUAUGUUUGUUUUUUUUUAAUUUAAGAAAACCUCAACAAAUUUUUACAUUAUAUAUUAUAGACAAAAUUUGUACAUUAUACAUAAAUAUCAAGUGUUCAAUAAUUCCCCUAUUCCAGGUGAAGGCAAACAAACUCUGCCCAUUCAUUCCGGACUUCAUCAAUUGCUUCUUGGGGGUAUGGCGCUUCCUGUUUUCCCUUGGCAUACUGCAUAAACAAUGACUAUUAGGGUUUAUAAAUAAAAAGAAAUUAAAUCACAGACGACGAUAUUUUUCAUAACCGACGUACUAUAUCUAUUCAACGACGGUAAUUUUACAUGACCGUCGUUGAUAAUACAUAAAACGACGUAAAAUGUAUGAAGGUAAUUUCUUCUUACCUUCUUCUCAAACCCCAAGGAAGGAUCCAUGAUGAUGUCCCUCAUGAAGCGCAUCACAUAAUACCCGCAUUCGACACUGCUGGGUUGCUUUGGUGUGCCUGACAGAGUUUUCCAAAUGACUGCCUUACGGCCUGGUCUAGCUAUGUGAGAAUUAUAAAUUUUUAUAGCACUGUUCACAAUGUUUUUGGCCUCUUCAUCGACCACACGAUUUCCUGGCAGAGAAUCCAGAAAAUAGACGGUUUCUCUCUUUGCUCUUACAAUCAGCAAGAUCCAAUGACGGCUGCACAAAAUUAAUAUAAAAACGACGGUUAUUUACAAAAACGACGUAUUAUAAUAUUUCACACGACGAAAUAAAGAAGCAAUCGACCACAUUAUAAAUUUAUCACGACAAUAAAUAACUACCGACGUGGUUAGUAGUUUCAAACGACUCAAUAAAAUAAAACACCGACGUGGUUAGUUUAUACGCUAUCAUUUAUUGAAAAUCAUAAAAACAAAAUCCUGUUAAGGAGACUAACCCUGGAUUGUAAGGCAUCAGGAAAAUCUGUUCACCGUCAGUCCUCUGAAGUCGAGCUGCUAGUAGGCGUGAUCUGUCAGCUAUUGUGCCAGAGCUGGCACUAACUGUAGCAGGGUCGAUAAAGCCAACCAUGGAGCACAUAUUUGCUCGUUUCAAAACAUCGUGUAAGUACCUAGAUAUAUAAAAUAAUAUAAACAAGUCAGCACAAAAAAACACACGACGGUUAUGUAUAACAAAACAACGUAUUAUAAAAUUUCACACGACGUACUGGAAUAGACAACGACUUUAUAAUAUAUUUAUCACGACGGUACAUACUAACGACGUGGUUAGUUAGUUAAGACGACGCAAUAAAUAAACCAACGACGUAUUAUUUUAGAAUGACAAACCUCAUAUAUACAAAAAACACACGACGGUUAUGUAUAACAAAACGACGUAUUAUAAAAUUUCACACGACGUACUGAAAUAGACAACGAUGUUAUAAUAUAUCUAUCACGACGGUACAUACUAACGACGUGGUUAGUUGGUUAAGACGACGCAAUAAAUAAACCAACGACGUAUUAUUUUAGAAUGACAAACCUCAUAUAUACAGCAAUGACAGUGGCUCCUAUUUCUUCCAUGCCUGCAAAUUGUGUAAUAUCUUCAGGCAGGAGGAAGGUAUCGCGCUCUAGACCAAACACCUCCUUAUCAAUUGUAAAGUGCAGGGUCUUAUCCUGAGUCACGAGUGUCGUUUCCACAUAACGACAAAGGGAUUUUAAAGAAGAUGGCGCCUCCAUAUUUUAAUAAUCAACACCUUGAAUAACCUGUUUAAAGAAAUAAAAAAAAUGACGUGGUAAUUCAAUAAAAACGACGGUUUAAGGAAUACAACGUCGUCUGAAAAGAAUUUAAACGACGGUGAAGAAACCGUCGUGGUGAAUAAUUUAUUACGUCUUAGAAAAAAAUUCCGCCGUCUAAGUUAUAAACAAACGACGGUUUAAAGAAAAAUAUCGACGUCUGGAAUUUUGAAAAACAAAUAAAAAAGGCAAAGUUAUGUGAACAUACCUGGUCGUCAUCUUCUUUCUCCUUUUCAUCUUGUUUUUCUUCUCUCUUCUCUUCAUCUAUUACGGCGGGAAUGACUAACUCCGUCGUCUAAAAACCACAAAGUUUUAAAAAUAACGACGUUUAAUGGCGUGUAAAACAAGUAAACUAAAUACGACGUGGUAUUGAAAUACAAACGACGGCUUAUUUUUAAAAUCGUCGUGGUAUGUAUUUCAAACGACGGUUUUAUUAAUAAUAACGACGUCUAAUGGUUUUUAAAAAAACAGAGAAUUCAAAGUUCAGAUAUGUUACCUUUUCUUCCUGAUGUUUCCCAUUUUUGGCAGUAUCAUCCUCAAAAUGCUGGGAUCUCACAUCACCUCCAGAGCAGCUUGCUUUGUCAGACAUUGGAUUUUUGGGACUUUGGCUAAUUCUGGGUUUAAGCAUGCUUGGAUCAAAAUUGGGAAUUAAUUGGGAAAGCUGACUCAGGAAAUGCUCCCUCUCAGCCUCUACCAAUUGUUUCGUUCUAGCCUCCAUCCUUAAAGCCUCUUCCCUUGCCUUAGCUUCCAUCUUUUUAGUCUCUUCUUGAAGGAGAACUCUUAAACUGUCCUUCAAACGGUCGUCAGAGCUCACUCUCUGUGGUUUGGGUAAAUUGAAAUAUUGCCUUGGUGAGAUCCCAGCACCUACUCCUCUCACUCUGCCUGGAUGCUCGGGGUCCAAAGCCAUGGUCAGCACAUCAUUGCUGCCAGAAACAGUGACUUUGCCUUCCGAGACUUGUUUUUGCAAUUCAUCCUAAAACAAAGAUAUAUAAAAAAGUAAGAACAAAAACACACGACGGUUAUUUAUAUACAAACGACGUAUUAUAUAAUUUCACACGACGCAAUAACAUAUAAAUCGACGUUAUUAUAAUUUAUCACGACGGUAGUUAUACCGACGUGGUUAGUUUUUAAAACGACGAAAUGAAUAAACCAUCGACGUCUUAUGCUUUAUUUACAGAUAACAGAGGGAUGAUUCAAUAUUCACACCUUUAACGACCUUGUUUAAAACAUUUCGACGUAGUAAUUCAAUACAAACGACGCGAAAAUGAACCACCGACAUCUUAUGCUAUAAUUACAGAAAACAGAGUAGUGAUUCCUAUUUAGACCUUUAACGACGUUUUUUAAAAAAUUUCGAUGGGGUAAUAUCAUUCACACGACGCAAAAUAUAACAUAAGACGUAAUAAGAAUUAUUCACAGUUUAAUAAAAAUUUAAAACAGAGUGAGUAGGCUUACAAUUAAUUUUGCUUUCUCUGCCACCUUUGGAUCCGGGAUGUUACCAUGUUUGUCCUAUCUAGCUCUCUUCCAUAAGGUAGAUCGAUCAAUUUCUACCCAAGGCAUGGUUUCCUCCUCCAAACCAGCAUAUCCUUUUCGAGACAAUCGAUGAUUGUACUCAAGUUUCUCCCUAAUCUGUGCAUGUUGAGAAUGCACAGACUCAAAAUCUUUGGAUAACCUUGAAGCUACAAAGGCAUCCCAUUGUGCUUUCUCUAUGAAUUUAUAUGUUUCAGGGGGUUGGCUUAAUCUCUCCCUGUCAUUGGUGUAUGGAAGGAUAUAAUGCCUCGUUAGUGUAGACUUGAAAUCCUUCCAUUUCUUGGCAGCAGAAGCUAACACAGAGCUCUUGCCCCCUUGACCUACCACAAAAGCAAUGUCAACUGCUUUCCAAAUCUGCUCCUUUAUAUCCUUGGGGAUUUGAGCCCAUUUCAUGUCCACAAGUGGAACUCUGGAGCGUGCCAACACACCAAUGUAGGACUGCAUCUCACUAUGUGCUUGGCCAAUUCCUUUCCCCCUUUUAUUGUACUCAACAAUUGGCCUCAGUUUCUGAAGUUUUCUCUUCACAACACGAGGCAUUGUGCUCAUACCUCGACCAGACUUUGAAUCAUCAGAGAUUGUUGUAGUGCUGGUUGGUUUUGUCUCAGCAGAUGAUGAAGCAAACUUCAUCUUCUUCGAAGGCUUCACUUGAGGAGGUACCAUUCCAAGCUCCUUACCUCCAUUUUUCUUGGAGCCAGAAUCCUUACUUUGGUCUUGGUGAGAAACCAUUUUUACAGACAAAACUGCAAGUGAAAAUAUUUCAGGAAAAGAUUAAGAACACAAACGACGGUUAUUAAUAAAAUACGACGUAUGAUAUGAUUUUAAACGACGCAAUGAAAUAAUCUCAGACGUAAUAAAUGUUUAAAACCAAGGUAAUUAAACAACGACGAAAUAAUUAACUAUAAACGACGUGAUAAUUAACUAUAAACGACGAAAUAUUUAUAUAACGUCGUGGUAUUGAUGUUCACACGACGUCAGUAGUAAUAUACCGUCGUCUAUAUAAGGAUCCAAAACCCUUCUUUCUUUCUCUGUGAAUGUUUGAUUGCAUAUUUGAUUUUUCUGAACCAUGGUUUUUGUUUUCUAAUUUGAUAAAAUACAAGGCCAAGAAAGAAAGUUUUGGAAUCUUAUAUAGACGACAGUAUUUUAAUAUGACGUCGUGGUAUUAACAUUCACACGACGUAAAAUAAUAAGAUACUGUCGUCUAUAUUAGAUACCAACCCUACUUUCUUUUUCUUUAUAUUUUAUCAAAUUAGGGAAAAACAAAAACCAUUGUUCAGAGAAAUCAAACCUGCAAUUAAACAAGCAAAUAAAAAAAAGACUAUAACUUUAAAAACAACUUUGUCAAUUUUCAGACGACGCUAGAACGACUGACGAACUGUCGUGGUCUACAUAUUUAACCACGUAAAUAAGAAGCUACCGUCGUCUUAUUUAGUUGAGGUAGUUGUCUUCAAAGUUGGAAACUUUCCCUCUUUGUCUGUAUAUUUUAUCGAACUUGGAAAGAAGUAAAAUGAUUUUGGCCAGAAAAAAGGUAAAAAGAUUUUUCAAACAAAAAACGUAUGAGCAUGCAAAACAGCAACCAAAAUAGUGAAAAUGAAAGCUUACCUUUUGCGUGCAAUGAAAGCAAGAGGAAGAUUAUGUUUAAGUUCAGAGACGACGAAGAAGACGAGAGGAAGACGAUGAGAUACUCUGACAGUGCUCUGACAAGGAAAAAAUUCUAAAAGUUUUCUCUGGGAGAUUGAAAUUUUUAAUCGGGUUUGGAAACAGCGCAUGUGUAUGUCAGGUAGACGAAAAGUUGCUUACAUAUAAAACCAUUUCAAAAAAAUAAUACGGCGGUUACAUAUAACUACGACGUAUAAAUUACAAAAUACGACGGUACAUUUAACUUCGGACGUGGUAAAUAAAUACGACAGUAGUGUUGUAGGUACCGUCGUAGUAAACUCAAAAAUUAAAGUACAUAAGUAAUAACUCGCGUCAUGGUAGAUUAUUUAACACGUCGUUUUUAUUAAUGUACCGACGUGGAUUUCUGUAAUAUACGUCGAUCAUAUCGACGUUGAUUUUACAAUUUAAACGGCGGUUUUUUUGUAAGGACCGCCGUUGGUUUUAAAAAUUUAUUAUAUAAAUUUGUCGCUUUCAUUCAUUUUCGGUUUACAUUUAGGGUUCCAAGUUCUUCCUCUCUCAGUCUCUCACGUCUCAAAGACAAUAAUUUGGAUGUCUUUCUCAAAAAGAAAUUGAGCUUACUCGCAUCAAAUAUAUGUCCACAAGAAGAAGCUUGUCAACUAGCCUUCUCACUUCCUUGAUCAAGCCUGAUAGGACACUUAGUGCUUCUGAAUACUCCUUGCUUUCCAUCAAAAGAGAUGCAAGCCUGGCCUCCACUCGCUGUCGAAGGAAAGUUCGCUUUUCAGGGAAAUCUGCUUGAUUUUCUUGGCUAAGAAGAUCCGUCAGAUUUGUGAUAGCCUCUUCCUUUAUCCGUAGAGCUUCAGAAGAAGAAGAUGGGUUUCAAGAAUGCGAUAAAGAAUAGAAAUGGCUUCAGAUGGCCUCUAAAGCAUGAGCAAUCGAAUCAGUAGUUGCUGGGAGAUAUGAUGAAGACAUUGUCAAUGCUUUGAACUAUACAAGUCCUGCAGAAAGAUAAAGGACCAAACUGUUAAAGAAACUGAAACAACGGCGGUUUUCUGUUCUACCGUCGUCUUUUCUCGUCGUCUAUAUUAAGGUAAGAUGGCGGUAGAUUUAUAAUUACCGACGUAGAUUAUUUUGUUAAACGUCGUUAAGUGUACUACAACCGACGUGGAUUUUAUUUUUAAAUUAUAAAUAGAGUUUUUUUUCCCGAAUUCUUUCAGUUUUAGUUUUCAAUUACAAAGCGUGAUAAAUAGAUUUUUCUUUCCCGAGGAAAUUUAAAAUGAGGGAAAUUAAUGUUCUUGAAUUUGUAAACUAACACGACGCAAUAUUACUAACCCGAGGAAAUUAUAAAUAGAUUUUGCUUUCCCGAAUAAAUUUUAAAUUAAUUCAGUUUGAAACAACAACGGUUUUUUGUUAUGCCGUCGUUUUUAACUAACACGACGCAAUAUUUGUUUUGCGACGUGGAAUCUUUUCAUUUAACGUCGUUAUGUUUAAUAUAACCGACGUGGAUUUGAAUUUUUAAAUUAUGAAUAGAAUUUUUUUUGCCGUGACCUUUCAGUUUAUUUUUCAAUUACAGUGCGUUAUAAAUAGAGUUUUUUUUUCCAGAGGAAAUUUAAAAUGAAGGAAAUUAAUGUUCUGGAAUAUGUAAAGUUUCUUUUUUGGAGGACAGAUUUAAAUAAAAUAAGAAUAUAAAAACAACGACUGUUUUUUUAUUGCUGUCGUCGUUUUUCGUCGUCUUAAGUAAGACUAAGACGACGUAAUAUAUUUGUUUAGCGACGUUGAUUUAUUUUUUAAACGUCGUUAGGUAUAAUAUAACCAUCGUUGAAAAUUGUCUCUCUGAUUGCAAAUUUGCAACGACGUUAGGUAUAAUAUUUGUAGAUACACAAACGCACACACAUCAUCAACUUCCAAAAAAUUGUCUCUCUGAAUGCAAAUCUGUGUCAUCUGUUAAGAUUAUGAUGUGGAACAGAGUUCCAUCUGGUAAGAUUUCGUAACCCUUGGGAUCUCAGACAAAUCUGAUUAUGUCGGCGGUUUUCUAUAUAAACCGUCGUGGUUAUUUCAAUUCUUGUCAUUAAGUAGAUCUACCGACGUAGGAUAAGAAAAUCAAAGAAAAAAAUUGUUAACAAAAAUUCUUAUUAAGACGACGGUUAAAAUUAAAUGUAUGACGUAUAAAAUGAAUAAAUACGACGUUAAAUUUUAUUGUACGAUUUAAAGAUAACGUCGUAGAACUAUACGAGAAUGACGUCCAUAUAUUUAUAUUUUCCGUCGUUGUACAUUAAUUUAAUACGGCGAUAUUUUGUAUUUUAAAGCCAUGGAUUUGUUUGUAAUUAUACGGCGUCUUAUACGAAAACCUCGUCGUGUUAUUUUAUGAGUAAAAACGGCGGUUUUUAUUGAAAUCGUCGUCUUUACUUUCUACGUCGAUCGAUUCAUAACUUCUGCCGUUCUUUGUUGGCAUUGAUUUUACACUGCGGAAAUCUGUUUCAAAUAGACGUCGGUUGUUUAAUUAUGUACGUCGUUGUUUUUGAACAGCCAUUUAAAUCUCCAUUUUUUAGUUGUCUAAGGUUGUAUUACACGACGGUGUUUUUAGAACCGUCGUCUUUUUAAAAACCACGAUGGUUUUCACUUAGACCGUCGUUGUUUUCUGGUCGUCUUUUUCACUUUUUGUAGUAGUGCGAGUUAAACUUUUAUUGAGCAUGGUGCGGACCUUGUCGUUGGUCCUGGAAUUCGGGUGAGAACGAGAUGUGAUUAUGUUAGAAGGUUAGAACCUCGUAUGUUGGAAUUGGGAAAGUUAGAUGUUGUGAGUUGCGUUUGGUAUUCAUAGUUCUUAUUUGAGUUUAUUAUUUGUCUUGCUUAAUGCAAUAUUUGGUUUAAGGGCUUUGUUGGUAGUUUGGUUUCGCUUCGGUUUAUGUGAGGGCCGAAGGCCAAGUUUGUAAAUUGCAUGAAAUUAUAUUGUGCGUGCUGCCUUUUUGGGAUAUUAAAUGUGUUUUAUGCAGGUUGAAAUUUUUGGGAUUGUUCAAAUUACAGGGGAGACUCUGCCAAAAGUUUGGUAGAAAGUCUUGGUCUUUAGUAAGUGGGCCCGGCAUCGGAGUGAUGUCGGAAUUUUCAUAGGAUUCGUCUCGGAUUUCGAGAAAUUCAGGGCGGGUCAUGUCACAAUGUACCUGCAACCCUAGAAGAUUACUAGUAACAACCUAGGCACUCGGAAUGACCCGUCAAUCUAGGCAUCCCCUGUGCUAGCAACAACUAUAGUGAAAGUGUGAAAUCAUCAUAAUCAAGUAAACACCAAACAACAGAUAAUGAUGACUAGUCAACUAUAAGGACACAAACCCAGAAUUCAUACAAUGACUAGUCAACCACUAAGAACAGAAACCCAGAAUUUAUACGAUGACUAGUCAACUACAAUUCAUACGAUGACUAUUCAACCACUAAGAACACAAACCCAGAAAAAUUACAGAGAUGCAAUCAGAAAUUAUUCACCCAGAAACCCACCAUUGGGAAAAACUGGGGGUCAUUAACCGACAAGGCAAUCCACUAAGUAGAAAAAGAUUCUUACAAAGGAACACAAGCAAGCUUAAGAAAAACCUAGAUCUAUUUAGGAAGAUGAGCUAUACCUCCUUUGUGCAAUCUUCUUCUCCAACUUAGCAAAGCUUGAAGGUCAGUUCUUCAUGGCAAUGACAGCUCUUUCUCCAGCUCAUUCAUCCCAUGGCACCGGCUUGCAAGCUCUAACUCAGACAGAAACCAAAAUUUGGAUUCAAAGGAGAAUGACCAAUUUCUUCAAGAAACCAUAUACUCUUGAAGAAAUCAAUCUUGAAUCUGACCUAGAUAUAUAUGAGAGAGUGUUUGAUCUAGCAAGAUGAGGUUUUCAUAUUUCAAAUGCAGUUUUCAAAAAGAAACAUUUUGGAAAACCCAAAGAUGAAAAAUAUGAAGGUUACACUUGAGGAAGAAGAGAAAGGUUACAGAGAAACUUUCCAAAACUUGCCUGAAAAGUGACAACUGCCAAAUGAGGAAUCCUUUGGCCUUUACACCCAAAAAUUCCUUAGGUCAGAAUCAACACAUGGUAGCAGAGAGAGAAAGGAGAAUAGGACAAAAUAGUUGGUUAUCCAGUUGGAAAUCUUACAGAGCAAGGAUGACUAGUCAUACGAGAAACAGAUGACUAGUCAUUAUUUUAUGAAAUCAAUUUAAUGCAAUCACAAUUUACCUUUGUCAAUUUGCUUGAAUCUCCAUAGGAUAAUUGUUAGUUAAGAACACCUAGAGAAGCUAUUCUUAAUCUAAACUUGAGCUUGAUAAAAACAAUAAUAAUUCUAUCACAAAAUUGUCAAGGGAAGCCAAAAGAAAAACCCAAAAUACAUACAUUAACAGUACACCCUACUACCAAACUAUUUAUUAAAUUACUAAUUUACCCUAAUAUAAACUAAAAACAAAUAUAUUGAAUUGUGAAACAAAUAUAAUUUUAAUAAGUGCACCUUACUAACGCGGAACCUUUGGUUGUUUUUUCUCAAUUUGCUUGACUUUUCUUUUAAGCAUCCCACAUCAUUUAAAAAAUAUCUAAAACAUGACACCCCAUAUUUUUGCCUACAAUCUUCUUCUCCAUCUUAGCAUUUGGACAGCCGAACUCUUUUCUCUCUCAAAACCAAGCCCAGCAGAACCUCUUCUCCUUUCAAUCACUCUUCUUCUCCAAGCAUAUAAUUUUUUCAUUUUUCUCAUCUUUCAAUUCAGGAAAUUUUCUAUAAUAUUGGAAGCCCCUUGUAAAACUUGUUUUCUCCUAUUUACCCCCACAAAAGUAGCCACACGAAUCAUAUUGGGACUUAAUUAUAUCAGCAAGCAAGGCAAUCAAAGUUGUUUUUUGGUUUUUGGAUAUUGGAUUCAAAAAACAAAAAAUUAUUUUUAAAAAAUCAGAAAGAGAAAAAUUAAAAAAACAGACUGCAUGAAAUACUGUGUUUCUUGGGAAAAAAAAUUAAAAACCCCCGAAGCUGCAAAAUUGAGUGUUUUAAUAAGAAUGAUUCCCUUACUGAGUAUUACUUAUUAUUUGAUUUAGGAUCAAUAUCAAAGAAUUCUAUUGAACGUUUUUGUGCUAUUAGUUAUAUUUUGGAUAUAUAAAAAAGAACAAUAUUGUCCAGAGUGUACAGUUAAAAACUUUGAGAAUCAAAGUAUGGGGAAAGGGAUCGUGGGGAGAUGAAUGUUGUUGGUCUUUUUUUGAAGAGGUAGUGUAUUAGGGUGUAUUAAGGGUAUUUUUGAUAGUUAAAUAGGGUGUACUUUGUUAAUUUUAUAUUUUAAUUAGGGCGUACUCAGUUAAUUUUAGGGUUUAUUUAGCAGCACUCAUAAAUUAUCUCUUUAAAAAAUCACACAAAUUAACAGGUAUUUUUGUAAAGCUCAAUUUGUAUUGUAUUUCAACAAUUUGAAUCGUCUAUGUCAUAGAUUAUAUCGCUUUAAAAAAGCACCCAAAUUGAACUUUUUUAACCAUUUGAUUGAAUAGUAGUUAUUUAUUAAGUAUGUGUCUAUUUGUCUCAUCACAUUUAUAUAUGUUUGAAUGGUUUACAAUUUGUUCAAAUAAAUGAAAUGCAAAGUGGGUGAACCCUAGAAAGUGUCGUAUUUGAAAAAUAUAUAAAUAAAAUGAUAACCUUACACAUAUUUGUUUACUUUAUAUAAAUAUCACCACAAACAUAGAAUAAACAGUUGCAAAACAACAGAAAACUUCUAAAUGAUUACUUUUAUAUAAAUAUCACCAUAAGCAUUUUUCAAACAUCUAGCAUAUUGCUGAAACAUCUAUCGCUAGAUCACAUCUUACAAAAGUUAUUCCUCUGUAUUUUUUAUCACGAGGGUCUAAAUUGUUACUAAAAUUAAUCGUCAAUUGUUCAAUACAUAUAAAUUACUAAAUGAUUUUCAAUUGAUUGAUUUUUCGUAAAAAUGAUGUUUAAAUUAUGAUUUAUUAGGAAAUCAACAAUUCCGAUUAUCAUCAAAACCUUUUUUUCAAGCUGCUGAUGACUUGAUCAUAUCUUCAGUUUCGAAUUAAUGAGAGAGAGAGAGAGACAGUAAAAACUUUAAAACACACACGAUGGAGUAGUACUGAUAUUACAAGUAGGGAAUAAUUAGAAAGAUGUUGGAGUACAUACCAAAUGGACUUCAUUCACACAUAAAUAUACACACACUAUACUAUACUAUACUAUUCAUACCGUAUAAUUAAUUAAGCCGCAUGCUUCCCUUAGUAAUAUAAUUAAACAGCUCUAUAUCUAAAGCUGUAGGAAGAUUUAGCUUAUAAACAAAGGAUCAAUAGUAGCCAGGGUAUUGGUUUCAGUAGAAAUGCAUUCAUGAUCAUAUUCAGUGACCAAAAUCGGUACUUUUUGUGACCAACUAGCUGGCCACUAAUAAACGUUUUUCUUGUUAGAGCUGAUGAUAGGCUUAUUGUAAUUAGGCCAUUGCAGCUUCUGUGGAGGUCCAUGAUUCUCCAUGUUGGCUGCCGCUGCUGCCGCCACUGCGCCUCCAUAUAUACCUUCUGUGGAGGUCCAUGAUAAUCCUGAGAAGGUGUAGGAGAAGAGGAAACUUGAUUCCCCAUGUUAAUUACAACUUAAAACUGAUUACAAGUUUUGCUUUGAUUUGAAUUCCUUGGGGUCCAAGCCUCAUUAUAUAGUAGUCCCAUUACUCACACAAGCUUAUAAUAAUACUUCACCCUUAGGGGCCCGCAGAAUGUAUAUGAUGUUAUAUAGGACUUGCAUGCACAUUCUGCUUAAUUAAUUAAUUAUAAUUCUUUGCGUAAAAUAAAUGAAAUUAAUAGUGCGCUUCUGGAUUUAGUAUAUAUGCUAUACAUGCUUUAUUCUUCUCAUACCAUUAAAAAAUAGAAAAAAGAGGAUUUGCAUGAGUCAGUAAUAAUUUGAUUCCGUACUCCAUAAUUUUCUGCUUUAUAUUUUUAGUUUAUUUUUUAAUUGGCCUAUUCAUCUUCUCUAGGCGUUUGUUAGUCAUCUUAUUGAUAUUUUCAUAUUUGAUUCAGUACUCCAUAAUAAAAAAUAAAUAAAAAGAGGAAAGAAUAGCUAUAUUGAAUCUUGUUUUCCUGUAUCCUCUAGUGCUUUUUUGUUAUUGCAGUUAUGAUAUUAGAUUGAGUGUGAGAUAAAUGAUGAGCAGACCAAAAACAAAACGAAGAUAUGUGUUUCUAUAUUAUUAUAACAAUAAGAUCUCUUCACCUUUCGAAAUGAUACUUGCAUUUGAUAUUUCUUUAUUUAUGAUAACACCUUUCAUUGUAAAUUAGCUUUCUAUAUAUUUCUAGAACUAUUUGGUGAAUCAGAUCGAUUCACCUAUGUAACACAUAUAUAUAUGUGUGUAUGUUGACAGGUCUAAUCAAUCUAAUAGGGUUUGUUGUCGUAAUUUUAAAGGAGUUCAAGCCAGACAAACACACAUACAUCCACGUUAAAAUUCACAUUGACCAUUAACGCGUUGAGUUAAACUUUAUAUCACAUCACCAUCUUUUAAGUUAAACUUUAAGUGUCGUAUUGAUCACAUUUGCUAACUCAUCGAUAAAGAUAAAUCUCUCACUUUUAUAAGAAAUAUGACCCACGAAUGAUGAUGGGUAAUGAAUGUGAAACUAUAAUAUGCGCACGCACCCACACCAUUUCUAUAAGGAUGAGAAAUUGCCAAGUCAGUCUAUGGCGAACCUCUAGAAUUAGGAGUAGUCAGUAUAGUGCAUCUGAUACCAGCGCUGACCUUUUCGCUCUCUACUUCAACUCUAUAUUUCUUCUUUAUUAUUUUCUUACAUGAAUAAAAUUCUUUGAUAUUGCAAGGAAAGUUGUUUUCUUCCUUUCUUUUGUGCUAUUUUUUUAAUAAUAAUAAAUUUCCUUGAAAAGUGAUUACAUAACAAACAAGAGAGAGUAUGCAAGAGAGGAGGGGCUAGCUUUAAAUAUAUUUUAUAUAACAUGAGAAGUGAUUUGUACAUAUAAUUACAAGCUGACACAUAUACAUUUAGGUGCAGAAAAUAAGCUAUCCAAACCAUUUCUACAUCUGAUAUACAUACAUAUACUAUAUUACAGAGAGCUUCAUUAGUUAACUAAUUACUUAUACCAAACUAAGUUGGUAAUAAUUAGCGGCGAAUCUUGGGGUUACUCUAUCUCUAUCCAUCGAAAUAGCAGGGCUGCAUCCUUGCUAUUAAGAACAGCCUGAUCAUUCCUAAGAGGAGUUGGGUGUCUCCCUGCACGAGCUGGUUGGUCUUGAGAAAAUGGAGGCCUCUUGCCUGGCCGGCCAUGGAACUUGUCUAGCAUGGCAAAAGCCUGCCUUCCAAGCUUUGCUAGCUCUUCAUGUUCAGUAAUUAACACUCCCCCGUAGAUCUCUGCUGCCUCAGUGCUACUAAGAUAGACGUCCUUUAUCUGAUGAGGCUUCUGAGCUGGAACUUCCACCGUCUUUACAGGCCUUCUGAUCUGACGAUGAGGAGGAGGAACAUGAUUUUGAUCCAUGUUGGGGUAUGGAUAAUAUUGUACCUGUUGAGGAGGAGGAAGAGGCCUUACGGUGACAGUCUUGGUGGGCCAGCCGCCAUGGUACUCGUCUCUCAUGGCAGGUGCUGGGAAGUAUGAAACUUCUUCUGCAGGGUAGACAUGAUCAUAUAGCACGGGACAUGUGUGCCUGAUAUGAUAAAACAUUUUCUCCUCUUUCAUGGUCAUAAAGCCAUGCCUUGCCUUACUGAAACAAAGGUUAAGAGACAAGCAACAUUUAUAGUCGUGAGAGUCACAGAAGCUCACAAGUGGGCUAUCUGAUCGAUCGUGUGAUUUUCUUUUGAUGCUUUUCUUUUUCGUAAAAUAAUAAAAAGUAAUUCUUAUACUUUAGGGUCUGUUUGUAAUAGCUAACUAGUAAUUAACUAGUAGUUCUAAUAGCAUAUUGAUUCCCCAUAUUGAUGAUAUUUUCUGAGAGUUGAUGAUAUUUUUCUCAAGUAAAAAGGCUAUGAUUCCCCAUAUUGAUGAUAUUUUCUCAAGUCCUUGGUGAAUCUGAUUCCUCAUUUGACCCAAAAGGACAAUUAAUAAUUGAAGAUCAAUCUACAUCUAUAUCAGCCAGGGAUUUAUUAAUUAAAACAAAAUUAUUUUAUACAUAUCAUUUGGUCGUUGAAUAAUGCUACUCUUAUCACAUUUGUAUACUACAUUCUCAUACCACCUUAUGUGGCAAAUGAGGUGGACAACUACAUUAAUUAAAUUUAUUUAACAUUUUCUUUUCUUUUAUGAUUUAUUAACACUUUAAAAAACACUGUUAAUUAACAUUUCUUUAUUAAAAAUACACUUCAUUGAUUUAAUUGAUGUGACAUAUGAUAUGAACAUGCCACAAUAUGUGAUAUAGAAAUAUGAGAUAAAAUGUGAGAAGUGUAGCAUUACUCUUUGAUAGUUUAGUAAAACAGUGUUAUUGUGUUAUAUAUACUGUCUACAUAAGUCUGGAAUAAAAGGCUAUCAAGUUCUAUGAAAGCUUAAGAAAGUUUAUUAAAAAAAUUAUACAGAAGUCUUCUGAAAGUCUAUCAAGUUCUAUACGAAUUAUAAAGUUCCAUCAAGUUCUAUGAAAGCUGGCACUUAAACAAAAUCUUUUUAAACGCUCUAGAAUACUAAUGGAAUACACCCCCCUAAGCUAUUAAAUUGAUUGUUUGGUUAGACGUUAACUGAUGUCGUGUCAACUGUGGGACCUACUUACUAACCAAUCCCAAUAUAUAUAUAUAUAUAUAAUUAGAAGAAAAAAACCUUAAAAAACCUAGCCUCCUCCCUACCUAGCACCCCCUAUUCCCCACCCCAUCACGACGACGCCUACUUCCCAACCUCCGUCUCCCACCCUUUCUCCCUCUAUCUCAUUUCCGUCUCUCAGACCCUCCGUGACACCGUUUCGCUAUCCCAGAAAUGCCAAACCCCCAAUCUCUCCGUCGGCAAGCUCCGCACUCAACGUUGAUUCAAUCCUCACUCGCCUCCACUACCACGUCGUCAAGAUUUUGAUCAAGAGUGGCAUCCCCCUCGACGCCGAGGUUUGCUCAGUAAUUAGCAAACCAGUGGCCAAUCAUGGUAAUUAUUAGGGGUGGGCACUCAAACAGGCGAACCGAAAAUCCGAGCCAAACCAAAAAAAAAUCGAGUUGACUAAAAAGUCAACAAUUGGUCAAAAACCGAAUCGGACCGGUUUCGGAUCCAGUUCCAUGUCUUCAAAAAUUGGACCGGGCCUAACCAAACCGGUCAAAUUAAAAAUAUAUAUAAUUUCAAUAUAUAUUUAUAUUUAAUGCUAUAUUUUUAAUUUUACUUAAAAAAAAACUAAUAUUUAUCCAAGUUCAAUUUCAAAAUAUCUCUUUUCUAACUUUAAUAUUUAUUUUUACAUAAAAUUGGAUAAUUUGUUAAUUUUCAAGUAAAAUAAUAAUAUUUCAUUUGAGAAUUGUAUUAAAAAAUAAUUUUUAUAAUCCAGUUCAAAACCAAACCGAAAUCGAAAUCGGACCGGAACCGAUUCAAACAGAACUGGACAGUUUUUGAAAUUUUUUUAUUAAAACCGAACCAAACCGAACCAAACCGGAUGAAUAGUACCAGAUCGGUUCUAAUUUGAAGCAAAAACCAGUCCAAACCAAACUGUGUCCACCCCUAGUAAUUAUUUUUCUUCCAAUUUUUUGUGGGUUAAUAGUUAUACCAGAAUAUUGCAAAGGUUGGGUGAUUCUCUAGAUUGUAUUGCAGGGGUUGGGCCACCAUGUGUGGUUCUGUAUUUUUGUUUGUUCUUUGUGAUUUUGCUGGGAUGGGAUUAUUGCUCGAGUUGUAUGGUCAGGAGUGGGGUGGAUCGCGUUGCUGUUUGGUGUGACUUGGUGGGUGUGGGCGCUGGUUUAAUCGUACAAAUGGAGCUUCUUGUUGGUGGUUUCCCUUUAAUGAUACAUGUAGUUUGUUUCAGGAAUUUAUCGAGACAAUAUUAUAAAAUAUCAAUAAUAUCGACGAAAUAUCGAGGAUAUUAUUGUUUUUUCAGAUCACGAUAUUUCGGAACAUAUCCAUACACAUAUUGUAUAAAUAUCGAUAAUAUCAAAAAAUAUCGAUGUCCAUAAUUUCGCUCACACUUCAGCAAUAUUUUGUCAAAAUAUCGCUAUAAUAUCGUUAUAAUAUCGAAAAUAUCAAAAAUAUCAAUGUAAUGCAAAAAAGGAAAAAUAAAUCAAAAAAUAAAGCACACACGCAAAGAAAAUUCAAACCCUUGCAAUUUCACUCAUCCAACGCCUUAACCACCAUGUUGCUUGUGUUUUUGAGAUAAUACGCAAAAGGGAAUUCUAUAUGGCACUAAGUCAUUCAUGUAUCUUACUAUGCAAUGUAUAAAGUGUAAAAUAUUAUAGUAAAUCAUUAUAUAUAAAUGAUUAUGGUGUGUUUAAUUAUCUUUCAUUAAUUACAUACAUAUUUUCUACACUCACAGUGUUUGUCAGCUCGCUAUAUAAUCAACUUAAAUCAGUUAAACCCAUCAUGCAAUGCAUUUCCUUCCAAUUUUUUGUGAUAAACUAAUAGAUAAUUGAAUAAAUAAACAUCCUCCAAAGUUUCAAUAAAAAUUUUCAAGUUUUUCUUACAAUUUCCGUGAUUUUUAUUCAACUUUUAUCAAUAUCGAUAAUAUCCCAAUAUUUCCAUUCAAAUUUUCGUAUUUUUGGACUACCGAUAUUUCCGAUACCAUCGAUAUUUUAGACAUUGAUUGAGAUAACUAAGGAGCCCGGAGUCAUUUUUGGUAGCCAAAUUUGAUGGCAUACUUGGACUUGGAUUUCAAGAGAUAUCAGUUGGAAAUGUUGUACCUGUGUAUUUCAUGAGAUUAUGAGUUUCGGCUUUGUUUGAGUCAGGUUGUGUUUUCAUCAAUAGGAAUUAAGAGAUUCCAUCUUGCUAUGUUUCUCAGAGGUGGAGGUGGCUGAGUUGAGGGGAUGGGGAACAUGGGGGCGCUGGGUUGUUGGGCAAGGAAGGGGUUGGGAAUUUUUAAGUUUUUUUCUUUUUUUAAUUUCUGAUUAUUCUUAUGUUAUUAUUUUAUAUAAUUUUUUUAAUUUAGGUAUUGGUUAGUAAGUAGGUGUCACAGUUGACACGUCAUCAAUUAAUGUCUGACCAAAUGAACAACUUAACGGAAGGCUUAAAUUGGUCAGAUUUGAAAACAUUGAGGUGUAAAUUGAUGAAAUUGAAACCCCAUAGUCCAUAUUGAGAAUGAUCCCAAACCUUCAGGAAGUCUAUUGUUAUUAGCCCUAAAUUAAAUUAACUCUUUUUUUUUGCCCUUUUUUACAAGGGGAGUAUAGAAGAUUUCAUUUCAUGUAAAAAAUAGUUGUGAAGCUGCAAAAAUGAUUGAGUGAUACUAUCAAAUAGCAAUAUUUGUGUAACAGAGUUUUUUAAAUAGUAUUAUGAUUGUAACAAGGUUUUCAAAUAGAAGUAUCAUUAUAGCAAAUAGUCUCGUUAUAUCGAUAUCAUGUCGAUAUAUUGCCAAGACUAUUACUACCUAUAGUGUCUAUUAUUUCGAUUACAAACAGUCUUUUUUUUUGUUAUUGUUGAGAAAUUCUAGAAUUGUAUUCAUAAUUCAGCCAAAAAUGCCACAGCCAGAAAUGACCAUUACAAUAACAAAGCGGUCUAACAUCUAAAUUAAGACAAUCUGGUGCACUUUCACUAACGAUCAUGCAUGAUCGAAGAAACUCUGACAUAUGCAUUUCAAUUAAGAUUGCAAAAUAAUCAAAAAGAGAUAAAGCUUGAAAAAACCAAGCCAUAACAAUACAAAUAAAACUCUCAUAAGAAAGAGAUGAAAAGUUCUCACAAAGGAGAGGUAAAAAGCUCUCACAAAGAAGAAGUGAAAACUACACAUAGAACCCAAAGAGUCUCUGUGACUUAUUCUAAACAUAAAGAAAUCACAACAAGGAUGGUGGUGGAGAUCUGAAGCCGAGACGCAGCUGCUUGUGAUAGUUGGAGGAAAUCAUAAUAAAAUAAAGACAAAUAGGAAAAACCUUUUGUCUCUCUGAAAAUGAGGGGAGAAGAGAAGGAGGGAGAGAAGAAGGGAGAGGGGAGGAAGAACAGUGGCUUCCUUCACCUCCAAAGUGAAAACGGAUUUAGGAGAGUUUUUGGGAGAGAGGGGGCUAGGGUUUGGAAGAGAGAAAAUCUUUUGUCUACAAUUUGAUACCUAACGUUUCAAUAAAACAGUCUAAAAGUUUCGAUAUGAUUUAAACAAAGUAUAAAUAUUUUGUCCAUAUUGUCAGUUUGCUGCAGUAAUAGUGGUAUUUGAGAGGAAAUUCCUCAAAAUUAUUAGGUGUGCCUAAAUUCAGGUCCAUACAUCACUAGUAAAAUGAUAUAUGUGAAGUUACUAUAUAUUAGUAGAUCCUACAAGUGUAUGGCGAAAUGUUCUUCGAAACGACGAAGGCCAUCCCUUACAAUAAUGAAGUUGCCUGUCUGAGUCUUACAGCAGACUCUUGGUGUUAUAAGUGCCACUGAUGUUGUUGUUCUUGAUGUAAAUGUCACUAAGCUUCACUUGAAUCAGCAUUUGACAAAUAUAUACAACAGAUAAAAGGAAAAGAAAAACACACACACAUAUAUAUACCGAAAGAAUAAUUUAUAUUAUUUAUAAAUUUUGGGGGGGCCAUGGCCCCUCUGGUAAUCAGAAGCACACCGAGACUGAUGCUGCAAAAUAAUAAACCUUCCCCGUUUGAUGAUAGAAUUCAUAGUUUUGUGAGUCUGUAUUUUGGAUGUAUUUGGGAGAGAAUGGAUGAGAGAACGUUGCUCUCUGUGAAAAACAGAAAAAUUGGAAGAGUGAAGUCUGCUUUUCUUUCAUUACCAGCAACCAAAAAUAUAACCGUUGAGGAGAGAGAAGAGAGAUUCUUCUCUAACUGCCUCUAUACAAGAUUUAAUCCUAGCCAUUGAACUAUCAUCCUAUAAGAUGAUUACACUUGUCACAAUCUAACACCUCACUUAAGAAGCCACUUGGACUCUAAUCCAAUGGUCCUUAUUACAAACAGCAGAAAAGCUUUUAAACUAAAACAGAGACAUUCAAAACGAAAUGCGAUUAGGCGGCAAGGGGUUUUAGCUCAGCUCAAAGGGGUUACACAUCAACAUUUGAGAGAUGAAUACAUAUGCAUCAACCCCAGAGACACCCCCAAUAUUAAAUCUUCUUCUUAAACCCAAGAUGCUCUCCUCAUCCUCUUCAUGUAUAUAUACAUACGUAUAUGUAGCCAAGCAGGACAAGGGUGCUUGUCUUCAACUAGAGCAGGCGUUUAAUGGCAGGCUGGUGGGUUUUGUAUGCCACCAAAUCCUACUUCUGCAUUUUUGCAUAUGGAGGUGAUAGGCCCGCCAUUGCUGGGACCAAUGUAGUUCAAAUUGAUGUCCCGAAGCUCAACAUUUUUGCAAGGGAACUGGCUGCUGCAAAUGAAAUCCACUGCAAUCUUUGAUGCUGUGGUCCCUUUGAUGUUUAUGUAGUGAACAUUGCUGAUCUGUACGCGUGAUGGCUGCAAAAAAUUCAACGAUAGAACGUUAAAAAUUUAAGAUUAGGAUAAGUCAUGGUUCGAUCUCAUUCGAUGUACUAGAAAAUUGGUAAAAUUGAAGAAGGUAGUAGUUUGUGAAAAGGAGGCAGGUUUGAAGAGAAUUAGUUAAAACAAACCUGGUUCUUGUUGCAGCCCCCUGCGCAAUACUCUUGGUCAAUUAUGAUGGGUUUCUUAACAUUCUGCAUGAUAAGGUCCUGGAAAAUCAUGCCUGAGGCUCGGCUUGGGGUCGAUCCUGGCCAUGAUUUGAUUCUAAUCCCAUUGUCUGUGUUCAAAAACGUCGUCUUCUUCACGAUGAUCCCCGUCACGUCAUUUUCAUUCUGAUACUUGCCAAGGCUACCGAUACUGCCAUCCGUAAAAAUGGGCAUACAAAUUCAGCCAUGAGACAAUUUGAUAUGUUAUGUUGAUAGACCGAGAAAUAUGGACUAUUAACGACGUUACAAUAUUAUAGCAAAAGGGUUUCGAAGUCAUUAAGAAUUGAGUUAUGCAUGUACCUGAUGCCAUGUCCAGGGCCACAGACAACAUUGUUGAUGGCAACGUUGGUGGAUCCCUGAAUCAUGCCAAUGCAAUCAUCACCAGUUCCAAUGUGAACUCUGGCGAUCUUUAUGUUGUUGGAGUUGCUGAUGUGGAUGCCGUCAGUGUUGGGGCUUGUGUCAGGGGCAGAGAUGUUCACUCCUCGCACCCUAAUGUUCUGGCUGUUAGUGAGGAAAACGUGAACUCCUUUGCUGUUAAGGGAGGUGAUGCCUCGGAUGACCCCGUUUUUGACACCGUUAAAUUUGAUGCUCUGCAUAAUUAUUUAAGUAAAUAAAUUAAUUAAACUAAUAGUUAAGGUCAGUUUCUUUCUUAUGAUGGUAUACAAUUUAGAAGUUAAUUAUAAAUCAUUAAAUUAAACUUACAGCUGGGAGUGGACUGCAACUGCUGCAGCCAUCAAUGUUUUUCCAGGAACUUGAACCUUGCCCAUCAAAGACGCCAUUGCCUGUGAGGACCAAGCCCUCUACAUGUUCAAACAAGAACCAGAAUGGUUCUUCAUACAAGGAAAUAUCAUUCAGGCCUUUGAUGGUCCCUGAAACUUGAACAACAAUGGGUUUUGAGCAGCUGCAUGGCCCUUGAAAUAUGACUGGCCCAGUCUUGAAAGUCCCUUUUGGGAUUACAACCCUUGAUCUCCCGGUGUGGUUGCGGCAUGCUGCAAUCCAUGUUUGUAUGAAAGCCUGCGCAAUUUAAAACCAAAAACCAUCCAUUUCUCUCAUUAGACCCAAAAUUUAAUUAUCAUAAUUAAGUGUGCGAAUAAUACUAAUAUUACUAGAGUCACUAAAUUUUUACAAUGCUUGAAUCGCCAGACCCAUCAGGCUUGGCGCCAUGAUCCAACACGUUAAAGAUUUUCUCUGUAGGAUCCACUUUGUCAUGGACACCCAAAUUAGUGCCACGGAAAAUAUCGGGCACAACCAGGGUAACUGCGGUUGCGGCGGCUUGACAGGCCAGUGCAGCUAAGCACAAGAUAAGAAUGGCGUGGCUCGACAUUCCUGCAAUGGCCAUGGUCCCCCCUUCAAAUUCUAGGUCUUACGAACUAUAUAUCUAGCUAUGAUUGGUAAAACAAAAUAAGCCUCCGGGGGACGAGGCUGUUAUGAAGAUGAAUUAAUUCUCUGUGUGCGUGUUAUUUAUAGGUGCUUGUUUUCAUGUCGCUAAUUAAACCAAAAUUUUUAAUGGCAACCGCUGCUGUGUGUGAGGAGGCUCGAACUAUACGGUGAAGGUUGGAUUAAUUAGUUUUGUCAUUGUUGGUUUUUAGUUGGUUUGCCUAAAAUUGGAGAUAUGCUUUGUGUGUGUAUGCAUGGUGCAAUGUCGUCCUUCACUCCCUCAGUUGUAGCCUACUUCUUCUCCAUUUUGCCUUCUUUUUCAUAUCUUUGCCUCGCCCACCAAAUUAUCACCAGCAUUUUACCCACCAGCAUAUGGCAAGAUACCGAAAGCGGCAACAUAAUUUGUUUUGUUUUAUUUUUUCUUUUCUCUUUUUCCUUUUGGUUAGAACAAGAAAAAAAAAGAACUGGGCUAAAUUAUAGCAAUGCUCCCUGGACUAAGACCAAACUUUACUUAUUGUCCAUCAUAUUAUUAAAUUGUUACGGUGGUACUUUAAUUAUGUCUCCAUUUUCAGAAAUCGUCAUUUCCGUCAUCUCAGUCAACUUUUUCGUUAAAAAUGAUGACAUGACAAUGACAAGUCCUACUUGGCAUGGACACAAAUGUCUUUUCACACAAAAAAUUUAAAAAUAAAUCAAAUCUCUCCCUCUCUCUCUCUGUGAAAACCCAAAAGGUGAUGGAAGGUGAUCCAUCCUCCCACUAAGGAGACGGACAAUGCAAGCGGCCCACCUAAAUACCAUUACAAGAAAGAUCUUAGUUGUAGGAAUAAAUAAGUGCCUAUUUCAUCAUGAAUUUCUUUUUUUAAUUGCUUUUAUAAAUAGUAGUUAUGUUUUAAUUAUCAGCGAAGACAUGGAAACCAUUGGUUCUAUUGAGUACAUGAUGAAAUUAACACAAACAAUACUAGGGGCAUAAAAAGAACACCAUGAGAUUAUCAACAAAAUAAUAAUCACCCAUCAACCAGAUUAUCUGCAAAUUGAAAUUUCAUCACUUGAAAUAUGAAUACCCAUCAACCCUCAGCUUCUCUGUUUUGACCAUAUUUGAGGUGAAGGAUGGGGGCUGGGGUUCUGGGUUCAUGGGUGCUGGGGUUGCGGGCUACGAUAGAGGGUGGUAGUGGGAUAGGUUUGAGGGUUGGAGCUUGUAGGUGGUAGUCAUGGGGGAAGAAGAAAUCGUCAGGGGAAGAGGGAGAGCGCACAGGAGGAGAGAGAGAGAGAGAGAAAGAAAGAGAGAGAGAGAGAGAGAGAGAGAGAGAGAGAGAGAAUUAAUUUAACUAAGUUGACGGAAAGACCAAUGAUGCAACAUGAGAUCUAAUUGAAACACCAUCGUAACAAUUUAACAAUAUGAGAGACGAAAAGUAAAGUUUGGUCUUAGUCCAGGGACCAUUGCUAUAAUUUUGCCAAAAAACUAUUUGCGAUAGGUUCCCACUUCUUGUUUGACUGGUCUAGAUAUGCUUGUUUUUAUAAGGAUAUUUUCUUUUGGCAAAAAAAAAAGAAAAGAAAGAGGAUAUUUUCGGAGAGUUGAUGAUAUUUUUCUCAAAUAAAAAGGAUAUGAUUCCCCAUAUUGAUGAUAUUUUCUCAAGCCCUUGAUGAAUCUGAUUCCUCAUUUGACCCAAAAGGACAAUUAAUAAUUGAAGAUCAAGCUAUAUCUAUAUCAGCCAGGGAUUUAUUAAUUAAAACAAAAUUAUUUUAUACAUAUCAUUUGGUCGUUGAAUAUGCUAUUCUUAUCACAUUUGUAUACUACCCAUACCAUCUUAUGUGGCAAAUGAGGUGGACAACCACAUUAAUUAAAUUUAUUUAACAUUUUCUUUUCUUCUAUGAUUUAUUAACACUUUAAAAAACACUGUUAAUUAACAUUUCUUUAUUAAAAAUACGCUUCAUUGAUUUUUUUUUUUGGGUCAAAUUAAUAGUCUAAUCAACCUAAUAGGGUUUGUUGUCGCAAUCACCUUGACCACUAUCACGAGGAUUUAGAAACUUUCCUUCUUCGUGGUUCAAAUUUUGGGAAGGAAGAUAAAAGGAAAGCUCAAUAAUUGUACGUAUAAGUUCCUCUUCAUUUUUGACUAUUUUUAGGAUUUUUUAUUCAAUAACGCUACAUGCACCAACUUGUUUAUCAACUCUUUAACACUAAGUUACCAACACUGACAUGGCAACCCAUGUCAUCUGCCAUCUCAUUUAUUUUAAGUACAUAUUUUGUUCAAAAAAAGAAUUUCAUCGGCAAAAAUAAAAAAUAACGAAAACAAAAAGUUUUUAGAUUUAGCGUUAAACUCAUCUCCUUCGUCUUUCGUCCUUCUCCUUUGUGCAAUCUUCUUCUCCAACUUAGCAAAGCUUGAAGCUCAGUUCUUCAUGGCAAUGGCAGCUCUUUCUCCAGCUCAUUCAUCCCAUGGCACCGGCUUGCAAGCUCUAACUCAGACAGAAAUCAAAAUUUGGAUUCAAAGGAGAAUGACCAAUUUCUUCAAGAAACCAUACUCUUGAAGAAAUCAAUCUUGAAUCUGACCUAGAUAUAUAUGAGAGAGUGUUUGACUAGCAAGAUGAGGUUUUCAUAUUUCAAAUGCAGUUUUCAAAAAGAAACAUUUUGGAGAACUCAAAGAUGAAAAAUUAUGAAGGUUACACUUGAGGAAGAAGAGAAAGUUUACAGAGAAACUUUCCAAAACUUGCCUGAAAAGUGACAGCUACCAAAUGAGGAAUCCUUUGGCAUUUACACUCAAAAAUUCCUUAAGUCAGAAUCAACACAUAGUAGCAGAGAGAGAAAGGAAAAUAGGACAAAAUAGUUGGUUAUCUAGUUGGAAAUCCUACAGAGCAAGGAUGACUAGUCAUAUGAGAAACAGAUGACUAGUCAUCACUUUAUGAAAUCAAUUUAAUGCAAUGUGAUGCAAUGCACAAUUUACCUUUGUCAAUUUGCUUGAAUCUCCAUAGGAUAAUUGUUAGUUAAGAACACCUAGAGAAGCUAUUCUUAAUCUAAACUUGAGCUUGAUAAAAACAAUAAUAAUUCUAUCACAAAAUUGUCAAGGGAAGCCAAAAGAAAAACCCAAAAUGCAUACAUUAACAGUACACCUUACUACCAAACUAUUUAUUAAAUUACUAAUUUACCCUAAUAUAAACUAAAAACAAAUAUAUUGAAUUGUGAAACAAAUGUAAUUUUAAUAAGUGCACCUUACUAACGCGGAUCCUCUGGUUGUUUUUUCUCAAUUUGCUUGACUUUUCUUUUAAGCAUCCCACAUCAUUUAAAAAAUAUCUAAAACAUAACACCCCAUAUUUUUGCCUACAAUCUUCUUCUCCAUCUUAGCAUUUGGACAGCCGAACUCUUUUCUCUCUCAAAACCAAGCCCAGCAGAACCUCUUCUCCUUUCAAUCACUCUUCUUCUCCAAGCAUAUAAUUUUUUCAUUUUUCUCAUCUUUCAAUUCAGGAAAUUUUCUAUAAUAUUUGAAGCCCCUUGUAAAACUUGUUUUCUCCUAUUUACCCCCACAAAAGUAGCCACACGAAUCAUAUUGGGACUUAAUUGUAUCAGCAAGCAAGACAAUCAAAGUUGUUUUUUGGUUUCAGAUAUUGGAUUCAAAAAACAAAAAAUUAUUUUUAAAAAAUCAGAAAGAGAAAAAUGAAAAAAACAGACUGCAUGAAAUACUGUGUUUCUUGGGAAAAAAAUUAAAAACCCCCGAAGCUGCAAAAUUGAGUGUUUUAAUAAGAAUGAUUCCCUUACUGAGUAUUACUUAUUAUUUGAUUUAGGAUCAUUAUCAAAGAAUUCUAUUGAACGUUUUUGUGUUAUUAGUUACAUUUAGGAUAUAUAAAAAAGAACAAUAUUGUCCAGAGUGUACAAUUAAAAACUUUGAGAAUCAAAGUAUGGGGAAAGGGAUCGUGGGGAGAUGAAUGUUGUUGGUCUUUUUUUAAAGAGGUAGUGUAUUAGGGUGUAUCAAGGGUAUUUUUGGUAGUUAAAUAGGGUGUACUUUGUUAAUUUUACAUUUUAAUUAGGGCGUACUCAGUUAAUUUUAGAGUUCAUUUAGCAGAACUCAUAGAUUAUCUCUUUAAAAAAUCACACAAAUUGACGGGUAUUUUUGUAGAGCUCAAUUUGUAUUGUAUUUCAACAAUUUGAAUAGUCUAUGACAUAGAUUAUAUCGCUAUAAAAAAGCACCCGAAUUGAAUUUUUUUAACCAUUUGAUUGAAUAGUAGUCAUUUAUUAAGUGUGUGUCUAUUUGUCUCAUCACAUUUAUAUAUGUUUGAAUGGUUUACAAUUUGUUCAAAUAAAUGAAAUGCAAAGUGGAUGAACCCUAGAAAGUGUCGUAUUUGAAAAAUAUAUAAAUAAAAUGAUAACCUUACACAUAUUUGUUUAUUUUAUAUAAAUAUCACCACAAACAUAGAAUAAACAGUUGCAAAACAACAGAAAACUUCUAAUACUCAAAAAACAUCCUUUAGCUUACAUGAUAGAAACAGAAACUGCCUUUUUCCACAACACUUCUAUUCAACUGAGCAUCUUAUAUCUUCUUCAGUUGCAUUAUUUGCAAAAUUUGUUCCUCUGUUUGCAAAUAUGAAGCAUUUUUCAAACAUCUAGCAUAUUGCUGAAACAUCUAUCACUAGAUCACAUCUUACAAAAGUUAUUCUUCUGUAUUUGUUGUCGCUACUUUUCUUCUAAUUAAUAGUCUAAUCAAUCUAAUAGGGUUUGUUGUUGCAAUUCCAAAAGAGUUCAAGCCAGACAAACACACAUACACCUGCGUUAAAAUUCACUUUGACCAUUGACUCGUUGAGUUAGAAACUUUCCUUCUUCUUGGUUCAAAUUUAGGGAAGGAAGAUAAAAAGGAAAGCUCAACAAUUGUACCUAUAAGUUCCUCUUAACUUUUGACUAUUUUGGGAUUUUUUUUUUAUUGUUAUAGCAACAAAAAAAUAAUAAUUUAUUUUGAUAAUUUUAAUUUUUUGAAGGGAAAAAUUCUUUUGAUAUUUUGGGAUUCACCUAUGUAACAUAUAUAUAUAUAUAUAUAUAUGUGUGUGUGUGCAUGUUGACAGGUCUAAUCAAUCUAAUAGGGUUUGUUGUCGCAAUUUCAAAGGAAUUCAAGCCAGCCACGUUAAAAUUCACAUUGACUAUUGACGCGUUGAGUUAAACUUUAUAUCACAUCACCAUCUUUUAAGUUAAACUUUAUGUGUCGUAUUACUUGUACCAAACUAAGUUGGUAAUAAUUAGCGGCGAAUCUUGGGGUUACUCUAUCUCUAUCCAGCGAAAUAGCAGGGCUGCAUCCUUGCUAUUAAGAACAGCCUGAUCAUUCUUAAGAGGAGUUGGGUGUCUCCCUGCACGAGCUGGUUGGUCUUGAGAAAAUGGAGGCCUCUUGCCUGGCCGGCCAUGGAACUUGUCUAGCAUGGCAAAAGCCUCCCUUCCAAGCUUUGCUAGCUCUUCAUGUUCAGUAAUUAACACUCCCCCGUAGAUCUCUGCUGCCUCAGUGCUACUAAGAUAGACGUCCUUUAUCUGAUGAGGCUUCUGAGCUGGAACUUCCACCGUCUUUACAGGCCUUCUGAUCUGAUGAUGAGGAGGAGGAACAUGAUUUUGAUCCAUGUUGGGGUAUGGAUAAUAUUGUACCUGUUGAGGAGGAGGAAGAGGCCUUACGGUGACAGUCUUGGUGGGCCAGCCGCCAUGGUACUCUUCUCUCAUGGCAGGUGCUGGGAAGUAUGAAACUUCUUCUGCAGGGUAGACAUGAUCAUAUAGCACAGGACAUGGGUGCCUGAUAUGAUAAAACACUUUCUCCUCUUUCAUGGUCAUAAAGCCAUGCCUUGCCUUACUGAAACAAAGGUUAAGAGACAAGCAACAUUUAUAGUCGUGAGAGUCACAGAAGCUCACAAGUGGGCUAUCUGAUCGAUCGUGUGAUUUUCUUUUGAUGCUUUUCUGUUUCGUAAAAUAAUAAAAAGUAAUUCUUAUACUUUAGGGUCUGUUUGUAAUAGCUAACUAGUAAUUAAAUAGUAGUUAUAAUAGCAUAUUGAUUCCCCAUAUUGAUGAUAUUUUCUGAGAGUUGAUGAUAUUUUUCUCAAGUAAAAAGGCUAUGAUUCCCCAUAUUGAUGAUAUUUUCUCAAGUCCUUGGUGAAUCUGUUCCUCAUUUGACCCAAAAGGACAAUUAAUAAUUGAAGAUCAAUCUACAUCUAUAUCAGCCAGGGAUUUAUUAAUUGAAACAAAAUUAUUUUAUACAUAUCAUUUGGUCGUUGAAUAAUGCUACUCUUAUCACAUUUGUAUACUAUAUUCUCAUACCACCUUAUGUGACAAAUGAGGUGGACAACCACAUUAAUUAAAUUUAUUUAACAUUUUCUUUUCUUUUAUGAUUUAUUAACACUUUAAAAAACACUGUUAAUUAACAUUUCUUUAUUAAAAAUACACUUCAUUGAUUUAAUUGAUGUGACAUAUGAUAUGAACAUGCCACAACAUGUGGUAUAGAAAUAUGAGAUAAAAUGUGGUAAGUGUAGCAUUACUAUUUGAUGAUUUGGUUAGCAAAAUAGUGUUAUUGUGUUAUAUAUAGAAUGAUAAUCUACAAAUCCUCGGUUUGGUGGAAUAUCAUCACACACUUUUCGAGUGUAUCUAUGGUCGCAUACAUAAUUCCUAUAUAUGAUUUGGAAUUUUGUAAUACAUUUGUUAGGAUUGAAACAAGCACAAAAUUAAAAAUUUAAAAAAAAAAAAAGCACUAUUGCCAUUUCCCUAGCAUGAUAAAGUUGAAUUAAUGUCCAGUCAUCCAUUUCUCUUUAGUCUAUCCUAAAUCCUGAAUUGUACAAUAGAUUAUGCAAAUAUUAAAACCAAAGAGAUAUUAUAGAUCGAGAAUACAUGCACGAAAUACGUAUGUAGGUACGUACAUAUUCUAUCAAUUACAAGCUUAUCAUGAGGACGGGACAACUCGCUGGCAUAUUGACUGGCGGGAACUUUCACAGGGUCAAUCUUUGUUGGAUAACCACGGAAGUCAUGUCCAUUGGAAAUCCAAGUUAAGAAAAAAAAGAAAAAGAAAAAGAUACACUCUUCGCAGAUAUAUAGGGUAUAUCUAGUAGUUAAAAGGAUCACUAGGAGGAGAGGAAGAAAGGCUGACUAUGUUUCUUGUGUACCAAGAAAAUUAAGGCUAAUUGGGUCGAGGACCAUAUUCAGUAAUUACCACUCCCUUGUACAGCUCUGCUGCCUCAGUGCUAGUAAGAACGCGGCCCUUUGCCUGAUUAGGCUUCUGAGCUGGAACUUCCACCGUCUUUACAGGCCUUCUGAUCUGAUGAUGAGGAGGAGGGACAUGAUUUUGAUCCAUGUUGGGGUAUGGAUAAUAUUGUACCUGUUGAGGAGGAGGAGGAGGCCUUACGGUGACAGUCUUGGUGGGCCAGCCGCCAUGAUACUCGUCUCUCUUGGGAGGUGCUGGGAAGUAUGAAACUUCUUCUGCAGGGUAGACAUGAUCAUAUAGCACGGGAUAUGGGUGCCUGAUAUGAUAAAACACUUUCUCCUCUCUCGUGGUCAUAAAGCCUUGAUAAAAAGCCAUGCUAACUUAAUUAAAAGCUGAGAAUUGAAGUAGAACUAAUUGAUCAAGGGGAAGCUAGAGCUAGCUAGGUUUGCCUUGCCUUACUGAAACAAAGGUUAAGAGCCAAGCAACAUUAUAUAGGAGUGAGAGUCACAGAAGCUCACAAGUGGGCUGUCUGAUCGAUCUUGUGAUUUUCUUUUUAUGCUUUCCUUUUUCGUAAAAUAAUAAAAAGUAAUUCUUAUACUCUAGCAACCAACAAAUAUGAUAAGACAUUACCAUAAGAAUACUGUUCUUAUAAGUAAUUCAUGGCUUGUUUCGUAAGUCUUUUUGAAAAGAAAAAAAAAAUCAAUGGAGGAGGGACGGGAGUGCUUUCUAACAGUCUUGGUUGAGAGCUAGUUUGUGACUUGUGUUGUAAGUUGGGUCCUUGAAAGAUGGAUGGUGGGAAGUUUAAUUAGUAAUUUCGAGAAAUUCCUAUAACUUUGAGGAGUUCCAUUCUUGUGAUAUUGUAUGUUUAAUUUUAAAUAACUUGAGUUCAAGCAAAUCCAUGCAUGGCAAGUUCGAAUUUGAUAAGGAUAAUGAAAGUGAUAUAUAUUCUUUAUUGAAUAUUUUUUUUUUCCAGUGACGAUCUUUAAAUUGCGAAAAUUUGUUAAUAACUACUCUCGUCCGCAGUGCCUCAAUCAAAAUUGAACCUCCAAAGGAUUUGGUUAAGCAGUGAGCAAUUCUGGUAAGGUUUGGCCACGAGUUACAUAUAUAUAUCUACUACAGAGAACAUAAUGUUAUGGUAUUAAUAACAUGUUAGUUAGAUGUUUUGUAUUAUUUUCUUCCCCUCCUAUUGGAGAGUUUUGAAUAUAUGCACAUGACUGUGGACCCUAUAACGUUACCCUUCGUAGACAUUUAUCCUUUGCAUCGACUGUGGACCGUAUAACGUUACCAAUUUGUUUUAGAUCCCAACUGCCACCAUCAAAGAAAAAGCAAUGAUAUAUACAUAAUAUGUAUCCAUGGAUAACAAGUGUUGUGGAUAAGUCAUAAGAGAUUAUAGAUUAAACUUAUAAAUUUGCAUUGUAUUAUGGGUCUCUUAUUUUCCCAUUCUCUUUUUGUUCACUUACACUUUUUUUUAUUUGUUUUUGUUUUAAUACCUUUUAUUAUAACAUACAAGGGAAUGUAAGUGGACAAAAGAGAAGUGGGAGCAUACAAUUUUCAACAAAAGGAGUGUAAACGGACAAAAGAUUAGUGGGAAAAUCUGCUCCUUAUAUUAAUAGUUAUUAAACUAGGUGCUUUCCAAUAUAUUAUUGAUGUUAUUUUCAUUGGAUUUAAAAUUGUUUCUCCCAUCUUAGAAAUGUUGAUAUAGGUAACAUUUAGUAAGGAGAAAAAACUGCAAAAGACUUAUUAUUGAUGUAAUUUUAUUUCUUGAUGAUUUGGGAAAAAAGUAUUAGUGUGGCGUGCAUAUGCUUACGAUGGCAAGUUUACGUAACAAAUUAUUCUGGCCUAUCUCAGGCUCUGUGCUUGAUAUCUUCUUGGUAGGAAAAUAUAUUCUUGAUCAUAUAAUGUUGCUUUAAAUUACAUGUAGUGGAGGAAGCAUUUGCCUCCUGUUGCAUGUAUGUAUUUGCCCAAAUUACAAAUGGGUUACUUUAGAUUUAGAGCAUAUAUAUAUACAUAUACAGUACGUGAAUGUGAUCGAUUCCAAUUUUCCAACAGAAAAAGAUACCACAAUCCCCAGCCACAACAAUCUUGCCUGGGUCCUUAAUUGGGAUAAGAUAUUUGAAGAAGCUUGGGGAAUAAAAUGGUAUAUUCUUUUUGCAUCUCUUUCUAAUUUGCAUACUUAAUUUUCUUUUUCUUUCUAAGUUCUAACUAAUAGUCUAAUCAACCUACGAGGGUUUGUUGUCGCAAUUCCUGAAAAGGAGUAAAAAGAACAUAUUCAAAGGGAAAAAAAAGGAAAAAAAAGGGAGAAGAACGCUCCUUGGGGGAAAUGGGAAGGUAUUAAUUCCUUGCAUAACUUGGUAGAAGUUCACCUUCACCAUUGACACAAUCAGUUAGAAUCUUUCUUUCUCGGUUCAAAUUUCGGAAAGGAAUAUAAAAGGAAAGCUCAAUAAUUGUACGUAUAAGUUCGUCUUUACUUUUAACUAUUUUGGGAUUUUUUUAUUCAAUAACGCUAUGUGUACCAAUUUGUUUAUCAACUUUUUAAUACCAAGUUACCAACACAUGUGGCACAUGACAUGACAACCCAUAUCAUCUGCUAUCUUAUUUAUUUUAACUACAUAUUUUGUUCCUAAAAAAAGAAUUCACCCAGCAAAAAUAAAAAAGAACGAAAAACAAACGAUUUUAGAUUUAGCGUUAAACUCAUCUCUUCCGUCCUUCCUUAUUCCCCUCUGAAGACCCUAGAAAUUGAACAGUGCGUCCAAUUACGUAUCAAAACAUGGGAUAGCUGGUCCAACAAGAAAAAAAAAACCAUAUGCAGCCAAUUAAGCUUAUGGCUAUUGUAGGAGGAUGUGCAUAUAUAAAUAGGGAGAUUCACUAUUAUACCCAAUAUGGGGGCCCAAAUUAUAAAAAUACCCUACAUAAAAUGGACUUUAGAAACACACCCAAAGCCCAUUUACAACAUAACAAAAAAGCUUUUAACUUCUUAUAAAUUACAAAACUGCCAUCAAUUUCUUAAAACAAGCCCAACCCCAAAAUCUCAUAAAAAUACCCAAAGCACUCAAUAGGGCAUCAAAGUAAUUUAAUAAUCAAUAUUAAAUUCAAUAAGGCCAGCUAUCAUGUUUUGGGUUUUUUUUGGGUUUGUUUAUAGGAAUUCAAUUGUGUAGGGUUUAUUUAUAAUAUUAGUGCUAGAAAUGGGUAUAUCACUAAAUAUCUCAUAUAAAUAUUCAUGUCUAUUGUCACAGAAUUUUUGUUGUUGUUGUUGUUGAUAUUAGAACUUAAUCAUACCGUAGCAACUAUACAUCGUCUUUUAUAUCACAUCAUCACCAUCUUUUAAGUUAAAAUUUAUGUGUCGUAUCAUAUCUAAUGAUUACAUUGCUAACUAAAUCUUAUACAAGUAGUAUAACCCAUCGAUGAAGAUAAAUAUCUCACUUUUGUAAGAAAUGUGACCCAUGAAUGAUGAUGGGUAAUGAAUAUGAAACUAAUAGCAAAUACAUUCACUUAUAUAAGGAUAAGAAUAUAGCCGGUUCUAAGAUUUUGAGGAUCCUGUGUGAAACUUAAACUGGAGCCCUCACAUAAUCUAAUAUGAAAAUACUGGAAAAAAAAGUUGCCAUGACUUAAUUUCAUAAAUAAAUUAUUUUUAUAACUAAAAAUCAUCAUCAAUUAGCAUGUAAUAAAAAUCACAAAUCAAAUUCAUAAUUUUUUUAACGUUUUCAUUGAUAAAGUUAAAUAUUAGUUUGUUCGGUAAAAAAAAAAAAGAGUUCAAGAGAAAGAAGAAGGCAUGAUUUUUUAUUUUUUAUUUGGUUGUUUUGAGUGGAAAGUGUUUUUUUUAGGAGAAAGCGUAUGGGUGUGAUAUAUUAGUUUAAUUGGAUCCACCUCCACCAAAUACACUUAUGCAUCAAUGUGUUGCAUGCUAGUUUAUAUAUAUAGUUUUUAUAAUAUUAAUAUAUAAUAUAAAAUAAAAAAAUUUCGGGGGCCCUCAAAAAUUAAGGACCCUGUGCAGUGACGCCACUUGCACCAUACCAGGGCAGUCCCUGUAUGAGAAGUUGCUGAGUCAGUCCAUGGCGAACCUUUAGAAUUAUUAGAGUCAUUAUAGUGCAUCUGAUACUCUUUUUUUCUUCUUUGUUAUUUUCUCGUUUUCUUUUCUUCCCUUUUUUUAUAUAUAAAUUUUAUAAUAAUAAUAAAUUUCCUUGAAAAGUGAUUACAUAACAAAAAAGAUAGAGUAUGCAGGAGGGGAGGGGCUAGCAUUAAAUAUAUUUUAUAUAGCAUAAGAAGUGAUUUCUACAUAUAAUUAUAAGCGGAACAUAUAAAGACUAGGCUAGCUAUAUAUAUCCAAACCACUUCUACAUUUGAUGUACAUAUAUUUGUUUAUUUUAUAUAAAUAUCACCACAAAAAUAGAAUAAACAGUUCCGCAAAACAACAGUAAACUUCUAAUACUUAAAAAACACAUCAUUUAGUUUACAUAAUAGCUUACAUAUUUGAAAUAUGUAUUAGUAAUAUUCCAAAUUACAGAAGUGCCUUAUAAAGUAUUAUGGUAGCAUUAUUGAAUGUAUGGAAGAUUCUUUGGAGCUAAGAAUUUCGUGGCAGGUUAACCCAUGGAUAUGGUUGGUACAAAACACAUUAAUGAAAAAGAGGAAUAAGCACAAAUUGUGGGAGGUGAAGAUAUUUCUUACCGGAGAGAUUGACAGGAAUCAAUAUCAUAGUUUAUUUGGUUGCUUUUCGUUGUUUGAGAGCUGCAUAUGAUGGAUUUUUCAAAUAAACUUAUUUGAGAGAUAUUUUUGUAAAGCUCAGUUUGUACUAUGUCUGUGUGAAAUUUGUUUCUUUAUGAAAGGUUAUUAUGAGAUAAUUUAUCUUCAAUUUUGAUAUGAAAGUGUGUGCAACUAAUGAUGAUUUUGGUAUAAAAUUUUGGUAGAGACUUCUUAUUGUCUUAUAGGUUCAUAUUGAGAAUCGACAAGAUAGAAUUUCAACUUGGAUAUGUGAUCAUGAUUUUAGCCAUUUGGAGUGCACAAAAGGGAGUAAGAGUAUCAUGAAAUACUUUGUGAUUAUAGUUAAAUUUAUUAAAUGAAUUAAUUGUUAUAUUGUUGUUCAUAAGUGGUAGCAGGUGUACUCAAAGUUUCAUGGAUUUGAGAGGUACUCUUAAUCAUAAGAUUUAAUGUAUGAUGCUUUUCCGUUAUACUUAAAUGUAUACCAAUGCGUAUUUAAUUUCCAAUUAUACUGAGGUGAAAUCCACUAAUCAUUUGUGUGCAAGAUUGUGUAGGAAAUAUUUCCAAAAACAUGCAUGUUUAGAGCGCGUUAAAAUGGAGAACAAAGACAUGACCUACAUUAUAUAUGCCUUGUGAAGGCUAGUCUUGAUAUGCAUGCCUCGUGGAGGAGGCUAUUAAGGCAAAAUGUUGAGGGGGAUGUGCUUAAGCCCAUAAGGGAAUCACUUAGGGAGGUAACCCAACUUCUGUGAUUGGAGAUCCCAUGAAGGAAGUUCAAUGUGGUAGAAACAAUUCAUACUGCGUGACUCAUAUAGCACUCAUAAAAUUAUGGAGAUAUCCUUGAGAUAUUCUUCUGCUCAUCCCUAAGGCAAAAGUUCUAUUUUAUGUGACGUUAUGAAGGGAUUUAUCCCUGAAUGAGUUUCGAGGCGGGCAAACUCUCGCAGGGUGCAGGUCACAUGUACUUUUGGAGAACUCACCUAAGUGAGAGACGUCGUGAGGCCACGACUGUGAGAAUUGGGCUAUUCUCUAGUAACUCUCAUGAGAAUCAAGAUUAGUGCAUGGUCAUAAAUAGAGCUACCCCGCAUCCAAGUCUCAACCAAUACUAUGUGUGGGAUAUGUUGAAGUUUGGUCAAAGGUGCCGAGUUCAAUACUUUGUACACUCAGGUUCCUCAAAUGGAGACUAUCAUCACUAAGUGAAGGUUCAAGCCCGGAAGGCACCUACACCUAUUACAUAGUAUUAUAUUGCCCGUAUAUAUUAUAUAUUUUUCACUUUUUUUUGUCACGGUAAAAUUUUGAAAACGGAUUGUUGGAAUUUUAAAAAGGUUUUAAAAUUUAACCGUUUUAUUUAAUUAUUUUGGCUGUUUUAUUUUAUUUUAUUUAUUGUGGGGGUUAUAAAUAUUUAAUAUUCAUGUUUUAUUUUUGUAUUGAAUGCCUUAAUUUUCUGGUUGUUGAACUUUUCUAGUUGGUGAAGGUUAUAUGUUUUUGGAUGUCUAUAAAAGGCCACUCCUCAUUCACAUUUGAAAAAAUCACACACUAUCAGAAUAUCAUAUACCACAUUCUGAUUCUCUCCUUUUCUACUUUUACAUAUAUUCUAUACUUUAUAUUAUUAUUAUUUUGGGCAAUGGUUAUGUGACUUGGAUACCUAUAUCUGUUUAUGAACGUGCUCAUAGCGGAUCUUGAGUUUGUGUACAAAGGGUCGUAUCUUGGAGUCUUGUAGAUCGUCAGUACCUGCACGUGGGAGACUACAAAGGCUUUAGGAUAACGUCUUUGAUGUGCUUCACCGUACCAAACUCACCUUCUUACUAAUUAUUUAUUUUCCUUUUACUUACCUAUUAUUUUGUUUUCUUCAAUUUCAUUAUACCUUCAAAGCUUUCCAAUUUGUUUAUAUGUUAUUUAUAAUAUAAAUAUUUGUAUUUGUUUUAACGGAAAUAAGGAAAACUUAUUAUUUUACACAACAUAAGCUUGUAGGUGGUAGUCAUAGGGGAAUGGGGGAAGAAGAUAUCAUCGGGGGAAGAGGGAGAGCGCACAGGAGGAGAGAGAGAGAGAGAGAGAGAGAGAGAGAGAGAGAGAGAGAGAGAGAGAGAGAGAGAGAGAGAGAGAGAAUUAUGAAUUUCUCAAUUUGCCCUUAAUUUUGACAGAAAAUUUAACUAAGUUGACGGAAAGACCAAUGAUGCAACAUGAUAUCUAAUUGAAACACCACCGUAACAAUUUAACAAUAUGAGGGUCGAAAAGUAAAAUUGGGUCUUAAUCCAGGGACCAUUGUUAUAAUUUUGCCAAAAAACUAUUUGCGGUAGGUUCCACUUCUUGUUUGACUGGUCUAGAUAUGCUUGUUUUACAAGGAUAUUUUCUUUUGGCAAAAAGAAAAAGAAAAAAGAGAGAGGAUAUUUUCUAAGAGUGGAUGAUAUUUUUCUCCAGUAAAAAGGAUAUGAUUCCGCAUAUUGAUGAUAUUUUCUCAAGUCCUUGGUGAAUCUGAUUCCUCAUUUGACCCAAAAGGACAAUUAAUAAUUGAAGAUGAAUCUACAUCUAUAUCAACCAGGGAUUUAUUAAUUUAAAACAAAAUUAUUUUAUACAUAUCAUUUAAUCGUUGAAUAAUGCUAUUCUUACCACAUUUGUAUAUCACAUUCUCAUACCAACUUAUGUGGCAAAUGAAGUGGACAUCCACAUUAAAUAAAUUUGUUUAACAUUUUCUUUUCUUUUAUGACUUAUUAACACUUUAAAAACACUGUUAAUUAAAAUUUCUUUAUUAAAAUAUACUUCAUUGAUUUAAUUGAUGUGGCAUAUGAUAUGAACAUGCCACCACAUGUGGUAUAAAAAUAUGAGAUAAAAUGUGAUAAGUGCAGCAUUACUCUUUGAUGGUUUGGUUAGCAAAACAAUAUUAUUGUAUUAUAUAUAGACAGUCCCGAUCUCUUGGACCACAGGAGUCCAAGAGAUUGUGGUCACCCACCGUUGGAUAUUAAUCCAAUGGUUCAAAAAAGUUUUCUAAAAGAAGUGCAAGAGUGAGUGAACCGUUGAAUUUACAUCCAACGGUGAGUGACCACAAAUCUCUUGGACCCCUGUAGUCCAAGAAAUCAUGACUGUAUAUAUAGAAUGAUAAUCUACAAAUCCUCGGUUUGGUGGAAUAUCAUCACACACUUUUCGAGUGUAUUUAAGGUCACAUACAUAAUUCCUAUAUAUGAUUUGGAAUUUUGUAAUACAUUUGUUAGGAUUGAAACAAGCACAAGAUAAAUAAAUAAAAUAAAUAAAAAACACUAUUGCCAUUUCCCUAGCACGAUCAAGUUGAAUUAAUGUCCAGUCAUCCAUUUCUCUUUAGUAUAUCCUAAAUCCUGAAUUGUACAAUAGAUUAUGCAAAUAUUAAAACCAAAGAGAUAUUAUAGAUCGAGAAUACAUGCACGAAAUACGUAUGUAGGUACGUACAUAUUCUAUUAAUUACAAGCUUAUCAUGAGGACGGGACAACUCGCUGGCAUAUUGACUGGCGGGAACUUUCACAGGGUCAAUCUUUGUUGGAUAGCCACGGAAGUCAUGUCCAUUGGAAAUCCAAGAUAAGAAAAAAAAGAAAAAAGAAAAAGAUACACGCUGCGCAGAUAUAUAGGGUAUAUCUAGUAGUUAAAAGGAUCACUAGGAGGAGAGGAAGAAAGGCUGACUAUGUUUCUGGGUAUUUCUAGGUAAUUGACACUUCCAUCGUCUUUACAGGCCCGUAGAUCUUUCGUGCCUCAGUGCUAGUAAGAACGCCACCUUUUAUCUGAUGAGGCUUCUGAGCUGGAACUUCCACCGUCUUUACCUGUUGAGGAGGAGGAGGAGGAACAUGAUUUUGAUCCACCUUGGGGUAUGGAUAAUAUUGUACCUGUUGAGGAUGAGGAGGAGGAGGAGGCCUUACGGUGGCAGUCUUGGUGGAGUUUUCUAUUAUGUGUUGGAAUUCUGAUACCUGUGCUGGGAAGUAUGAAACUUCUUCUGCAGGGUAGACAUGAUCGUAUAGCACGGGAUAUGGGUGCCUGAUAUGAUAAAACACUUUAUCCUCUCUCGUGGUCAUAAAGCCUUGAUAAUUAGCCAUGCUAACUUAAUUAAAAGCUGAGAAUUGAAGUAGAACUGGGGAAGCUAGAGCUAGCUAGGUUUGCCUUGCCUUACUGAAGCAAAGUUUAAGAGCGCAAGCAACACUAAAUAGGUGUGAGAGUCACAGAAGCUCACAAGUGGGCUUUCUGAUCAAUCAGGAUCGAUCUUGUGAUUUUCUUUUGAUGCUUCCCUUUUUCCUUAUGAGCGCAAGCAACAUUAUACAGGCUUCAUGUUUUGCUUUUUUAGGUUUUUGUGGGUUUUUACUUAUGAGGGCGUUUGAGUAAUUUUAGGUGAGUUUUUUUGCUAUUUUUAAAAGUUUUUAUAAAAAUUGACAUUUAUGAAAGUAGGGGGUAAAUUUUGGCUAUUUUUGAUAAAAACUCACGUGGAACUCCACGUCAAUUAAAAAUGGGUCCCACAAAUGCCAAGUAGGCAAAUAACGGAUUUUCUGACGAUCUCGCUAAUGGAGGGGGCAAUUUGUAGCUUUCCGUGAUGUUGAGUAUGUACUCAUAAAUGUCUCCAAAAUCGGGUGUAAACUCGUAAAUGACCCUAUAAAUUGGGGGGAUUUACUGUAAUUUACCCAAAAAGAAAAGCUAGUAAUUCUCGUAGCCGAUUUUGAUAGAAAUAACUAAAUGCUUUAAUUGUCAUUUUCAGGAAAUAGUAUUUUAAAUAAAUGCGCUUCUAGCAACCAACAAAUAUAAUAAGACAUUACAUAAGAAUAUUGUUCUUAUAAGUAAUUCAUGGCUUGUUUCGUAAGUCUUUUUUUUUUAAAAAAAAAAAUUUUAAAAAAAAAAAAUCAAUGGAGGAGGGACGGGAGUGCUUUCUAACAGUCUUGGUUGAGAGCUAGUUUGUGACUUGUUUUGUAAGUUGGGUCCUUGAAAGAUGGAUGGUGGGAAGUUUAAUUAGUAAUUUCGAGAAAUUCCUAUAACUUUGAGGAGUUCCAUUCUUGUGAUAUUGUAUGUUUAAUUUUAAAUAAGUUGAGUUCAAGCAAAUCCAUGCAUGGCAAGCUCGAAUUUGAUAAGGAUAAUGAAAGUGAUAUAUAUAUAGCUUUCGAAAAAGAAAGAUCCAUAUUCAACCUACUAGGGUUUGUUGUCGCAAUUCCUGAAUUGGAGUAAGAAGAACAUAUUCAAAGAAAAAAAAAAGGGGGAGAAGAAAGAUCCUUGGGGAAAUGGGAAGGUAUUAAUUCCGUGCAUAACUUGGUAGAAUUUCACCUUCACCAUUGACACAAUGAGUUAGAAUCUUUUUUUCUUGGUUCAAAUUUCGGGAAGGAAUAUUAAAAGAAAGCUCAAUAAUUGUACGUAUAAGUUCCUCUUUACUUUUGACUAUUUUGGGAUUUUUUUUAUUCAAUAACGCUAUGUGCAUUAAUUUAUUUACCAACUUUUUAAAACCAAGUUACCAACACACGUGGCACAUGACAUGACAACCUAUGUCAUCUGUCAUCUCAUUUAUUUUAACUACAUAUUUUGUUCCUAAGAAAAGAAUUUCACCCAGCAAAAAUGAAAAAAAAAUAAAACGAUUUUAGAUUUAGCGUUAAACUCAUCUCUUUCGUCCUUCUGUAUUCCCCUCUGAAAACCCAAGAAAUUGAACAGUGCCUCCAAUUACGUAUCAAAGCAUGGGAUUGCUGGUCCAACCAGGAAAAAAAAAAAAAAAAAAAAAAGCCAUAUGCAGUCAAUUAAGCUUAUGGCUAUUGUAGGAGGAUGUGCAUAUAUAUACACGUGGGCGGAGCCAAUGAAGGCUCAAGUGGUCAUGUGACCCUUCUCAUGUUAAGCAUAUUUGAUCUUUUUACAUGUUUGUACUUGAUUUUUUUAUACAAUAUUUUUGAAAUUUGACCCUUCUCACCAUCUUACCUUGCAAAAAAACUACAAAAAUAAAGAUGAAAACUUUUGUCUCCCAUAUCCCUAACUUAUGCUACUUACCCUUUUAAUUAUUUCUUUAUUUGUAAUAACUUAAUAAUUAUUAACCUAAUUACCUAAAACUAAAAGCAUGACAUCUUACCCUAAAAAAAAAACUCAAAAGAUGACAAUUCAAAGUGAAGAUGGACAACCCACUACUACAAAAAAGCAAAAAGACGACGGUAAAUCACCGUCGUGUAUUUGGUUUUUCAAUGGUCGUGGAAUCCACCGUCAUCUUUUCCCUCAUAAACCACGACGCUAAAUAACCGUCGUUGUUAAACAAUACAACGUCAUCAAAAAAUACAAAACGACGUCUUUGUACUGCAAAAAGAUCUAAAAAAAGCAAUCGAGGAUGAUAAUAGACGACCAAUUCUCUAAAAAGACCGUCGUUAAAAAGGGAAAAUAUGACACAUAUUAAGAGAACAAGGCCGCAAGAUAGACAUACAACGACGACAAUAAAAAUACGCCGACGUUAAAUAUAAUUUUCACGACAAUAAAAAAUAUGACGUCUUUAAAUACAUUAGAAGACGACGUUAUUGAUACCUACUACGUCGCACCAUAUAAACACCAACCGUCGUACAAUUAAUUUUCCACUUCGAUUUUUCGAUAAAAGAUGANNNNNNNNNNNNNNNNNNNNNNNNNNNNNNNNNNNNNNNNNNNNNNNNNNNNNNNNNNNNNNNNNNNNNNNNNNNNNNNNNNNNNNNNNNNNNNNNNNNNNNNNNNNNNNNNNNNNNNNNNNNNNNNNNNNNNNNNNNNNNNNNNNNNNNNNNNNNNNNNNNNNNNNNNNNNNNNNNNNNNNNNNNNNNNNNNNNNNNNNNNNNNNNNNNNNNNNNNNNNNNNNNNNNNNNNNNNNNNNNNNNNNNNNNNNNNNNNNNNNNNNNNNNNNNNNNNNNNNNNNNNNNNNNNNNNNNNNNNNNNNNNNNNNNNNNNNAAUAUUAGACGUUGUUAAAUACAACAACGUCGGAAAACAAUAAAAACAGACGUGUUUAGUCUGCUAAAGUUCUACAACGUCUCUUAUUUACAAAAAACCGUCGUGAAAUAAAUUUUCCACUUCGAUUUUAUCUAAAAAAGAUGACGUGGAAAUAGUUGUCAGUGUCAUUAUUUACGACGUAUACAUUUAUAUAGUCGACGUUGUAUUUAUAUGUAUUCAUUACUCACGACGCACUUAAUAAUAUAGACGACGUUGAACGUCUAAACAACGUCGGUUCCAAAUAAAUGAGAGCCGUAUUACAGAACAUAUAGACGGCGUAGAUUAUGAUGGGAGCCGUAUUACAAAUAACGUCGUUUAAUUGUUAUUAGACGGCGGUUAUAAUGAAUUUCCGUCGGAAUUAAUUUCGUUCCUCUUCGUUUAUAAAAGAACUUGCGACCUGGAAAAUGUAUGAUGACGUCGUAUUUUUUAACGUUCAGAUUAUAUAUCUCGUUUUUUAGACGUCGGUAUUAUGGGAUUGGAGUCGUGUUAUUUUGAAUUACAUGGCGGUUCUUUAUCCUUCACCGACGUGAUAUCCUGAAUAAUUGCUUCACAAUAGCGUCGUGGUUCUUCAUUGUUACGUUGCUUUAAGACGUCGGUAAAUAUGCUGAAUAACUGAUUCACAAUAACGUCGUGUUUUAUUUGAACGUAGAAAGUGAAGAAAUCACAUUACAAUAUAUUACAAAAUUAAUGUCAUACACUGCCAAUUACAUAAGCAUCAUUCAAUCCAUAUAUCUUCACACCCAUCUCGAAUAUUUUGACCGCCUAACUCACCUACCAGUUCAUCAAAUGUGUCAACAUUUGGCAUCCCUCUAGUAAAUGGCUCACACUCAAUUAUCACAUCACCUAAUACUUCAUCACCAAUAACAUCAUUAUAUUCUCUACUAGGCAUUGAUAACACUACCGACCAACCACGAUGCAUCGGGUCGUCAACAAAAAAUAUUUGUUUGACUUGAGAAGCCAAAACAAAUUGGUCAUUCCUAUGUCCAAUUUUACUCAAAUCUACAAGGGUAAAUCCAAGUUCGUCGACUACAAGACCAGAACUAUCUAUCCAAUCACACCUAAAGACUGGGAUUGUAAACUUUUGGUAGUCAAGGUCCCAAAUUUCUUGAAUGACACCAUAGAAACCCAUAUUUGAGAGAAUUGGGUUUUUAUCCUUGGCACUAGCAACUUGCAUGGUAUGUGCAAGUAAAUAAACUCCACUAUUUUGAGUUGUCCGCACAUCAUCUUGUGCCUUGAUAUUGAAUUUAAUACCUUUAAUAAGAUAGCUCCUAUAUAAUGGCACUGACAUGUUUGGACCAGCUGCUAGCCACCUUAAAUUUUCUGAUACGCCAUGAUUGUCUUCCUCAAGUUCACUUUGAACCUGCAAAUUAAUCAUAUCUUAAUUCAUCCUAACAUAUAAAUAAGAAGAAAAUUAAAAGAGAAAUACGUUAUUCAACAACAUAUACCUUGAAGCGUAGCCAUUGAAUGAAAGUGCUAUUGUGCUUAUCCUGCAGCCACUUUGUUCUCUUUCUAAAUUUUGGAUAAGCAGUCUUGAUGUGGAUCAUAUGUUGCCUACAUGACACGAAAAAUUCAAGCAUUACGGUCCCAAAUAUAUAAGAUAAACAUAAGAAAUAAUUUUAAAUGGAAACUUAAAGAAUAAAACUCAUACGUACUCGAUAUAAGGUAGGACUUCCUCCGUAUUCUCCAAGACAUAUAGAUGUGCUUGAUUCAACAGGUCCUGAUCAACUACGCUCACUGUGCAACCUGAUAAUGGCUUUGAAACUCCCAUCUUUUGGCUUGAAGGCACUCCAACUGUACUAACAUCAGAUAAAUGCUGAGUACAAAACUCUACCGCUUCUUCAGCUAUAUACCGCUCAGCAAUGCAACCUUCGGGACGAGUACGAUUCUGAACAUACCCCUUCAGCACUUUCAUAUAUCUUUCAAACGGAUACAUCCACCUAAAAUAUACUGGCCCACAUAGACGAACUUCUCUGACAAGAUGUACUACUAGAUGAACCAUGAUAUCAAAGAAUGAAGGGGGAAAGUACUUCUCAAGCAAACACAGAGUAACUACUACAUCUUCUUCCAACUUAUCUAGCUUGGAAACAUCAACAGUCUUUGCACAUAUAGCAUUGAAGAAGAAGCACAAACGAGUUAUUGCAUACCUUGCAGGCUUCUCCAAAACAGAACGAAUUGCCACAGGGAGCAAUUGUUGCAUUAAGGUAUGACAAUCAUGUGAUUUAAGGCCAAGAAGUCUUGAAUCUUGUACAGAUACAAGAUUUUUAAUAUUUGAAGAAUAACCUUCAGGGACCUUCAUACCAUAGAAAGAAUUGCAAACCUCUCUCUUCUCUGCUCUUGACAAAUUCCAAGGCCCAGGAGGCAAACGAGUACGUCUUUCUCCAUACUCGGGUUGCAAAUCAGUUUUGACCCCCAUGUUCAAUAAAUCUAAUCGAGCAGCAAUCCCAUCUUUAUUUUUUCCAGGGAUCUCCAGCAAUGUACCAAUGAUACUAUCGCAAACAUUCUUCUCAAUGUGCAUAACAUCUAGGGCAUGCCUCACAGGAAGGUAUUUCCAAUACUCGAGAUCAAAGAAUAUUGAUUUCUUCUUCCAACAAACUCUGUCACCAUUUUCAACCAUAUGCAGCACUUCUUCUCCGGUUAAUGGCUCUGGAGGUAUGCCAUAUUCAGGUUUCCCAUUAAAAGCUGCACGUUGCCUCCUAUAUGGAUGAUUGAUUGGUAACCAUUUUCUAUGCCCAAUGUAACAAAUUUUGUGGCCAUUUUUCAACCUGUGACUAGGUGUAUCAUCGCCGCAUAUUGGACAAGCUUUAUAUCCUUUAACAACACAACCAGAUAAGUUUCCAUAGGCGGGGAAAUCAUUAAUUGUCCACAUUAAUGCAGCUCUGAGUGUAAAGUAUUCUCCAUUAUGUGCAUCAUACACUCCUCUAAUCCCAACCCACAAGGAUUUUAAAUCAUCAAUCAAAGGCUCCAAGUAGACGUCUAUAUCAUUUCCGGGUUGUUUAGGACCGGAAAUCAAUAAGGUUAACAUCAUGAACUUUCGUUUCAUGCACAGCCAUGGAGGGAGAUUAUAUGUAACUAAGAUAACCGGCCAACAACUAUAUCUGCUACUUAGAGAACUGUGGGGAUUGAAUCCAUCAGAUGAAAGAGCCAAUCUCAAGUUUCUCGGCUCAUUACCAAACUCAGGCCAUUUAUCAUCAAGAAGUUUCCAAGACGGGGAAUCCGCCGGAUGAGACAUCUGACCGUCAAUUGAUUUUCUAGCAACAUGCCACCAAGUCAAACUCUUAGCUGUCUCAUGUGAUUGAAACAUCCUUUUAAACCUUGGAAUUGGGGGAAAAUACCACACCACCUUCGCUGGCACACCCUCUUUCAAGAUUGCAUCUUUGCCUUCCUUCCACCUUGAGAUACCACAAGUAGGACAAUUAGUUGAAUCCUCAUACUCCUUCCUAUACAAGAUGCAAUCAUUGGGGCAUGCGUGCAUUUUCUCAUAACUCAGCCCCAAUGCACACAAAGUCUUUUUAGCCUCAUACAUGGAGGUUGGUAUUGUAUUUCCUUCUGGAAGCAAAUCGCCUUGAAGUAUCAAUAAUUCUGUAAAACAGACAUCACUCAUCCCAUGUUUUGCCUUCAAAUUAUACAACUUCACUAAUGCCGAUAACUUCGUGUACUUUCUACAACCAGGGUACACUGGUUGAUCUCCAUCCCCAAUCACAUUGGCAAACUCAUACGGAUCCGAACCAAAAUCACCAAAAUCAUUAUCAUCCAUAUCAAUUUCUUCAGACACAAAACUGUACCUACUAUGACCAUCAUCUUCUUCAACAUUUCUGCUAGCAUUAGUAGUUGCUUCCCAAGGUUCUCCGCGAAAUGUCCAAUUCUUAUAGCUUUGGUCAAUUCCAUUAAAGUAUAAGUGAUCCCUUAUAAUUCCAACCCCAAACAACUUCAAAUUAACACAUUUAACACAUGGACAACGGAUAUGUGUUGUAGUUAGAAGAUUUUCUACAGCAAAGUUCAAAAAUGCUUCCACCCCAAACUCAUAUGCCUUCGAUCUUCUAUCCGAGUGCAUCCAUGACUUAUCCAUCUCCGACACUAUAACCUAUUAUCUAUAAUAAAGUGAAAAUACAGGCAAUGACCAUCACUAUAGCAGAUUAUACAAUGAUCUAAUCGCAAGUAAUAAACAACAGAGACGACGGGUUUUAAUCAAAAACAGACGUAUUUGGCAUAUAUAGACGACGGAUUUUCAACAGACGUCGUCUAUUAUACGUAAUACAAACGACGGUUUAUGAAAAAACCGUCGUGUAUAAGUAAUACAACGACGGUAGUUUAAAAACACCGUCGUGUAAUCGUCGUCGUACGCCUUAAAAUUCGUCGUGUCUCAGUUUAUUUUCAAGAACACAAAACCCAUUAAGAACACAACAUAUAUAUGAAACCAAGCAAGAAACCAACAUAUACAUGAAACCAAGCAUGAAAACAAUAAAUCCAUUCCCAAUUCAACAUAACAUAGGGUGAUUAAAAGAUACGACAAAAUUAAAUCCAUUCCCAAUUCAACAUAACAGAUAAUGUAAUCCAUGAACCCAUUAAACAGAAAAUCCAUGAACCCAUACCUAUAAGCAUUGGUGCACUUUGCACCUUCUCCAGAGCGGAAAAUGACAAGAUCAAAUAAAGGUGUCCUUUUGCUGGAAAUCAUUUGGAAGUUGGUGAUGUGUCUUUUUGUGUUGAUUUCCAGCAAAAGUACACCUUUAUUUGAUCUUGUCAUGAACCCAUUAAACAGAAAAUCCAUGAACCCAUACCUAUAAGCACAUUAUUAACAGAUCGCAAAGCAUAUACCUAAAACCCUUUAACAAAACAACCUAAUAUCAUUCAAUGAAUUUACAAGGGGAAGAUAGGGUUUGUACUUACAGGUUGGACGAGCUCACAGAUUCGACGAGCCUGGAGAGUGCAACUUUUAAUUAGAGCAGAAGUGAGAGAGCGAAAUGUUAUGUCGCGUGAAAUCUGAAAUUUUAGGUUUCAGGGAUCAAAGUAUAAGACUAAGAGCCAAAUCUAAAAAAAUUUAGGUCGCGCGAAAAUUUUUAGAGCGCGCGCGUUAUAAAACGUCGAAAGAAAAACCAAGGCGAAAGUUCUACAAGUACCGACGUAAAUUUAAUAUUCCACGACGGAAACUUCAUUUUUCGGAUUAAGAACGUAAGGCCGUUCAUUUUUCGGAUUAAUUUUAAAUUUAUUUUGAAUUUUUUAUAUAACGACGACUGAAAAACCACGUCGGUGUUAAGAAAUUAAAGACGUUGUAAAUUAUAUAAACCGACUUACAUAUUAAAAUAACGUUGUUUAAAGCGUAAACCAUGUCGUAUGUUUUACUGUACGACGUAAAAUAUGUAUUCCACGACCCAACCACCGUCGUUAAAAAUUAAUACACUAAACCCAUAAAAUUAAAUUAUACAAUUUAAAAAAUUAAGUUUAUAAAAGGUUUUAUGGUUUUAAAGCCUAACAUAUAACAUAGACUACCCAAAAAUUAUACUUUAAAAAUAAACCCCAAUAAAUAACAACACUAAUCUCUAAACCCUAGACUCUAAACCCUAAACCAUUAAACUAGAAGUGAUUUUAUGACUCAUCAAAACAAUUUUGUUUUGGAUGGUCAUUUUAAAUUUUUGUUAUUCAAAAUGAAUUUUUUCAAGGUUUAUGUGGAAGAAAAUAUAUCAAUGACUUCAUAGGAGUUGACUUUUCAAUUUUCUGAUUUAUUUUAUAUUUAUUUUGAAUAUUUUGAUAUAAAAAUAAUAAAAUAUUCUUACCAUACAACAAACCACGUCGGUGUUAAAUAAAUUGUAGACGUUGUAAAUUGUAAUAGACUACUAAGUCGUUAAAAUGACGUCGUUAAAAUGAGAAACCACGUCGGUGUUAAGAAAUUAAAAACGUUGUAAAUUAUAUAAACCGACUUACAUAUUAAAAUGACGUCGUUUAAAGCGUAAACCAUGUCGUAUGUUUUACUGUACGACGUAAAAUAUGUAUUCCACGACCCAACCACCGUCGUUAAAAAUUAAUACCCUAAACCCAUAAAAUUAAAUUAUACAAUUUAAAAAAUUAAGUUUAUAAAAGGUUUUAUGGUUUUAAAGCCUAACAUAUACCCUAGACUACCCAAAAAUUAUACUUUAAAAAUAAACCCCAAUAAAUAACAACCCUAAUCUCUAAACCCUAGACUCUAAACCCUAAACCAUAAAACUAGAAGUGAUUUUAUGACUCAUCAAAACAAUUUUGUUUUGGAUGGUCAUUUUAAAUUUUUGUUAUUCAAAAUGAAUUUUUUCAAGGUUUAUGUGGAAGAAAAUAUAUCAAUGACUUCAUAGGAGUUGACUUUUCAAUUUUCUGAUUUAUUUUAUAUUUAUUUUGAAUAUUUUGAUAUAAAAAUAAUAAAAUAUUCUUACCAUACAACAAACCACGUCGGUGUUAAAUAAAUUGUAGACGUUGUAAAUUGUAAUAGACUACUAAGUCGUUAAAAUGACGUCGUUAAAAUGAGAAACCAUGGCGGCUAUUUAACUAUACGACGUAAAAUAUAUAUUUUACGACUUAACCGCAGUCGUUACAUAAACGUCGUCGAUUAUACCCUGAACCCUUAAGAAAUUGAAGAUAUUGUAAACCAUUAACGACUCAAUUGUUCAAAGAACGUCGUCUAACUAUUUUUUUACGUCGUAUUUGUUUAAAACACGCAACAACAAAAUACGACGGUUAUUGACUUUAUUAGGUCGUUGGAAAAGUAUUACACGUCGGUUAAGCAAUUUGUAUGUUUGUUUUUUUUUUAAUUUAAGAAAACCUCAACAAAUUUUUACAUUACAUAUUAUAGAGAAAAUUGGUACAUUAUACAUAAAUAUCAAGUGUUCAAUAAUUGCCCUGUUUAAUAAUUUGGAAAACAAACUCUGCCCAUUCAUUCCGGACUUCAUCAAUGGCUUCUUGGGGGUAUGAAGCUUCCUGGUUUCCCUUGGCAUACUGCAUAAACAAUGACUAUUAGGGUUUAUAAAUAAAAAGAAAUUCAAUCACAGACGACGAUAUUUUUCAUAACCGACGUAGUAUAUCCAUUCAACGACGUUAAUUUUACACGACCGUCGUUGAUAAUACAAAAAACGACGUGAAAUGUAUGAAGGUAAUUUCUUCUUACCUUAUUCUCAAACCCCAAGGAAGGAUCCAUGAUGAUGUCCCUCAUGAAGCGCAUUACAUAAUACCCGCAUUCGACAUUGCUGGGUUGCUUUGGUGUGCCUGAGAGAGUUUUCCAAAUUACAUUUUUACGUCCUGCUCGGGCUAUGUGGGUAUUAUAUAUUUUUAAAGCACUGUUCACGAUGUUUUUGGCCUCUUCAUCGACCACACGAUUUCCUGGCAGAGGAUCCAGAAAAUAGACGGUUUCUCUCUUUGCUCUUACAAUCAGCAAAAUCCAAUGACGGCUGCACAAAAUUAAUAUAAAAACGACGGUUAUUUACAAAAACGACGUAUUAUAGUAUUUCACACGACGAAGUAAAGUAGCUAACGACGACAUUAUAUAUUUAUCACGACGAUAAAUAAAUACCGACGUGGUUAGUAGUUUCAAACGACUAAAUAAAAUAAAACACCGACGUGGUUAGUUUAUAAGCUGUCAUUUAUUGAAAAUCAUAAAAACAAAAUCCUAAGGAGACUAACCCUGGAUUGUAAGGCAUCAUGAAAAUCUGUUCACCGUCUGUCUUCUGAAGUCGAGCUGCUACGAGUCGUGAUCUUUCAGUUAUUGUGCCAGAGUUGGCACUAACUGUAGCAGGGUCGAUAAAGCCAACCAUACUGCACAUAUUGGCUUUUUUCAAAACAUCGUGUAAGUACCUAAACAAAUAAAAUAAUAUAAACAAGUCAGCACACAAAACACGACGGUUAUGUAUAAAAAAACGACGUAUUAUAAUAUUUCACACGACGUACUGAAAUAGAUGAGGACGUUAUAAUAUAUUUAUCACGACGGUUGUUAGUUAAGACGACGUGGUUAGUUAGUUAAGACGACGCAAUAUAUAAACCAACGAGUUAUUAUUUUAGAAGUACAAACCUCAUAUAUACAGCCAAUACAGUAGCUCCAAUUUCUUCCAUGCCUGCAAAUUGUGUAAUAUCUUCAGGCAGGAGGAAGGUAUCGCGCUCACCACCAAACACCUCCUUAUCAAUUGUAAAUUGGACUGUCUUAUCCUCAGGCAGGAGUGUCGUUUCCACAAAACGACAAAGGGUUUUUAAAGAAGAUGGCGCCUCCAUUUUUGAAUAAGCACCAACUUCAAUAACCUGUUUAAAGAAAUAAAAAAAAUGACGUGGUAAUUCAAUAAAGACGACGGUUUAAGGAAUAAAACGUCGUUUUAAAAGUAUUUAAACGACGGUGAAAAAAUUGUCGUGGUAAUUUAAUAAAGACGACGGUUUUAUGAAUAAAGAGUCGUCUGAAACCAUUUAAACGACGGUGAAAAAACCGUCGUUUAAAUAUUUUAUUACGUCUUAAAAAAAUUCCGCCGUCUAAGUUUUAAACAAACGACGGAUUAAAUAAAAAUAUCGACGUCUGAAAUUUUGAAAAACAAAUAAAAAAGUUAUGUUAACAUACCUUGUCGUCAUGCUUUUCUUCAUCUUCUUUCUCCUUUUCUUCUUCCUUCUCUUCAUCUCUUUUUUCUUCUUCCUUCUCUUCAUAUCUUUUUUCUUCUUCCUUCUCUUCAUCUCUCUUUUCUUCUUCCUUCUCUUCAUCUGGCUGAUGUUUCCCCAUUUUGGCAGUAUCAUCCUCCAAAUGUAGGGAUCUCACAUCACCUCCAGAGCAGCUAGCUUUGUCAGACAUUGGAUUUUUGGGGCUUUGGCUAAUUCUUGGUUUAAGCAUGCUUGGAUCAAAAUUGGGAAUUAAUUGGGAAAGCUGACUCAGGAAAUGCUCCCUCUCAGCCUCUACCAAUUGUUUUGUCCUAGCCUCCAUCCUUAAGGCCUCUUCCCUUGCCUUAGCCUCCAUCUUUUUAGUCUCUUCUUGAAGGAGAACUCUUAAACUCUCCUUCAAACGGUCGUCAAAGCUCACCCUCUGUGGUUUGGGCAAAUUGAAAUAUUGCCUUGGGGAAACACCAGCACCAACUCCCCUCACCCUGCCUGGAUGCUCGGGGCCCAAAGCCAUGGUCAGCACAUCAUUGCUGCCAUCUACUCUGACUUUGCCUUCCGAGACUUGUUUCUGCAAUUCAUCCUAAAACAAAGAUAAACAAAAAAACACACGACGGUUAUUUAUGUACAAACGACGUAUUAUAUAAUUUCACACGACGCAAUAACAUAUAAAAUGACGUUAUUAUAACUUAUCACGACGGUAGUUAUACCGACGUGGUUAUUUAUUUAAAACGACGAAAUGAAUAAACAACCGACGUCUUAUGCUAUAAUUAAAGAAAACAGAGUAGUGAUUCCUAUUUAGACCGUUAACGACGUUUUUACAAAAGUUUCGACGUGGUAAUAUCAUUCACACGACGCGAGAAUGAACCACCGACGUCGUAUGCUAUAAUAACAGAAAACAGAGUAGUGAUUCCUAUUUAGACCGUUAACGACGUUUUUAAAAACGUUUCGACGUGGUAAUAUCAUUCACACGACGAAAAAUAUAACAUACGACGUAAUAAGAAUAAUUCACAGUUUAAUAAAAAUUUAAAACAGAGUGAGUAGGCUUACAAUUAAUUUUGCCUUCUCUGCCACCUUUGGAUCAGGGAUGUUACCAUGUUUGUCCUGUCUAGCUCUCUUCCAUAAGGUAGAUCGAUCAAUUUCUACCCCAGGCAUGGUUUCCUCCAAUUGAUCCUCCAAUCCAGCAUAUCCUUUUCGAGACAAUCGAUGAUUGUACUCGAGUUUCUCCCUAAUCUGUGAAUGUUGAGAAUGCACAGACUGAAAAUCUUUGGAUAGCCUUGAAGCUACAAAGGCAUCCCAUUGUGCUUUCUCUAUAAAUUUAUAUGUUUCAGGGGGUUGGCUUAAUUUCUCCCUGUCAUUGGUGUAUGGAAGGAUAUAAUGCCUCGUUAGUGUAGACUUGAAAUCCUUCCAUUUUUUGGCAGCAGAAGAUAAAACAGAGGUCUUGCCCCCUUGGCCUACGACAAAAGCCAUGUCAACUGCUUCCCAAAUCUGCUCCUUUAUAUCCUUUGGGAUUUGGGACCAUUUCUUGUCCACAAGUGGGAUCCUGGAGCGUGCCAAGACACCAAUAUACGACUGCAUCUCAAUAUGUGCUUGGCCAACACCUUUCCCCCUUUUAUUGUACUCAACAAUUGGCCUCAGUUUCUGAAGCUUUCUCUUCACAACACGAGGCAUUGUGCUCAUACCUCGACCAGUCUUUGAAUCAUCAGAGAUUGUUGUCUGGCUGGUUGGUUCUGUCUCAGCAGAUGAUGAAGCAAACUUCAUCUUCUUCGAAGACUUCAUCUCCUUCGAAGACUUGUCUUGGGGAGCUACCACUCCAAGCUUCUUGGAGCCAGAAUCCUUAGUUUGUUGAUGAGAAACCAUUUUAACAGACAAAACUGCAAGUGAAAAUAUUUCAGGAAAACAUUAAGAACACAAACGACGGUAUUAAAAAAAUACGACGUAUGAUAUGAUUUUAGACGACGCAAUGAAAUAAUCUCAGACGUAAUAAAUGUUUAAAACCAUUAUUUAUAUAACGUCGUGGUAAAUAUGUUCACACGACGUCAAUAGUAAUACACCGUCGUGGUAAAACUAUUAUUUAUAUAACGUCGUGGUAUUUAUGUUCAUACGACGUCAAUAGUAAUACACCGUCGUGGUAUUAACAUUCACACGACGUAAAACAAUAAGAUAUUUUUCGUCUAUAUUAGAUACCAACCCUAGUUUCUUUUUCUUUAUAUUUUAUCAAAUAAGGGAAAAACAAAAACCAUUGUUCAGAGAAAUCAAACCUGCAAUUAAACAAGCAUAUAAAAAAAGACUAUUAUAUUAAAAACAACUUUGUCAAUUUUCAGACGACGCUAGAACAACUGACGAACCGUCGUGGUCUACCGUCGUCUUAUUUAGUUGAGGUAGUUGUCUUCAAAGUUGGAAACUUUCCCUCUUUGUCUGUAUAUUUUAUCAAACUUGGAAAGAAGUAAAAUGAUUUUGGCCAGAAAAAAGGUAAAAAGAUUUUUCAAACAAAAAACGUAUGAGCAUGCAAAACAGUAACCAAAAUAGUGAAAAUGAAAGCUUACCUUUUGCGUGCAAUGAAAGCAAGAGGAAGAUGAUCGAUGUUUAAAUUCAGAGACGACGAAGAAGACGAGAGGAAGACGAUGAGAAACUCUGACAAUGCUCUGACAAGGAAAAAAGACGAAAAGGUUUCUCUGGGAGAUUGAGAUUUUUAAUCGGGUUUGGAAACAGUGCAUGUGUAAGUCGAAAAGUUGCUUACAUAUAAAACCAUUUCAAAAAAAAAAUACGGCGGUGACAUUUAACUACGUCGUUUUUAACUAACACGACGCAAUAUUUUUAGUUCGACGUGGACUCAUUUCAUUUAACGUCGUUAUAUUUAAUAUAACCGACGUGGAUUUUAAUUUUUAAAUUAUGAAUAGAAUUUUUUUUCCCUUGAACUUUCAGUUUAUUUUUCAAUUACAGUGCGUUAUAAAUAGAGUUUUUUUUCCGGAGGAAAUUUAAAAUGAAGGAAAUUAAUGUUCUGGAAUUUAAAUAAAAUAAGAAUAUAAAAACAACGACUGUUUUUGUAUUACUGUCGUCGUUUUUCGUCGUCUUAAGUAAGACUAAGACGACGUAAUAUAAUUGUUUAGGGACGUUGAUUGUUGUUUUAAACGUCGUUAGGUAUAAUAUAACCGUCGUUGGAAAUUGUUUCUCUGAUUGCAAAUUUGCAACGACGUUAGGUAUAAUAUUUUUAGAUAAACAAACGCACACACAUCAUCAACUUCCAAAAAAUUGUCUCUCUGAUUUCAAAUCUGUGUCAUCUGUUAAGAUUAUGAUGUGGAACAGAGUUCCAUCUGGUAAGAUUUCGUAACCCUUGGGAUCUCAGAAAAAUCUGAUUAUGUCGGCGGUUUUUUAUAUAAACCGUCGUGGGUAUUUCAAUUCUUGUCAUUAAGUAUAUCUACCGACGUAGGAUAAGAAAAUCAAAGAAAAAAAUUGUUAACAAAAAUUCUUAUUAAGACGACGGUUUAAAUUAAAGGUACGACGUAUAAAAUGCAUAAAUACGACGUUAGAUUUUAUAGUACGAUUUAAAGAGAACGUCGUAGAACUAUACAAUAAUGACGUCGAUAUAUUUAUAUUUGUCGUCGUUGUAAAUUAAUUUAAUACGGCGAUAUUUUGUAUUUUACAGCCGUGGAUUUGUUUGUAAUUAGACAGCGUCUUAUACGAAAACCUCGUCGUGUUAUUUUAUAAGUAAAAACGGCGGCUUUUAUUGAAAUCGUCGUCUUUACUUUCUACGUCGGUCGAUUCAUAACUUCUGCCGUUCUUUGUUCGCUUUGAUUUUACACUGCGGAAAUCUGUUUCAAAUAGACGUCGGUUGUUUAAUUAAGUACGUCGUUGUUUUUGAACAGCCAUUUGAAUCUCCCUUGUUAGUUGUCUAAGGUGGUAUUAAACGACGGUGUUUUUAGAACCGUCGUCGUUUUAAAAACCACGACGGUUUUCACUGAGACCGUCGUUGUUUUCUGGUCGUCUUUUUCACUUUUUGUAGUAGUGAUAAGUCACAACGACCUGUAUAUCGAAUGAUAUAGAAAUUAAUACAAAGGAUUUUAUUAUCAGAUGAAUUUUUUAUUAUUUUGUGUUAAUCUUGUCAUUUGAGGUUGACCUCUCUUAAUAGAUUUUCUGACUCCGCCAUUAUAUAUAUAUAUAUAUAUAUAUUCAUGUCUAUUGUCACAGAUUUUUUAUUCAUUAUAUUAGAGCUUAAUCAUACCAUAGCAACUUUACGGCGUCUUUUAUAUCAUAUCAUCACCACCUUUUAAGUUAAAAUUGAUGUGUCGUAUCAUAUUUAAUGAUUACAUUGCUAACUAAAUCUUAUACAAGUAUAACUCAUCGAUGAAGAUAAAUAUCUCACUUUUGUAAGAAUUGUGACCCACGAAUGAUGAUGGGAAAUGAAUAUAAAACUAAUAGCAGAUACAUUCACUUGUACAAGGAUGAGAACAUGGCCGGUUUUAAGAUUUUGAAGGCCUUGUGCAAAAUUUAACUAGAGCUCUCACAUAAUCUAAUAUGAAAAUAAUAAUUAAAAAAAAGUUGCCAUGACUUAAUUUCAUAAAUCAAAUUUUUUUAUAAAUAAAAUUCAUCAUCAAUUAGCAUGUAAUAACAAUCGCAAAUCAAAUUCAUAAUUUUUUUGAUGUUUUCAUUUGAUAAAGUUAAAUAUUAGUAUGUUCGGUAAAAAAAAUAAGAGUUCAAGAGAAACAAGAAGGCAUGAUUUUUUAUUUUUUGGUUUAGUUUUGAGUGGAAGAAAGUAUGUUUUUUUAGGAGAAAGCGUGUGGGUGUGAUAUAUUAGUUUAGUUGGAUCUACCUCCACCAAAUAGACUUAUCAAUGUGUUGCACGCUAGAUUAUAUAUACACUUUUUAUAAUAUUAAUAUAUAAUAUAAAGUAAAAAAAAUUUCAGGGGUCCUAAAAAAUUAGGGACAUUGUGCAAUGGCACCACUUGCACCAUACCAGAGCAAUCUAUGGAUGAGAAGUUGCUGAGUCAGUCCAUGAAAAACCUUUAGAAUUAGGAGAGUAGUCAUUAUAGAGCAUCUAAUACUCUUUUUUUCUUUGUUAUUUUCUUGUUUUCUUUUCUUCCUUUUUUUUAAAAUUAUAAAUUGUACAAUAAUAAUAAAUUUCCGUGAAAAGUGAUUACAUAACAAACAAGAGAGAGUAUGCAGGAGGGACUAGCAUUAAAUAUAUUUUAUAUAGCAUAAGGCCAUCUCCAACUGAGAGGCAAAACCUAAAAUUUGGGAUUUUUAGCCCAAAUCCUUCUCCAACUUAUGUAUUUAGAGGGGGGAAAUUUGAGUUGACUGAAAAAUGGGGCGGAAUUUGGCCCCAGAUUCCAGUUCAGGCAGAAUUUUUGUGGGGCCCAAUUCGCAGCAAACAAGAUUCAUGUGGGGCCUCAUUUGAAGCAAAUGAUGGGAUGUUGCCCACUACCCCAAGUUGUUGGCCAUUUGUCAAAGCCUAGGCAACUUAAAAAUUGGACUUCUAUGGCUGCAUUUCAAAUGGGCUUCUUUCAAAUUUUUUUUUUCAAACCUAAAGGCUAGAAAUCAACGGCUGAUAUUAAAUUUUGGUUGGAUCAAAGGGAAAAAAAAAUCCAACAGCUGAAAUUUAAAUCCAAAGGUAAAAAUAUGUAAAAAUAUUAUUCUAAAUUGGAUGCAACCUCCAAACAUAUCCUAAACUCUAUAAAUACCCAUCAAUUUGUUAAUAAAAUUAUGUUUGUGAAAUUUCAAAAAUUUGUCAAAAUGUUCAAAAAAUAAAUCAUGGAUAUUCAAAAUUUAAUUAAAAAAAAUUAACCACAAAAACAAAAUAGAAUUAUAUUAUUCUUUAACAAUUUAAUAAAGUUGCGGACUCAAAUUAUGAGUCGGCAAGGCUGGAGGAAAAAACAAUUUGAGUCCUAAAAAUACAUGAAUAGUUGUAUUUUGGAGGGUGAAAUUUUGGGUUUGAGUCCUCUAGAGUUGGAGAUGACUUAAGAAGUGAUUUCUACAUAUAAUUAUAAGCGGAACAUAUAAAGAUUAGGCUAGCUAUCCAAACCACUUCUACAUCUGAGAUACAUAUAUUUGUUUAUUUUAUAUAAAAACCACCACAAAAAUAGAAUAAACAGUUCCGCAGAACAACAGUAAACUUCUAAUACUCAAAAAACACAUCAUUUAGCUUACAUAAUAGCUUACAUAUUUGAAAUAUGUAUUAGUAAUAUUGCAAAUUACAGAAGUGUCUUAUAAAGUAUUGAAUGUAUGGAAGAUUCUUUGGAGCUAAGGAUUUCGUGGCAGGUUGACCCAUGGAUAAGGUUGGUACAAAACACAUUAAUGAAAAAGAGGAAUAAGCACAAAUUGUGGGAGGUGAAGAUAUUUCUUUCUGGAGAGAGUGACAGGAAUAAAUAUCAUAGUUUAUCUGGGUUUUUUUUCGUUGUUUGAGAACUGCAUAUAAUGGAUUUUUCAAAUAAACUUAUUUGAGGGAUAUUUUUGUAAAGUUCAAUUUGUAUUGUAUAUAUUUGAACAAUUCACAGAUCAAAUUGUCUAUUUCAUAAAUUAUCUUUUUUAAAAAUCACACAAAUUGAGAGCUAGAUGUGACAAAUUAAUCUCUAAAUAAACUUAUUUGAGAGGUAUUUUGUAGAAUUCAAUUUGUAUUGUAUUUCAACAAUUUGAACCAUCUAUAUAUCAUAGAUGAUAUCUCUUUAAAAAAGCACCCCAAUUGAUUUUUUUUUUUAUAACCAUUCUGAUGUAGGACAAAUUAUGAGAGAGAGAGAGAGAGAGAGAGAGAGAGAGAGAGAGAGAGAGAGAGAGAGAGAGAGAGUUUAAAACACACGAUGGAGUAGUACUGAUAUUACAAGUAGGGAAUAAUUAGAAAGAUGUUGGAGUACAUACCAAAUAGACUUCAUUCACACACUAUACUAUAGUAUAGUAUUCAUACCAUAUAAUUAAUUAAGCCGCAGGCUUCCCUUAGUAAUAUAAUUAAACAGCUCUAUAUCUAAAGCGGUAGGAAGAUUAGCUUAUAACCAAAGGAUCAAUAGUAGCCAGGGUAUUGGUUCCAGUACAAAUACAUUCAUGAUCAUAUAAUUAACUAAUAAUAACGCGUAUUACGAUUGAUGACCGGGGUUGGCUUACUGGUGCGAGUAGAAUUCGUUCCAUAUAUUUCUGUGACACAUAUCCCACCAUAGAUUCGCACUGCUUCGUCAGGGCUGAUGACAGGCUUAUUGUAAUUAGGCCGUUGCAGCUUCUGUGGAGCUCCAUGAUUCUCCAUGUUGGCCGCCGCUGCUGCCGCCACUGCGCCUCCAUAUCGACGUUCUUGAUAAUCAUGAGAAGGUGUAGGAGAAGAGGAAACUUGAUUCCCCAUGUUAAUUACAACUUAAAACUGAUUACAAGUUUUGCUUUGAUUUGAAUUCCUUGGGGUCCAAGCCUCAUUAUAUAGUAGUCCCAUUACUCACACAAGCUUAUAAUAAUACUUCACCCUUAGGGGCCCGCAGAAUGUAUAUGAUGUUAUAUAGGACUUGCAUGCACAUUCUGCUUAAUUAAUUAGUUAUAAUUCUUGAGUAAAAUAAAUGAAAUUAAUAGUGCGCUUCUGGAUUUAGUAUAUAUGCUGUACAUGCUUUAUUCUUCUCAUACCAUUAAAAAAUAGAAAAAAGAGGAUUUGCAUGAGUCCGUAAUAAUUUGAUUCAGUACUCAACUGCUUUUUUGUUUUCCUGUAUCCUUCAUAAAAAAAUAAAAAGGGGAAAGAUUAGCUAGAUUGAUUCUUGUUUUCCUGUAUCCACAAUGUUGGCGUGACUUGUGGAUAUUGACUUACUUUCCUUACACACUAAGAAUUCCUAUUAUAAUUGUAAUUGAUUUACUUUAAUUCCUGAUUUCCUACUGCAAAUAGAUUUAGGAAUUUAUUAUUUACUUGCCCAUUCAGGUUUCGUUGUAUUAUAAAUAUGACCUCCUACAAGGAGAAGAAUACACAGAAAAUUCCCACAAACAAAUAUUCUCUCAUAGUUUUCAUAUUUUAGCAUGGUAUCAGAGCGGCGAUCUUGGAAUUGCUGACUCUAGUUUCAAACCCCCGCCGCUGCUAUGGGGGUUGAUGAUUUUUUCAACCCUCAUGGAGGUAGCACCACCGACUCCUUCUCUCAUUCUCCACCAACCAUCAUUGAGUUGAGUGCCCAGAUGGCUCCGCUCCUACAGAUGCAGACUUUGACCCUGAACCCGAUCCAGAAUUCGGAUCCUUUUUUGACGACCCCGACCCCGACCCUGACUAUGACGACGACGACCCCGACCCCGACCCCGACUAUGACGACGACGACCCCGACCCCGACCCCGACCCCGACUCCGAAGACGACCCCGACCCCCACUCCGAUGAUGACCCCAAACCCGAAUUUGUCUCUGAUUCAGACCCUGAUCCCAAUUUCGACUCCGACUCCGGCCCCGACUCAGGCUCAGAUUCCGAUCCCAAUUCCUACUCAACCUGUAUCCUAUGCAUCUUCCGCUGCACAAAUUAUGACUUCUAGACUAACGACCCCGACACGUGGACUAGAUUGCGCAUAUUGUGGUGAUCCACGACACACUUGUGAGACUUGUUUUAAAUCGCAUGGCUACCCCAAUUGGUGGGCUACUCUUAUAGAUCGAGGACAAUGCAAUAUGACCAGUAAUGGUACUGGUUAUGGAUUCCAUACUUCCAAUAAGAUUGAUUCCAGGAGCUGGAUAAUUGAUUCCGGUACAACUGAUCAUAUGACGUUUGAUCCUGAUGAUUUUCUGAAUACUACACAACCUCGACGAACCUGUAUUGCAAAUGCCAAUGGUGUUACUUAUCCUGUGACAGGGGCUGGCACUGUUGCACUCUCAUCCUCUCUCACACUGUCUAAUACUUUACUUGUUCCAUCUUUAUCCACUAAAUUAUUGUCAGUUAGUCAGCUUACUGAACAAUUGAAUUGUUGUGUACUCAUUUACCCGAGUUUUUGUUUGCUUCAGGAUAUUCACACUAAGGAGAUUCUUGGUCGUGGUACUAAGAGAGGGGGGCUAUAUUAUGUCGAUGACUUCAGUCCCGACAUGGCUAACAGCGUGACACAUCCCUUUGAUAGCAAACAAAAGCAAAUCUGGUUGUGGCACCGUCGAUUGGGACAUCCUUCUUUUAGUUAUAUGAAGCAUCUUAUACCAGAUUUAUUCUCAGGUUUCAAGGACUCUGACUUCACAUGUGAUACUUGUAUUUUGGCCAAGAGUCACCGUGUGCCCUACCCGUUGAGUACGAACAAGUGUACUACUCCAUUUACGUUAAUUCACUCUGAUGUCUGGGGACCUUCUCCUAUCACUGCUCCUUCUGGUGUUCGAUGGUUUGUCACAUUCAUCGAUGAUUGUACACGGAUGACAUGGCUUUAUUUGCUGAAGAAUAAAAACGAAGUGUUUUCCUGUUUUCAGUCCUUCCACAAACAGAUGAAAACUCAGUUUAAUGCUCAAAUCCAGAUUCUUCGCUCCGACAAUGGUGGAGAAUUUGUCAAUCAUGACUUUCAGACUUACUUCCAACAACAUGGAAUUAUCCACGAGACGACUUGUCCUCAGACACCACAACAAAAUGGUGUUGCUGAACGAAAGAAUCGACAUCUUCUUGAAACCGCCCGAGCACUUCUGAUUGGCGCUCAUGUUCCUCGCCAUCACUGGGAUGAUGCUAUUGUCACCGCAGUUCAUCUGAUCAACCGCAUGCCUUCUAGUGUACUGACCUUUAAAACUCCCUUACAGGUGCUUGCACAACACAGACCUCUGCCUUCUGUUUUGGUAUUCACACCCCGAAUCUUUGGAUGUGUGGCUUUCGUUCAUCUCCACAAAAAUCAACGUAGCAAACUUGAUCCAUGUGCGCUUCGUUGUGUUUUUGUGGGUUAUGCCACUCAUCAGAAAGGCUACCGUUGUUAUCACCCUCCUACCCAACGAACCUAUGUCACUUUGGAUGUGACCUUUCUGGAAUCUGAGCUGUUCUUCCAUGACCCAUCAUCCAAUUCUACACUUCAGGGGGAGAUACGAAGUGAAGAGCAGAAUUGGAGCAACUUGGAAAAUCAAGAAAUUCUCCUUUGUACAGAAAUGAUUGAUCCUUCCGAGUCUGGAGCACGAGAUUACUCUCUGUCGAAAAGCGACCAAUCGCCCAUUUAUAGCGAUCAAUUGCCUGACCCACCUGAUCCACGCGAAGAUAUUUCUGAUCCGAGUCUCACACUUACAGACAAUACAGAACAACAAGAUGAAGACCCCCCCUCUAACUCAACAGUACCAACAGACCAAUCUCUUGAGAAUAUCCUUGAGGUAACUACUCCUACUAGACUUGUGCAUUUAGAUGAUAAAACUAUUGGAUAUCAAUUACCUUUCAGGCAAAAUCGUGGGAAGCCACCAAACCGUUAUUCACCUGAUAUUGGCAAGACAUCCAAGUAUCCAAUUGCAAAUCAUGUAUCCACUGAGAAGCUGUCUGAACCACUUAAGGCUUUUGUGCAUCAGUUGUCUGCUAUCCAUAUUCCAACCAAGGUCUCUGAAGCAUUGAAAGAUCCUAAGUGGGUCCAAGCUAUAAAAGAGGAGAUGAAAGCCCUUGAGAAAAAUCAGACUUGGACAUUGGAGAUUAUACCCCGAGGAAAAAAGACUAUCGGAUGUAGAUGGGUGUUUACUAUAAAACACAAUGCAGAUGGAUCUAUCGAGCGAUACAAGGCAAGACUUGUGGCAAAAGGGUACACACAGACCUAUGGUAUAGACUAUGAAGAAACCUUUGCUCCCGUUGUAAAGUUAAACACCGUCAGAGUCUUAUUGUCCCUUGCAGCUAAUUUAGAUUGGCCACUACACCAGUUUGAUGUAAAGAAUGCUUUUCUACAUGGCGAACUCACGGAGGAGGUGUACAUGGACAUUCCUCCUGGAUAUAAUACUACUCAGACUGGAACAGUUUGCAGGUUACGAAAAGCAUUGUAUGGAUUGAAACAGUCACCACGUGCAUGGUUUGGACGGUUCACCAUGGCAAUGAAGAAUAAUGGUUUCAAACAGUGCAACUCAGAUCAUACUUUGUUCUUGAAACAUCGAAAAGGGAAGGUAACAGCAUUAAUAAUUUAUGUUGAUGAUAUGAUUAUUACUGGGAAUGAUAAACAGGAAAUAUCACAGCUACAAGACUAUCUGGCUACGGAGUUUGAGAUGAAGGAUCUAGGUGGACUCAAGUAUUUCUUGGGAAUUGAGGUGGCUCGAUCGCAGCAAGGCAUAUUUCUCUCUCAAAGGAAAUAUGUCUUAGACUUGUUGACAGACACAGGAAUGCUAGAUUGUAAACCUGCGGACACUCCUAUUAUUCAGAAUCAUCAUCUUGGAGAAUAUCCAGAUCAAGUUCCAACUAACAAAGAAAGAUACCAAAGGUUAGUGGGAAGAUUGAUCUAUUUGUCACAUACUUGACCAGACAUUGCUCAUGCGGUAAGCGUUGUCAGUCAAUUUAUGCACUCUCCAAGUGAACACCAUAUGAAUGCAGUUCUUCGGAUACUUAGAUAUUUGAAGUCUGCACCUGGAAAAGGACUUAUGUUCUCAAAGCAUGGUCAUCUAAAUAUUGAUGGUUAUUCAGAUGCAGAUUGGGCAGGUAAUGUAACAGAUAGAAAAUCCACAUCGGGUUACUUCACAUUCGUGGGAGGUAAUUUGGUGACAUGGAGAAGCAAGAAACAGAAUGUAGUAGCUUUAUCCAGUGCAGAAGCCGAGUUCAGAGGCAUGACUAAAGGGAUUUGUGAACUUCUUUGGUUAAGAAAGUUGCUUACUGAACUUGGGUAUAAACCUACAUCCACAAUGAAUCUCUUUUGUGAUAACAAGGCUGCUAUAGCCAUUGCACAGAAUCCGGUUCAACAUGAUCGUACUAAACAUGUUGAGGUGGAUCGAUACUUCAUCAAACAAAAGCUUGAGGCUAAAGUGUUUCAGUUUCCUUUUGUGAAAUCCGAGGAUCAAUUGGCGGAUAUUUUGACAAAGGCGAUUUCCAGUAAAGCAUUCCACAAUUCACUAGAUCAGUUGGGCAUUGGCGACAUCUAUGCACCAACGUGAGGGGGAGUGUUGGCGUGACUUGUGGAUAUUGACUUACUUUCCUUACACACUAAGAAUUCCUAUUAUAAUUGUAAUUGAUUUACUUUAAUUCCUGAUUUCCUACUGCAAAUAGAUUUAGGAAUUUAUUAUUUACUUGCCCAUUCAGGUUUCGUUGUAUUAUAAAUAUGACCUCCUACAAGGAGAAGAAUACACAGAAAAUUCCCACAAACAAAUAUUCUCUCAUAGUUUUCAUAUUUUAGCACACAAGUGCUUUUUUGUUAUUGCAGUUUGAUAUUUCCUUAUUUAUAACACCUUUCAUUAUAAAUUAGCUUUCUAUAUAUUUCUAGAGCUAUUAUUUGGUGAAUCAGAUCGAUUCACCUAUGUAACAUACAUAUAUAUGUGUGUGUUCAUGUUGACAAGUCUGCCAAAGAUGGAUUAAGAAUAGGAACAAUAUAAAUUAAAUUAAAUAAAUUAAAGGAGGCCUGUUAGCUUGGUAAUUGGAUUUUCUUAACAAUAUUAAAGUAUAUAAUAUAUAUGAAGGAAAGAUCGAUGCUUAGUUCCUGCAUGUAUGAUUAGUCAGCCAUAUGUUAAUAAUUGAGUCGGUCUCUAUCCAAUCUAACGCACAGAUAUACAGGUUAGGCAGAAAGGAUGGCAAUUAGUGAGUGAGAUCCUGGACCCAAGUGAAUCAGAUUCCACACCGAUUAGGUUUAUGAACUUUAACAGUUGAUAUGAAUCAUUUCCUAAUCCUUCAAUAUAAUAUAAUAUUUACAAUCGCAAUCGGGGCCUAUUCUAAUAAAAAAAAAGAGCCUUAACGUACAUACCAGUAGCAGUAGUCUUAAUUUGAACUCUCAUGAGUAUGUGUAAGUAUAUGAAUGCGACCGAUUCCACUUUUCCAAAAGAAAAAGAUACCAAAGUCGGCUAGUGUCCCACGACCUUGCGUCAAUAAUGCUUGGGUCCUUCCUCUUGAGUCCUAGCAUCAAUAAUAGGCUCCACAAAAUAGUCACUCGACUUUUGUCGGCUGGAGGACGAAACGACAAAAGCCGCCGAAUCGGCUGGGAACCCAUCACCUUUUCCGAGGAAGAGGAGAAGGGCAUCAUCUUUUCCCAUUCCUGUAACACCCCGACUCCAAAUUUAACCCUUAUUUAAAUUAUUUAAAUAUUUAAGGACAUUUUGGUCAUAAUUUUAACCAAAGAGAGUUUGGGGCAGUGACUAGUAUUUUUGGAUAGGUCGUACUGAGACGAGUUCAUAGACACGUAGUGGGCUCGAAUCAGAGUUGUGACGAGAAAGUUAUGGUCAAAAGAAACCCAGUGGCACAAUCGUAAUUAUUUCGAAAUGGGAUUUUUAUAAAAAAUCAGAUUUUUUUUUCUCUCUCUUCCUCCCGCGAGCUCUCUCUCUCUCUCUCUCUCCCGUCGGUCUCUCUCUCUCCUCGUAUCUCCGACCACCGGCCGCGGCUGCGGACGGGACCGGUGCCAAAAGGACCGGCUCGGCCUCGGCGUCACGACCCAGCCCUCCCCCGACAUCGGCCGCCGCUCCAGCCGCCGAAAAAUGGCAAUUUUCGCCCGGUUGUCGUCCGAACUUUGUCGGCUCCGAUCUCCCUCCUCUGGCCGCCAUUUCUGGCGAUCAAGGUAUGGAAAUUCAUCCCUUCUGCAUGCUCUAGCUGAUGGUUGGGUAGGAUUGGAUCGAUUCUUAGCUGAUGGUUGAGAACGCGAUUCCGGCCACUUUCGGUCAAUUUUUGGGGUAUGUCCAAGAACAAAAGUGGCUCCAAAUAGGGUGUUAUACCUAGGGUAGGAGUUUGGAGCCGUGGUUUUGAGAUUCGCUUUGGGCACCCAUCCGCUGCCGGCGCGUGCGGCGGCGCGUGGGCACUGUAGAAAAAGUGGCACUGUGUCUCGAUGAGAUCCUUAGGUUGUCACGAGUGCGUAGGAUUUUGCGGAUCUCAAUUCGGACGUCGUUUGACUAUCGAACGGACGAUCGCAUAUUGUGCGUUAUCUGGGUUCGAUAGGUUGGGACCGUUGGAUGGUCCCGAAUUUAAUAUAUGUUAAUCUAGGUAACGUUAAGAUCGUGUAGGAAUUCACGGAUUGUGAAUCGGAGCCCCGGAUGUUCCGAAUAAUAAUUUAAAGUUUAUAUUUUAUAUUAACCGUCAGAUCGUGCGAUCAUGAGUGAUCCGACCGUCCAAGCUGAACCAAACUUGCAGGACAAGUGUCCUGUACCUUGUAAAACCCAUGGGUACUUUCGGAUCGGAAAUUGGAGGUCGUGGGCUUCGCAGGUCUGUUUGACCAGGGUUAGGGUAGUUUGACCCUUAGUUGACCAUGAGUCUCCCGGAGAAAUCUCAUCUGCUAGACUAUGGUGGAAGGUUAUACGAUAUUAGAAUUAGUAUAUAUAAUUAUAAUUAUAUAUGUUUGUACAAGGGUACAAAAGAGUCUAGAAUGUCAGUUUGGAGUGCUAUACGCACUACCUUAGGUACCUCCCCGGAUUUUGGUCUCACUAUAAGUACCACCAAGUGAAAGUUAGGUCUCACGUGGCGUAGGUUAUCCGGCGUGCGGACAGGCCCUAUACGUGGCGUUGGUUGUACCGGCGUAUGGGGAGAUUUGUGAUAUGAUAUUUAGGUCUCACGUGGCGUAGGUUAUCCGGCGUUGAGACAGGCCCCAUACGUGGCGUUGGUUGUACCGGCGUAUUGGGAGAUUAUGUGAUAUUGUGUUGAGGUCGCACGUGGCGUAGGUUAUCCGGCGUGUCGACAGACCCCAUACAUGGCGUUGGUUGUACCGGCAUAUGGAGAGAUAUGUGAUAUGAUGUGCAGGUCUCGCGUGGCGUAGGUUAUUCGGCGUUGAGACAAACCCCAUACGUGGCGUUGGUUGUACCAGCAUAUGGGGAGAUAUUAUGAUAGUAUGGCAUGGUCGCACGUGGCGUAAGUUAUCCGGCGUGUUGACAGACCCUAUACGUGGCGUUGGUUGUACCGGCGUAUGAGGAGAUUAUGUGAAAUACAGAGAAAUGAAAUAAGGUAUCGCCUAAGUGUGGAAUUGGGUUUUAUGGAAGAACUACGUGUAGCUUGAUCCCUCAAGGAGGGUACGUCGGCAGCCUAAGGUUAUAAGGUGCAGCCGCAGACUAAAUGUUAGUCAUAAUUUAUAUUUGAAUUGUUUGGUUAGCGGGUUUGGCAGUUGGUUGAGAAUUAUUGGAAGGCCGAAGGCCAUUUAUGUGGAUUGCAUGAAAUUAUAUUGUGCAUGCUGCCAGUUGUGAAUAUUAAAUGCGUUUUUAUGCAGGUUGAAGUUUUUGGGAAAUAUCCAAUUUAUAGGGGAGACUCUGCCGAAAUUUCGGCAGGAAGUCUCGAUCUUUAGUAAGUGGGCCUGGCAUCGGGGUGAUGUCAGGAAUUCUAAAGGGUUCGCCUCGGGUUUCGAAAAAUUCGGGACGGGUCCUUUCAAUUCCGACCCUAUGAUCAUCCGAGCCGACAUUAUAGACUUUGACUUAGGCCGAAUCCUCAUCGACACAGGCAGCUCGGUCAACGUACUCUUCGUCGACGCAUUCAACGCCUUCGGCAUAGAACCACGAAACCUCAACACGGAGAUCACCCCCAUUCUGAGCUACUCGGGUGAUGUUGUCGAACCCAUUAGAAGCAUCCAACUCUCGUUCGCCGUCGGCACCGCCCCCAGAUGAAUGGUUAUCUACACCCAUUUUCUAGUGGUCGAUUGCCCAACGACAUACAACACCAUCAUCGACCGACCAGCGCUUGCGAGAAUGAGGGCCAUGCUCUCUCCACACAUGCUUCUCCUCAAGUUCCCCAUGAAUGUUGGUGUCGGCCAGGUUCGAGGGCACCAAUUGAGUGCACGGACGUGUUAUGUUUCGGCCACUAAGAAAUUGGCCAGAGCAACACCUCGCGAAUCUUACUAUGUUUCCACCCCAACUGUACCUAACGGAAGAGGAGCAGAUCAACCUGACGACCCCAGAGAUGAGGCCAUCACACCGCAGGCUCAGCCUAUUGAGGACAUGGAAACGAUGUCCCUAUCCGAAGCAUAGGCAGAUCGGCAAGUCAAGAUCGGCACUACCCUUAGUUCACCAUUGCACACCAAGUUCAUCACUUUCCUCUGCGCAAAUCUAGGGGUCUUUGCCUGGUCCUACGAUGAUAUGCCCGGCAUCUCUCCCGAUAUUGUCAACCAUCAGCUCAGCAUCAGCCCUAAUUUUAAAUCGAUCCGGCAGAAACGGCGAGCCUUCGAUGCUGAACGGUACGUAGCAAUGCGGCUUGAAGUGGAGAAACUGCGGGCGAUCAGCUUCGUUUGGGAGGUUGUCUACCCAAUUUGGCUUGCCAAUUCGGUCAUGGUUAAAAAAUCGAAUGGUGCGUGGCGAAUGUGCCAAGAUUAUACCCAUCUGAACAAAGCAUGCCCUAAGGACAGUUUCCUUUUGCCAAGGAUCGACCAGCUCGUGGAUGCCAUGGCAGGUCAUGAGCUUUUGAGCUUCAUGAACUCCUAUUUCGGCUACAACCAGAUUUUUAUGAACCCUACUGACCGCGAAAACACAACAUUCAUCACAGACAAAGGGCUCUACUGUUAUGAUGUCAUGCCGUUCGGCCUAAAAAAUGCUGGAGCAACCUAUCAACGUUUAGUCAACAAGAUUUUUGCCGAACUUAUAAGCACUUGCAUGGAAGUCUACGUAGACGACAUGCUAGUCAAAAGCAGGACCGCCGAUCGGCAUCUUCACAAUAUCUCCCUCAUUUUCGACGUCCUCAAAAAAUACAAAAUGCACCUCAACCCAACCAAAUGCGCCUUCGGCGUUUCCUCUGGCAAAUUCCUAGGCUUUAUGAUCAGCCAACGGGGCAUCGAAGCUAACCCUGAGAAAAUCCAAGCAUUACUAGAUAUGUAGGUACCGAAGACGAAGAAGGAUGUUCAAAGCCUCACAGGCCAAGUCGCCGCCUUGGCCUGCUUCAUAUCCAAAGCCACCGCCUGAUGCGCCCCAUUCUUCAAAGCUCUCAAAAGGAGUAAAUGGCAGGUCGUUUGGACUUCGGAAUGUGACCGAGCAUUCGAGGACCUUAAGGCUUAUAUGAGUAGAGCCCCUCUGCUGUCCACACCUUUUCCAGGAGAAAACCUCAUCAUCUACCUCUCAGUAUCGGCAACGACAUUAAAUUCCGUACUCAUUCGUAUACCGAACGGCAUAGAGCUCCCCAUCUUCUAUACAAGUCAUGCGCUGCAGGAUGCGGAGCAACGGUACCCCUAACUUGAAAAACUGGCCUACGCUCUAGUUCUCUCUGUGCGCAAGCUUCGACCCUACUUCCAGGCUCACACGAUCGAAGUAUUGACCAAUCAGCCCCUACGCCAAAUUAUACAGAAGCUAGAAACAUUAGGACGACUGAUCAAAUGGACCAUCGAACUUGGUGAAUUUGACAUUCACUACCACCCCGACCUGCUGAAAAGGGGCAGGCCGUAGUCGAUUUUAUCUCAGAACUGACUAUUCCAUCAGAAGGCGAACGACUGGCCGACUCCAACCCCGAACCGGCCAUCACGACCUCGGAAUGACAUCCUGCCAAAAGGGUGUUCGACUCCGCGAUUCCUUAGUGGACCCUAUAUGUGGACGGUUCUUUCAACCGACAGGGCAGUGGCGCAGGCCUAGUCCUGAAGGCACAAGACCAAACCACAAUCGAGUACAUCACCUGAUUCCAGUUCGGAUCCUCAAACAAUGAAGCAGAAUGCGAAGCCCUCUUGGUAGGCCUUCGGCUUGCAAAGGACAUGAGAGCUAAACAACUAACAAUCUGUAGCGAUUCCCAACUGGUCGUCAACUAGGUCAUCACCGAAUUUGAGGCGAAGGACGAAUCCAUGGCGGCCUACUUAGCCCAGGCCUGCCGAUUGCUCAAACAAUUUAGCACAUACCACAUCCAGCAGAUCCUCAGAUCCAAAAACAGUUAUGCUGACACUCUCUCUCGACUUGCAUCUGCAAUUGACGACUGGGUCGGAUGCCACGUACAAAUUGAAAUCCUCGCUCACAGGAGCGCUACCAAAGUUGAGGUUCAUGCCGUUUGGCAGGACCCAAGUUGGAUGGACUCAAUCCACGCAUACCUAACUGACGGCACGCUUCCAACUGACAGCGAUGAGGCCAAGGCAGUCCGCCGCCUAUCGGCAUGGUAUCUCAUUCUGCAGAAGACACUGUACCGACGCGGUCAUUCUCUAUCGUUGCUCUGCUGCGUCACUCCGCAACAGAAGGACUAUGUUCUGCGAGAAAUUCAUGAGGGUGCCUGUGGCGAUCAUUCGGGAGCCCGAUCCUUGGCGUUCAAAACCAUUCGGCAAAGCUAUUAUUGGCCAACCCUUCACUCUGAUGCCGUCAAACUCGUACAGCAGUGAGGCCCGUGCCAACGCUUAGGCUCAAUCCUAAAGCAGCCUGCCGAACCUCUCACCCUGAUUGUCAGUCCUUGGCUGUUCGCGCAGUGGGGAUUGGACCUCAUCGCCCCUAUGUCGCAAAGUAAGGGACAUCUCAAAUUUACGAUCAUCGUAGUGGACUACUUUACAAAGUGGGUCGAGGCCGAAGCCCUUGCCACGAUCACUGUCGCCAAAAUCGAGCACUUCGUAUGGAAAAACAUCAUCUACCGAUUCGGCCUCCUGAACGCAAUCAUCACCGACAACGGUAAACAAUUCGAUUGCUCUCGCUUUCGGCAUCUAUGCUCCCGAUUCAAUAUCAACAUCUUCUUCACAUCUCCGGCACAUCCAUAGUCCAAUGGACAGGUGGAGGCCAUCAACGAGAUCAUCAAGAAGACACUGAAGAAGAAACUCGGGGCUGUUAAAGGCGAAUGACCCGAAAUACUACCAGAGCCACUGUGGGCCAUCAACACAUGAAACCGAAGGUCAACAGGCGAAACCCCUUUUUCCCUCGAUUUUGGAACCGAAGGUGUGGUAUUGAUUGAAAUCAACGCCCCAACAUGCCGAACGGCAUCCUACGAUCCAGAUCAAAAUCAAGCCCAGCUCGCUCUAAACUUGGACCUCAUCGAAGAACACCAAUCGCAGGCUCAGCUUCGGAAUGCCGCAUAUAAGCAAUGAACCACCACAUAUUACGACUCGCGCGUCAUAUGCCGAUCGUUCAGGGUAGGGGACUGGGUUUUAUGCAAAAUCUCUCUCGCAACGAGAAGCCCUGCCAAUGGCAUCCUAGCCCCUUCUUGGGAAGGUCCUUACGAGGUCACCGAGGUCUGCUGAUCGGGCACUUACCGAUUGUGUGGGUCCGACUGUUAGACCCUCGGUCAUCCUUGGAAUAUUUAUCUUUAGCAUUAUUGUCUAUUUACCUAUUCUAUGCAACCAGUUAUGCCUUCAAACCACACGAUAGUAUCAAACAUAUACUACCUACGGCAUGCACACAUAUAUUAAAAGACAGAAGAACAAAAAGCUAAUUCAAAAUGUACUUGGAUAGCAAACAAAAGAAGCCACAAGAUGGGCCAUUGUUUUACAAAAUCGCCGAACGACAUGAUCUUAAAAAUAUACAAAAAUAAGCUACAACUACUAAGUUGGGGGAUUGGCACCAUGAGGCGACGGUGUGGGCACGGCUUCGUCCUCCUCACUACUCGAAUCAGUCUCACUUGACGAAUCGGCAUCGGUAUCCUCACCCUUGUAGGACUCCACCAUUUCUUUUGUGAUCCCUUCGGGCAACGGAGGAGGAUUACGGAGAAAGUUCAGGUUCAGCUUCUUAUCAGCAUUGUAGCGCUUGAACCGGUAGACAAGGUCGUCACACUGGUCCAUGACUUUCUUAUCUAGCAGUACCGUGAACUCUUCCGAUGAACGGUAGUCAGCUACGGCUUUUUCCUUCUCCUCCUGUACUUCCGUGGCAUGCUACCAUUCGACUGACUCCAUAGCCACUUCCACUGCCGCCUUGGCCUCCUGUGCCUCGACCAUCGCCUUCUCGGCCAUGGCUAACCUUCAUGACAGCUUUGCAAUCUUUGCCGCAUUCUCUUCGGUAAGCCGAUCGGCAUCCUAAAUGGCUUUACCAGCAUCGGCGAUUUUCGCUCGGCUGUCUUCGAAUCUUUCCCGAUACCAAUCGGCAGCAUUCAAGGCCCGCUUCAUGCAGAGCCAUAUUUCCAUAUUUGCCCACCAAAACAGUACAUCUGUCACUACCGAUCUCGUAUACACUUUAAAUGAUUACAAAUUCAAUCAUGCACUUACCGCAGCCUGAAGUUAGAAGGCUCGGCCGGCCUGUUCGCGUAUCGUCUUCAUCGGCAGUUGCUCAAGCUCUGUCAUCUCCAUCUGCGCACCGGCAAUGACCGUGUUCACGAAUGGCACGACCUUCCGAGGAGGAAGUUCAGGUUCAGCUUCUUAUCAGCAUUGUAGCGCUUGAACCUGUAGACAAGUUCGUCACACUGGUCCAUGACUUCCUUAUCUAGCAGUACCAUGAACUCCUACGACGAACGACAGUCAGCCACAACUUUUUCCUUCGCCUCCCGUACUUCCAUGGCACACGACCGUUUGGUUGACUCCAUAGCCACUUCCAUUGCCGCCUUGGCCUCCUACGCCUCGACCAUCGCCUUCUCUGCCAUGGCUAACCUCGAUGACAGCUCUGCAAUAUUUACUGCAUUCUCUUCGGCAAGCCGAUCGGCAUCCUAAAUGGCUUUACCAGCAUCGGCGAUUUUCUCUUGGCUGUCUUCGAAUCUUUCCCGAUACCGAUCGGCAGCAUUCAGGGCUCGCUUCAUGCAGAGCCACAUUUCCAUAUCCGUCUGCCAAAAUUAUACAUCUGUCACUACCGAUCUCAUAUACACUUUAAACUAUUACAAAUUCAAUCAUGCACUUACCGCAGCCUGAAGUCGGAAGGCUCAGUCGACCUGUUCAUGUAUCAUCUUCGCGGGCAGUUGUUCAAGCUCUGUCAUCUCCAUCUGCACACCGGCGAUAACCGUGUUCACGUACGGCAUGACCUUCCGAGGGCAUGCCACGUUUACCAGCCAAGCGUCCUCCUCCGCCUCAUCCCAGGGAAUUAGAAUGACAGCCUCCUCGUUCGGCCCCCGAAGCCGCUUUAGAAGAAGUGUCACGUCGAUGGCACCUUCGAUCACCCUCUUGGCCUUGGCCACCCGCUUCUCCCGCCAACAAUCGGCCGCCGUCGCCUCUAGAGCCGAAGCCCUUUUAGCUUGAGACGGUGGCUUUGUCUUCGACCUCUGUGGGCUAUCUUUCUUCUUUGGUGGCGCCCGAGACUCCAACCGCCUCCUUGUCGCAUCAGUCAUUGCUCUACCCCCCCCCCCCCCCGCGGCUACUGCAAAGAUUAAAUAGAGUCAGCAAACGAUCGGCAUGCAGAGAUAGAAAUAGUACAAGACGUGCCGAAUAGCAUCACUUACUUUUCCUCCUCUUUCCUUCAGACGUACUCAAGCUCGCUGAUCAGACCCGCCUAGAACAGAUUCUUGUAGUCCAGCAGAGUCUUGAAGAAACAAUCUUCUUCAGCAAUUUUCGACCAAACGCGCUCGAUGAUUUCCACCUCUCUCUUUGUUGCGAUCGGCCAUUUCAAGGACACUGUAAUACGAAAAAUACAUAACCCAGGUUAGUUUCGACAGGUCCCCAAAAAAAAAAAAACUACUAAUCUGCCGAACGGCAUCCUCACGCUGUAAAGGUGGGCGAAUUGCUCGUAGCUUGGGUCUCUCUCGCCAGCUAUGCUGAACGCCGUGAUCGUCCCAAGCAGCGUAAUCCAAAAAUUCGGAUUAAACUGCCCAGGGGCGUAGCCGAUAUGGGCAAGGAUUUUCUCCUUCGAAUGUCUCAACGGUAGCCGAAACCGGUGUUUGAAGGCAUUGGUGAAGAAGACUGCUUCACCAUCUGGAUUGCUCAGAGACUCCAACGGCCCUAGAAUCCGCAUCACUACUGAAUCCUGUAUGUUAUACAGAGCCCGAAUCUUGGCCAGCUCAGCCGCGGUCAUAACAUUCGGCUCCAAAACAUCCACACCAAAGACGAGGCCCUUUAGCUUCGCCAUCGGCACCCUCUGCUGGCCAGUAACCAUGGUCAGCACACCUUCUCCCGGAAUGGUAACCGACACACCAGCCUUGGUCUCCUCUGCUUGGCGACCGGAUGUCGAUGGUUGAGAGCUAUUCACCUCAACCACCUUCAUACUUGAAGUGCUCCCGGAUUCAGUAGCCACCUCUGUACCCCCUACUACACCAAAAUCGGCACUCUCAAGCCCUACGGUCAAGCUCUUAGAAACCGAUUCUCCCUCAAAGCUCUUGGGCUAUCACUAUAGUCUGAUUCGAUAUCUGACAUCUACAAACACAAGCAAAACGAAACUAAACGCCAUGCUAUAAUUAAACCACUACCCUAAAGCCCAGGAGCUCAUGUUCAUCUACAUUUCCCUAUGUUCAUACAUGUUCUUACAUGUUCAUACAACAAUUAAAGCUUUGAUUCAAGUCAGAAGAAAACAUGGCAACAUACCUUGUUUUGCACGGUGGUUGAAGGUCGCUGGAAAUCGCCUCCGCCUUGAAAAGUUUGCCAAAAAUCGCCUCUUCUGCUGCAGUACACUCGCCGGAAAUCGCCUCUCACAAGCUCAAUUUGCUCUCAAAAUGCCAAGUACCCCUCUUUCCCUCUCUUCGGCCUAUUUAUAGGACGAACCUAGCAUUGGGAAACGAAACGACGCGACCUUCGCAACCCUACCGACUCGUGUCAUACAUGGACAGAGAAGCCCAGGCGUCGUCGCUUCCCACUUGCGCAAGCGUUUCAAAUUCUCUCAGACUUUCUUUUCGAAACACAACUUCCCCAACGAACGGCAGGCGCGCAGUGGUCAAGUUUUCACUUACCUCUUGUGCCGAACAACGGCGCGCUGUGGUCGAGUUUUCACUCACCUCUAGUGCUGAACGGCAAGCGCGCAGUGGUCGAGGUUUCACUGACCUCUAGUGCUGAACGGUAGGCGCGCAGUGGUCAAGGUUUCACUCACCUCUCCUGCCGAACGGCAGACGCAUGAUGAUCGAGCUUUCAUCAAGCUUUCAGACGCCUUUGGCUCUUGCUGCCUUUCCCUUCCAAUCUUCGACAAACCCCUUGGCUCGAGGACUUGGGGGGACUACAUGACUACCAUCGGCAUACGACGAAAGACGCUUGUACCCAGGUCAGAAUGCCGGAGCUCAGGGACACAAGCAAGUCCCCAACCAAGAAGUCCCUCCUCGAUCGGAAACUUGGGGGACUCCUGUCUGUACCAUAUCUGACCCCCCACUCACGUCUUGACAUGUGGAAAUGUAAACCAGGCCCAAACCAGCUCAGUGAGCCAUGCCGAAAGGUCGAUCGGCAUACUCCGCCGAAUCACACGUGGUCGAAUCAGUAAAGUGCUUUCAACUAACACCCCACCAGACCUUCGGCACACGAUGCCGAGCGACCAGUCAGCACAAAGAAAUUUUAGCGCAAUAAAUUCCAUUGGAUGAGAAAUUAAUUACGGUUCGAUGGAUUGAAUUGUGGGCCUUAUAAUUCACACAUGUGGCGUAUGACUCAUCAAAAUUGGGUUAGCUGUCAAAAGUGACACAUGUCAACAUCCGACGGAGUGCAUCAAACGGUUCAAGAUAAAGACAAAAUUAAGGAAAAGAAUCUUGUAUGAUUGACUUUGAUUUAAAUCAAAUAUUAAUCAGGUCAAUUGAAGAUAAUUUGGUUAAAUUGCCAGAUUAUUGGAAUUGAUUUAAAUCAAAUCAAAAUCCCACAAAACAAAGUUUUAAAUAGGAAUAGUUAUUUAGGCCAAGCAUCCUGCAAGAGCUUAUAAAUAGGAGGCCUCAAGAAGAAAGAAGGGGCUCAGAAAAAACCUAGCGUUGAGAAGAAACAGAAAACUAUCUGCAUUCUUCACCCUACUUUGGAAGAGCCACCAAGCACAACAAAUACGUGCUGGUUCCUUCACUCUAGAAAAAUCACAAACACCAAACAAGCUUCAUGCUACCCGUUUGAUCAAGAUCAAGUCUCUACGACCCUUGUAUCAAACACAAAUUUUCUUUAAACACUUUGGAGAUCGAAUCAGAGGAUUCAAUACAGAGAUUGUAAUUCUAAAUUUCAUAAAUACAAAUAUUAUUUUGUACACAUGUUCUUAUCUCAUUUGUCGUAGGAAAUUUGUGUUUACACUCUCUUAUAUCUAUCCCCCCAAAUAUCAGGGCUGCGUCCUUGCUAUUAAGAAUAGCUUGAUCAUUCCUAAGAGGAGUUUGGUGUCUCCCUGCACGAGCUGGUUGGUCUUGAUAAAAUGGAGGCUUCUUGCCGGGCUGGCCAUAGAACUUGUCUAGCAUGGCAAAAGCCUCCCCUCCAAGCUUUCCUAGCUCUUCCUGAGUUGCCAUAAUAGUAAUAUUGCUACAAUUUAGUACAAGCACACAAACAAACAGAUGCACAAAGCAGGUCAGGCAAUUUGGUUUGCCUUUGUUUUCUGAGUAAAAUGGUUCGCGGCCAAGCCCCAUUAUAUAGGAGUUAAAAAGGCCACCUUACUGUGAGACCUUGUGGAUAAGUUGGUUGGAUAACAUAGAUAUCCAUUCUUCCCAAAAGGGAUUCCCACUUUUGGUGAUUCCUUCAGAGACACUAUUGAGUCUUUGAGUUGGGGGCUUUGCUUACGUUAGAAAUAUGUAUUAGUAAUGUUGCAAAUUACAGAAGUGCCUUAAAAAGUAUUAUGAUCAAUCAAGUAGUACUGAAAUGAAGCUGUUUGUAGGGAGUCGAUUUUUCAGUUUUUGGGUAAUGUUUUUUUUGUUAGUUGCUCAGUUCUUGUGAUAUUAAUUUCACAUCAGACUUCACAUCAAUAUUUUGAUCUAUUGUUUAAAUCUCCACCUUGCAUCCUUACUAUUUUAGUCGUUGAUAUCUAUUGUCAAUGGUAUUGCAAAACUUUUUGGUUUAGGUUUUUGGUGCAUGGGUUUGAACUUUUUGAUUUGGAAAUGGUAUUGCAAAACUACAUUGUACAGGUUCUGCAUUGUAGUUUUACACAUACUACAUUGCAGUUUUGGAAACUGCAUUUCAGUUUUUAUUUAAUUACAAUUUGAUUUUUGUUCUUGCAUUGGCCUUCAACCUCACCAAUUUGAAGAGUAGAGGCUAUCCAGAUGAGGAAUUAAGUGGGCAAGAGAAGAGUAGAACUACCCAAGAGCAAGGGAACUCAAAAUUGGACUUUUGGAAACUAGAAACUGCAGUGAAGUUUUCAUUUAAUUACAAUUUAAUUUUUGUUCCUUCCUUAGCCUUCAACCUCACCAAUUUGAAGAGUAUAGGCUACCUAGAUGAGGAAUUUGGUGGGCAAGAGAAAAGUAGAACUACCCAAGAGCAAGGAAACUCAAAAUUGGACUUUUGGAAACUGGAAACUCAUUGCAGUUUUCAUUUAAUUACAAUUGUUUUUGUAGCUAUUUUUGUUUUUUUUUUUUCACAUAAUUGAUACCUACAUUGUAUUUUUGUUGCAAUUUCUGUUUUUAUUUGCAGUUUUUGUGUGAAUAAGUGUUGAAAUGAUUUUUUUUUUUUAUAAAAAAAAAAAAAUCAUUGAUUGUUUAUAUAAAUAUUGUAUAACUGAAUUAAUAUUACAAAAUCAAGUUUGGUGUAGUGGUUUGUGAGUGAGCCUUCCUCCUUUGAGGGUCAAGGUUCGAGUCCAUUCAAUGACACAAAAUCUUUUUUUUAAAGGUGAAUAAAGGGCAACGGAGUUGGUCCCCUGCAGAUGGUGACAGGUCGGCGACAGGCGGUGGUGGUGGUUAGCUAGAUAUGGACAUGUGGCAUAGUAUGCUUACCUUAGAAGGAGUGGCAUUGUGUGUAAUUUUGAUAUUUUUGUAAAAUUAGGUACUACAUUUAGUCUUUGGCCUUAUGCUAAUUAAAUGAAAUUAUAUCUUAUCUUCUAAAUUAGUAAAUUACAUUGUGUUUUAAAACUAAAGCUCUCUUUUAUCUUCUUUGUUAUUUUCUUACAUAAAUAAAAUCUCUUUGAUAUUGCAAAGAAGUUGUUUUCUUCUCCUUUUUUUUUUCUUUUUUUUUUCUUUUUUUAAUAAUAAUAACUUUCCGUGAAAAGUGAUUACAUAACAAACAAGAGAGAGUAUGCAGGUGCGGCUAGCAUUAAAUAUAUUUUAUAUAGCAUAAGAAGUGAUUUCUACAUAUAAUUAUAAACGGAAUAUAUAAAGCCUAGGCUAGUUAUCCAAACCACGUCUACAUCUGAUAUACAUAUAUAUCAUAUUACAGAGAGCUUCAUUAGUUAACUAAUUACUUAUACCAAACAAAGUUGGUAUAUGUUAAUUAGCGGCGAAUCUUGGGGUACUCUCUUAUCUCUAUCCCCCCAAAUAGCAGGGCUGCGUCCUUGCUAUUAAGAACAGCCUGAUCAUUCCUAAGAGGAGUUGGGUGUCUCCCUGCACGAGCUGGUUGGUCUUGAGAAAAUGGAGGCCUCUUGCCGGGCCGGCCAUAGAACUUGUCUAGCAUGGCAAAAGCCUCCCCUGCAAGCUUUGCUAGCUCUUCCUGAGUUGCCAUAAUAGUAAUAUUGCUACAAUUUAGUACAAGCACACAAACAAACAGAUGCACAAAGCAGGUCAGGUAAUUUGGUUUGCCUUUGUUUUCUUGGUAAAAUGGUUCGCGGCCAAGCCCCAUUAUAUAGGAGUUAAAAAGGCCACCUUAUUGUGAGACCUUGUGGAUAAGUUGGUUGGAUAACAUAGAUAUCCAUUCUUCCCAAAAGGGAUUCCCACUUUUGGUGAUUCCUUCAGAGACACUUUUGAAUCUUUGACUUGGGGGCUUUGCUUACGUUAGAAAUAUGUAUUAGCAAUGUUGCAAAUUACAGAAGUGCCUUAAAAAGUGUUAUGAUCAAUAACACUAUUGAACGUAUGUAUGGAAGAUUGUUUGGUGCUAAGAAUUUCGUGGCAGGUUGACCCAUGGAUAUGGUUCGUACAAAACACAUUAAUGAAAAAUAGGAAUACGCACAAAUUGUGGGAGGUGAAGAUAUUUCUUCCUGGAGAGAUUGAUAGGAAUCAAUAUCAUAGUUUAUCUGGUUUCUUUUCGUUGCUUGAGAGCUGCAUAUGCUGAAUUUUUCAAAUAAACUUAUUUGAGGGCUGCAUAUGAUGGAUCUUUCAACAAUAAACAGUAUAUUUAAUAUAUUAGAGUGCUACGUACUAAACGGACCCUAAAAUUUAAGGAGGAAGUGAGAAAGUCCACCUCUAACCAUGCUCCUUAGAGCAUCCACAAUCAUGCUCUCUAUUUUUUAGUUAAACUUUAGCUAAAAACAUAUAAAAGUUAUUUUAAGAGGUCUCUAUAAAAUUUAAACUCCAAUCAUGCUCUCUACUUUAGGGAGUCAUAAAUGCUAUAACUCUUUUUUAAUUGGUCCAUCUCUAUUAAAAAAUAAUAUAAACAUAAUAAACAUUAAUUAAAGGUUUGAAAAACUCAUUAAAUAAAGCAACAUUAAAUUAUAGGGAGCCACUAGGAGUUCUUUCUCUCUCCUCAGAUUUAUGAGCUCUUAGAAGUCUCCCUAUUUUAGGAGGUGGAUAGGGAGCAUGGUUAGAGUUGUAUUUUUCCAAAUCCUCCCUAAAAUUUGUCUAAGGAGAUGGUUUAGGGAGCCCAUUGUGGAUGCUCUUAUCCAACUCCUAAAAUAGGGAGACUUCUAAGAGCUCUUAAAUCUAAGGAGAGAGAAAGGACACCUAGUGACUCCCUAUAAUUAAAUACUAGUUUACUUUAAUGCUAUUUUAAGUAUUUACUUUAAUGCUAAUUAUUGUUUGCGUAACAAAAUUAUUCUGGCCUAUCUCAGGGUAGGCAAGGCCUGUGCUUCAUAUCUUCUUGGUAGGAAAUGAUAUUCUUGAUCAUACACACACACACAUAUAUAUAUAUAUAUAUAUAGGAAGUUUCAAUUGAGGGAUAUCUUUGUCGGGCUCACUCUGUAUUGCAUUUUACUAAUCCAAACCAUCUAUUUUGUAGAUACUCAUUCAAAGAUCAUCUCUACAAAAAAUCACUUGAAUCUAAUAUUAUUUUACCACUCAAUUAAAUUAUUGAAAUUACAAUUGGAUAUCAAAACGGUUUUUGAUUUAUCUAAUAUUUUGCAAAGAUGAUCUAUGAAUGUAGACUUAAAAAAUAGAUGGUUUGAAUCGUUGAAAAAAGAUUCGUAAGAAACUCUAAAAGGUGUCCCUCAAAUAAAAGUAUUUGAAGAAUCCCUCAACAUAUAUAAAGUAUGUGUGAUUUCAAUUUUUCAACAGAAAAAGAUACCAAUUAAAGUCGGCCAGUGUCCCACAAUCCCCAGCCACAACACAACCUUGCCUUCAACAAUGCAUGGGUCCUUAGUUGCGAUAAGAUAUUUGAAGAAGCUUAGGGAAUAAAAUGCCUUAAGAGACUGUUUAGGGGUGGUAGAAAUCCACCUAACUCGGGCACGAGAAGAAUAACGGCCGGGGUUUGGAGGCCAGGAUUGGAGAAGUUAGCGACCGGAAAUGUCGGGGUUCCUGCGGCCAAAAUGUUGGAGAAUUUGGGAGAUCUCGGCCGGGUCUUGAAGGAGUCUCGUGGCGGCCGAGAUUUGGAGCAGCCAGUGUCUUGGGCCGAAUAUGUGGCUGGAGUACUUGGAGGGCUACGGGGCAGGCCUGAGCCCGAGUUUUUCUAAUUGAGGCCGGGUCUUUGGCUUUGAGCAGACAAGGCUUCGGAGAAUGCGGCUGGGGUAUUUAGUCUCUUUACAAACUGGGCUGAAAGGGUUUUGGUUUGGAGUAGACAAAGCUUUGGAGAACGGCGGUUGGAGCUUUGUGGAUUUGUUAACAGCUGAAGGGUUUUCUAGGUUGGAAGUUUAAUUGUCUUAUUCGAUAUACUAGUCUCUCAUCACGCGCUUCCGCGCUUGCAAGAGGCUUUUUUUUUUAAAAAAAAAAUUAUUUUAGAAUUAAAAAAGAUAAUGGGUAGUUGUGUUCCAUAAAAAUAGGAUCCAUUAUCUGCUUUUUCUUUUUCUUUUAAUUUUUUUAAAUAUGAAAAAGUGUGAAUUUACCAUAUUAUCCUCAUUUAAUUAAUAAUUUGAAUUCAUAAUGUUUGCAUUAACCAAGGGCAUUUUCUGGUAUUUUGAAUGUUUCACCAUUUUCUGCCUUUUGCUUUAUAUAUAGAUACAUACAUAUUUUCAAAUAAGUGGGGCUGGAACUUCAAGAUAAUUGCGCCCGAGGCUUUAUUGAACCUCCUUUGUCUAAUUUUAUAUAUACAUAAUAUUUUUAUAUAAAUGCAAUUGCCUUGGAUUAUUGCAAGUGCGGUUGGAGGUUCGCAAGCUUAAGCCCUCCAUAUCCUGUUGUAUGAUAAUACAAAAUAUAUAUAUAUUGUUAUAAACUAAAGAGAUUAUAGAGAGAAUUGGAAUGGAGAGAGGGAGUAGAAACUGAAUUGUUGUGGGCUUAAGCUUGCGAACCUCCAAAAUGCAAAGGAAAUAGUUAAAGAUAUGUAGUAAAAGACAAAGAGGUGAUGUAUAUAUCCUAUUAAACAGGGGUGGUACGCUUUUGUCCAGGAGGAAAAAAAUUGGAGAGAGGAGGGUAGCGUAAAAACAAAAGUGAUUUAGAGGUAGAAAACANNNNNNNNNNNNNNNNNNNNNNNNNNNNNNNNNNNNNNNNNNNNNNNNNNNNNNNNNNNNNNNNNNNNNNNNNNNNNNNNNNNNNNNNNNNNNNNNNNNNACCCCCUUUAAAAAACCUCCCCCCUUUUUUUGUUCCGAGAAACCCCAAUCAGGCGUUUUUUUUUCAAGAAAAAGGGGGGAGAUACUUUCAAGGCCCCCUUUCACAUUUCAGGUCCCGCCCUUUUUAUCACUUUUUUCAAAACCCUUAAAAAGGGUUUUUGGGGGGGGGGGCAGGAGGCCCCCGGGGUAAAAAAAAAAAAAAAAAAAAAAAAAAAGGGGGAGCCGGCGUUGCCGCUCCGUAGGAGCUGAAAAUUUUAAGACUUUUGGGGGAGGAAUGGGCCCAAAAGGGGGCGGGGAAGCUUUAAAAUUUUUGCCUUGUGUCUUUGCCGGGGAGGUCCCAAAGGACUUUGUUUGCCGUCUCCUUGUUGGUAUGCCAUCAAUUGCAACAUUCCCAACAGGCCCUUUGGGUUUUGUCCUUCCCCUGACUUUGGGUUGGGGUUGGGGGGGUGCCCCCCCGCCCCCCCCUGAGCCACUCGCCGGAAUUUGGUUUAUUGCCGCCCCUGGACCUCCAUAGUUUUGUGCCUGCAGGGAACCUCCCUGGGGUUGGUAAAAAUGUUGAUUGGGAGACUGGGUAGUAGGCCCCCCCCCCCCCCCCCAUGCAGUGAUCCAGAGAACCCAUUGAUGGCUAAGAGGCCAAGUAUUUCCAUUCCAUUUUACCAACCGGUUUAGUUGCUGCAUAACAUGCAUGAUGAUGAAGUAUGAGUUUUCAAUUUGAGGUCCCGACUUUUGUUUUCUUUUUCUAUCAACUUUGGGACACCGCAAGGCCAAGCAUCAAGAUCAUAUAGAUGUAAUUGUACUGCACCAGCUAUAAAGCUACAGAGAACCCAUUGAACAGGGCUUGAACAGUAGUAGCCCCUCGACGAUGUCGUUGUUGGAGCGGUCAAAAUCUCCUUUGCCCAAAGACAAGGCCAUGGGAACGAAGCCAGAGUCGGCGGACGUUGAUCUGGACAUCAUGAGCUGGUGCUUGAUAUGGAUAAUCAGGUUGUUCUUACUGAGUAGGGAAGAUGAGGUCACUGCCAUUGUUGAGUCCAUUUUCAAGAACUGUCACUUUCUUUAUUCUCAAUGCUCAACAAAAGGAAUAUCACACGGAAAUGAUGAAAGCAAAAGAAGAUCCAACAGCAAACCCACCGACAGAAAGAAAAAAUAAAAAAUUAAAAAAUUAAAAAAAAAUUAAAAAAAAUAAAAAUAAAAAAGAGUCACUCACGUGGACCCUUGGUAUAUUUAUCUAUAUGUAUAAUACACUAUAUUUAUCUGCUUUUUUAUUACUAACCAUUAACAAAAUGGACCCUUGGUAAUACUAAACAUAUUAUCAGUGGGAGACCGUUACUAAUACUAACAUUUUUCUUAUUUUAUUCGGUGGUGGUUUUAACCUCACAUUUAUUUUAUUUACUGUAUGGUGUAGGUUUAUUACCCAUACAACCAGUAUUUAUUUAAAAGGGUGGUGCGGGUUUAUCAUCCACGCCUUUACUUUUAUUUAAAUGUAUGGAGCAGAAUUAGUGCCCAUACAAGCACAAUUUACUUUACCGCACAUUUAAUUUUAUUUAAGGUAUGGUGCGGGAUUAACGUCCAUACAGCAAACAAUUUAAUUUACCGCACAUUUACAUUUAUUUAAAAGGGUGGUGCGGGUUUAUCGUCCACGCCUUUACUUUUAUUUAAAUGUAUGGAGCAGAAUUAAUGCCCAUACAAGCACCUUAACUUUAUGAAUUUAAUUUACCGCACAUUUACAUUUAUUUAAAGUGUGGUGCGGGUUUAUCGUCCAUACCAGUAAUUUAUUUACCAGCAAGUUAUUUUAUGGAUUAAAUGUGCUGUAUGAUGAGUUUUUUUUUUUUUACAGUAUACAGAUCAGGACCAGAAGUUCCUUGAUCCUCAUCAUACAAUUACAUCAGGACUUGAAGAUCCUUGAUGAUGAUGUUAAUAUGAGAGCUGGCAGUCUCUCCGGUACUAUAUUUGUAAACAUGUGAUCGGACUUGAGGGUCCUUGAUCCCUGACAUGUAAAUAAGGACCUGGGGUUCCUUAAUGAUGUAACAAGUACCGUAUUGGUUCAUAAUACCGUACACAUAGAUGAUAACUGUACUGGCAAAUGUACUGGAACCUGCAGUUCCUUAAACUCAUGGAUGAGCAAUUAAAUGAGAUGCCAGAAGUUCCUCAAAAUAUGGACAAUUAUGUAAGGACUUGAAGUCCAGAAAUAUGUACAGAAAAUUGUAAAAAUGUCCAUACCAUGAGAAUACGUGAUUUUGGCCCGAAGUUCAAAAUCUAAGGGAAUUGAAUGUCCAUACCAUGAGAAUAUGUGAUUUUGGCCUGAAGUUCAAAAUCUAACAGCGUUGAGAACCUGAAGUUCCAACAAUUAAAUGGACAACCCUUGAUGUAUUAUUGCAAAUUGUGGUACGCCACAUAUCUCUUUGGCAUAAGAGAAUGAUGAAUUGAGGCUCCCCACAUAUUUUGUUAUAUCUGGGCCGGAAGCUCUUGAACCCAAAUAUAUGAGAUAUUAGCGUGGCUUUUACUCAAUUCAUAUUUCAUGUCCAUUUGAAAAGGGCAAAUAAAUUCUGAUUUUGUGUUUAGCCCAGGCCAAAAGUUCCGGGCUCCCAUACGUUGAAAUAUGAAAUUUGGGAGAGUCGAUGUGGUUAUUUGAACCUAUAAGGCACAAGGUUCCAAACCGUCAUUUUGAAAAGACGUAAAAACCACAUGUGCAAAUUUUAAGAAUGUGCGCAAUUAUUAUAACAGGAAAGGAGCAAAUUGAAACGCAGUUGCUCCAAUCAAGUUUUGUAAAGGCCAUAUCUAUAGGAGGAAAUAUGGCUACAGUUUCCAGGAUCCCAAUAUUAUCUCAAAUCCCCAUAUUAUCUUUUUCUUUCCCAGAGUCCAAAACUUCACGUGGCCUCUGAUAAUGCCUGUCGGCACUUUCGGCGUUUUCAAGUAUUAUUUUCAUCAAAAGCCGAUUUCACGGAGCUACUUUUUCAAAAGUACCCCGAGAAUCUCGCAAUUUUCCUAUGGUUAAUUUGAAAUUCACCGGUUCUACCUAUUCAUUGUAUUUGUGUAUAAAUGUGUUACUAACGAAAUUUUCUUUGCAGAAGACAUCCAGUUUUCUCCAUACCUAGUGAUGCGAUAUCUACUUGUUUUUCUUAUCAGUGAGCACUUAAUAUGCCCGAGAAGCAAGACUAUCUCUGAUCAUCCAUUCAGGAAGCGAGACUAUCCCUGAUCACGUUUCCGCUACAUCAGGAAACUGUGAAGGCGAUCUUAUGCUCUAAUCUCCGGAAGUCCUUCUAGACUAGGAGAUAUGAGAGCCUAUUGUCUGCUCCCACCAGCUUCCUUCCCUGAUUGCUUACCUUCUUUUUUUUUUGCAUUUUUUCUCUUUCUGUAAUUCUCUGAGAAUUAUUUGUUUUUGACAGAGAAAAGAGUUGUGAUUUUACUAUUGCAGGAUAUAACUAGAUCAUCAAGCGCUACAUUUACUGGGCCGAUACAAGCUUGAAUGAUACUUGAGAAAAGUUUCUCCCACCUAAGGAUGUAAGCAAUACUUGUGUUAUUUUUUGCUUAUAUACUUAUUUGAUAUUUUAUCUUGAAAGGUAACCAAAUGGGAAGAUAAGUCCGUUCCAAAAGAAUGGCUUGUAUGUAUCCAUGAAUUAUUAAUGCAAAUUUUACAGAUUGUAAGUUGGAUACAUUGAUAAUACACUGCACAGAUUAAAGUCCCAUAAGAACAGAAUAUGGGUAUAGCAGUGAUCAAUAUGAUGCACGCCUGUUGCGUAGCAAAUGAUGUGGAUUGAAGUCCCGAAAGGACAAUCCUUUGACAUGUCAAUAUUGAUAUUAUGCACGCCUAAUGCGUAGCAAAUUAUAUGGGUUAAAGUCCCAUAAUAUGGGUUAAAGUCCCAGAAAUUAAUUGACAUGUAUGUAUUAAUCUGUGGCAUGCCUGCAGCAUGACAGAUAUAUGUAUCCAUGAAUUAUUAAUGCAAAUUUUACAAAUUGUAAGUUGGAUACAUUGAUAAUACACUGCACAGAUUAAAGUCCCAUAAGAACAGAAUAUGGGUAUAGCAGUGAUCAAUAUGAUGCACGCCUGUUGCGUAGCAAAUGAUGUGGAUUGAAGUCCCGAAAGAACAAUCCUUUGACAUGUCAAUAUUGAUAUUAUGCACGCCUAAUGCGUAGCAAAUUAUAUGGGUUAAAGUCCCAGAAAUUAAUUGACAUGUAUGUAUUAAUCUGUGACAUGCCUGCAACAUGACAGAUAUAUGGGUUCUAAAUGUUCCAACUCUCUAAAUAGAGAUUAUCCACGCCCUACUGUAAAAUAACGCUCCAUUGGAGGUUAUAAUCCACAUUCUCACAUAAUAAAAGCCCCAUGAAGUGGCUUGGGUACCCAAAAGCAAAGAAAUGCUUAUAAUUGAUGCAUGCGCAUGCACAUGAGAAUGGUGAGAUCAUGAAUUGAUGAAUGACAAUUUUUAGUUUUGGAGUAGCUACUCAAAUCAUCAAUGGGCUGUGUUGAUUGGAACUACGUUCAAUUAUUAAAUGUCGACAAUAUCAUUGGCCAAAAUGGAACGAGGUAAUUCCAUUAUAAAUGAGAAUGAACGUGAAAGAACAAACCCACAAUACGAACCCCAAAAUUUGUUAAUACUGAAAGUUAUACUUGGGUGUUCGGAAUAAAAGGGAAUAUACUUACUUUGUAUGACACACUGUUUCUAGCAGAAACAAGGAAUGUUGGGUUUUCUCCAUAUUUACAGAUUCAAUUGUGCUCCCCUUAUUACACAAUUACGGAGACCAAUAUAUUAUCUUUAAGGGUUAUUAAAUGCACGGAGCAUAUCGCCAGAAGCGAUUCCCUAAAGAUGUAUAAAUAGCUGGGUUAAAGCUAUAUAAUGUGUCAUAAAGUUUAAUCCCUUUUAGACAAAAUCCGCUGAGAGGAUUGAUAUUGCAUAAAGCAAGUCCCUAAAGGACAUGUGCUUGAAGCACAAAAUUUGUACUCAAUAUUAAUAUGCAUAAAUUACCUCAGUGAGUACAUUGAUUAUAAUGUGAUUGCAACACAUUAAAGCUUCUGCAGAAUUCACGAAAUAUUUGUCUCGACUUAAGGAUCGAGCAUUAUACCAACGAGAUUCUUGCUUAUACUAAGAGAGUCUUAUCCGUUGGUCCUUAAAUGUUUUUCCGGAAGUAUACUAGACCAGAUAGAGCUCAGCUCCACACUGUACUCUUUUUCCUUCAUCCAGGUUUUUAUCCCAUUGGAUUUUUCCUGGUAAGGUUUUAACGAGGCAGUGUCGCUCAAGGGUUUAGGGUAUACUAUGAAAAUUUUUAUGGUCGCUUACUGGACAAAAGCUAGUCCUAAAUUUUUCAGGGGGAGAUAUUCACAAAGGAGAGCGUGGUUUUAAUAAAGACCUCCAUACACUGUACUCUUUUUCCUUCAUCCAAGUUUUUAUCCCAUUGGGUUUUUCAUGGUAAGGUUUUAACGAGGCAGUGUCACUCAAGAUUGACUCACAGAAGCAGUGUCAACUACGAUAUUCAGAAAGGUGAUCAACAGUAUGACUUAAAGAUAUUUUGCCGAGCAUCAGGGGGAGCGUACUAUCAAUAAAGAUCUUCAAACACUGUACUCUUUUUCCUUCGUCCAGGUUUUUAUCCCACUGGGUUUUUCCUGGCAAGGUUUUAACGAGGCAGUGUCGCACGCGCGUCAAUAUACACAGAAUUUUAUGUUACACAUGAUUAUGUACUCUUUUUUCCUUUGACCAGUUUUUGUCCCACUGAGUUUUUACUGGCAAGGUUUUUAACGAGACAUAUUCCAUAUCAUUUGUGGUCUCCAAGGGGGAGUGUUGUAAAUAUAUAAGGUGGAGCCCACAUCCAAUUGGGAGAGGCUUUGCCUAUAAAAGGGUUCACACCCUUCAUUGUAAACACACACUUGAAUGAGAAACAUUCUCUUCAGAUUUCUAUGCUUGAUCCAUCUCAAUCCCCUCUACAAUUUCCUUUUGAUUUAUAACAUAUAUAUAUGUAGCGGCGGACCUAGAAAUUUUUCAAAGAAGGGACAAUAUUUAAAAGUCUAAAAUGAUUUUUAAAAAGGCUAAAAACACUAUAUUAAUCACAUUAACCAAUUCACCAUGUUAAUUAUAUACAAAUAAACACAACAUUGAAAUAUUAAUCAUUUAAUCAAACCACAACAAUCUUUAUUAAUUAAUUACAAACUAAAAAUAUAUACAAAAAAAUAAAUUCAAAAAAAUCAAUACAAAAUAACCAAAACAAAAACUCUAAUCAAUUAACCAAAACCCAAUAAUCCAUCCUAAUUAAUUAAAGCAUAAAGAGAAAUAACUUUGAAAUUUGAGAGAGAAAUUAAUUUUCCAAACAAAUUGUGGAGGGUUGGUCCAUUGGUGGAUGGCUUAUCUCUUCUGGUUUUAGAGCUGCCAUGGCUUAUGCCCACUUCACAACCCUUCUUUUGCCUCUAAAACAAAUGGGUUUCCAUCAAAUGAAUAAAAGAAUACAGAGAUGGAGAGAGAUCCUUUCAGGGUGUCGUUGCUGAAUGAAUGUAAUGGAAUUUACUUAUACCAAUUUGAGAGAGGGAGAGAUAGUCAAUGAUAAUGAAAAAAGCACAAAGAGAAAAGCUAAUGGAUGAUGAAGGCAAAAGAGGAUUGAGAAAAAAGGGAUGUGGUUGGGGAGUUGGCCGGUGUGGGUAGUGGUGGCCCUUUCUUUUUAUUUCUUUUUAUUUUUUUUUAUUAUUUUGGUUUCACUUGGACCAAAACUAUGCGUUUUGGACAUAUCACUUUCAAAAAAAAAGAACCCAAACAGCCUUGCGCGCUGCAGCCUACGCAAAGAGCUGCUGCCUGGAGCUUCUUUGGAGCAAAUAAUCGAACAGUUGGUGGGCAAUAGAAGAGGGGCAUUUCCAGCUUCUCAAAGUGAUUUUCCGGCGAAAGGAGGUGCAAGUGCACCUCCUUGCAUCUCUGUAGAUCUGCCAGUGUAUAUAUAUAUAUAUAUGUGUGUAAGUAUAUAUAAACAAAUGAACCUGCAUGUGCGGCUAGGUACUCAAGCUGAAGCAUUCCUCAUCCUAUUAUAUAUAUAUAUUUGAAAUUUAAUAUAUAUUAUAUGGGUGACAAUAUAAGAAAAAUCGGAGGCUCAAGUUCAAGACACCAACCCAAGUUCAGGAUUUUUCGAGGAUUACAUGCACGUGACGGAGGCUUUGCAAGGGAAGAAAUCAAGGAGGUUGAUAAUAAUUUCAAAUGUUCCAAAGUAAUAAGAAAUAAUCAAGCAUGUCAAACUAUCUCCUUCAAUGCAAUCCCACGAAUUUAGGGGGGCCUCAGAAGGAAGGAAAUUUUAAAAGAGUUGACCUUUGGCCAUUCAAUGGCCAGCCCAUUGGCUGACGAAUGCCCUAUAUAAACCUUGCUCAACAAAGGCAGAAGACACAACAUCAGACAAACAAACUUAUCUUUUAUCUCGCACUUUUCUUUUCCUAGACUUAGAAUUUUACUUUUCAAGCACCUAGUGUAGUGAGUUCUUCCUUUUUUUAGUGUAAGUAUAUAUUUUUCUUGUCAUUUAAAUUCUUGUUUGAUUUAUAUUUCUUGUCAUUUAAAUUCAAGUUUAUUUCCAUUCCUUUAUAUUUCAUUGUUAUCGCACUUCAAUUAAGUUUAAUUUCAAGUUUGUUUAUUUUAUCGUUCUUAGCGUUCUUAUCGCUUUUAUUUCGUUCUUGCUUUAUUUAUCGCUUUGAUUUAUUUUAUCGCACUUCAAUUCUUGUCUUUACCUUUAUACACAUAUUUAGUUUAAUUGCAUUAUUUUUACAUAAAACUCUAAAAAUCACAAAAACAUUCGUAUGAAACCUAACCAUCCUCGAGCUAGAGGAAGUGAAAGAAUCUAGGCCAAGAGGAGGUUACUUGCUUGGCCGAUCAAUCGUUUGGUCAGAAGUUAGAAGCGCAACACAUCCAUCUAUUCUUAUUCCAUCCAAGCCCAAAUUCGGAGUUUGGUGGUGGCACACCCUGCACUCCAAAAAAGAAGGAUCAAAAGUUCAUUCCGUUAGCCAUCCCGGCCAAAAAAAGGGAACAGAGACACUUUUGAAUCUUUGAAGUGCCUUAAAAAGUAUUAUGAAUAGCACUAUUGAAUGUUUGGAAGAUUGUUUGGUGCUAAGAAUUUCGUGGGAGGUUGACCCAUGGAUAUGGUUGGUACAAAACACAUUAAUGAAAAAUAGGGAUAAGCACAAAUUGUGGGAGGUGAAGAUAUUAUCUUCCUUAAGAGAUUGAAAGGAAUCAAUAUCAUACUUUAUCUAGUUUCCUUUUUCUUUGCUUGAGAGCUGCAUAUGAUAGAUCUUUCAAAUAAACUUAUUUGAGGGGUAUUUUUGUAGAGCUCACUUUGUAUUGUAUUUGAACAAUUCAAACUAUCUAUUUAAUAGAUUAGAGUGCUACUAAACGAACCUUAAUAUUAAUUGAAUACACCAUACUACUAAACUAUUUAUUAAAUUACUAAUUUACCCUAAUAUAAACUAAAAAUAAUAUAUAUUGAAUUGUGAAACAAAUGUGAUUUUAAUAAGUGCACCUUACUAACGCAGAUCCUCUGGUUGUUUUUUUCUCAAUUUGUUUGACUUUUCUUUUAAGCAUCCCACAUCAUUUAAAAAAAAUAUCUAAAACAUGACACCCCAUAUUUUUGCCUACAAUCUUCUUCUCCAUCUUAGCAUUUGGACAACCGAACUCUUUUCUCUCUCAAAACCAAGCUCAGUAGAACCUCUUCUCCUUUCAAUCAGUCUUCUUCGCCAAACAUAUAAUUUUUUCAUUUUCCUCAUCUUUCAAUUCAGGAAAUUUCCUAUAAUAUUUGAAGCCCCUUGUGAAACUUGUUUUCUCCUAUUUACCCCCACAAAAGUAGCCACACGAAUCAUAUUGGGACUUAAUUAUAUCAGCAAGCAAGGCAAUCAAAGUUGUUUUUUGGUUUCAUAUAUUGGAUUCAAAAAACAAAAAAUUAUUUUUAAAAAAUCAGAAAGAGAAAAAUUAAAAAACAGACCGCAUGAAAUACUGUGUUUCUUGGGAAAAAAAAUUAAAAACCCCCGAAGCUGCAAAAUUGAGUGUUUUAAUAAGAAUGAUUCCCUUACUGAGUAUUACUUAUUAUUUGAUUUAGGAUCAAUAUCAAAGAAUUCUAUUGAACGUUUUUGUGCUAUUAGUUAUAUUUAGGAUAUAUAAAAAAGAACAAUAUUGUCCAGAUUGUACAGUAAAGACUUUGAGAAUCAAAGUAUGGGGAAAGGGAUCGUGGGGAGAUGAAUGUUGUUGGUCUUUUUUUGAAGAGGUAGUGUAUUAGGGUGUAUCAAGAGUAUUUUUGGUAGUUAAAUAGGGUGUACUUUGUUAAUUUUACAUUUUAAUUAGGGCAUACUCAGUAAAUUUUAGAGUUCAUUUAGCAACACUCAUAGAUUAUCUCUUUAAAAAAAUCACACAAAUUAACGGGUAUUUUUGUAGAGCUCAAUUUGUAUUGUAUUUCAACAAUUUGAAUCGUCUAUGUCAUUGAUUAUAUCGCUUUAAAAAACCACCCGAAUUGAAUAUUUUUAACCAUUUGAUUGAAUAGUAGUCAUUUAUUAAGUGUGUGUCUAUUUGUCUCAUCACAUUUAUAUAUGUUUGAAUGGUUUACAAUUUGUUCAAAUAAAUGAAAUGCAAAGUGGAUGAACCCUAGAAAGUGUCGUAUUUGAAAAAUAUAUAAAUAAAAUGAUAACCUUACACAUAUUUGUUUAUUUUAUAUAAAUAUCACCACAAACAUAGAAUAAACAGUUGCAAAACAACAGAAAACUUCUAAUACUCAAAAAACAUCCUUUAGCUUACAUGAUAGAAACAGAAACUGCCUUUUUCCACAACACUUCUAUUCAACUGAGCAUCUUAUAUCUUCUUCAGUUGCAUUAUUUGCAAAAUUUGUUCCUCUGUUUGCAAAUAUGAAGCAUUUUUCAAACAUCUAGCAUAUUGCUGAAACAUCUAUCACUAGAUCACAUCUUACAAAAGUUAUUCUUCUGUAUUUGUUGUCGCUACUUCUCUUCUAAUUAAUAGUCUAAUCAAUCUAAUAGGGUUUGCUGUUGCUAUUCCAAAAGAGUUCAAGCCAGACAACCUGCGUUAAAAUUUACUUUGACCAUUGACGCGUUGAGUUAGAAACUUUCCUUUUCCUUGGUUCAAAUUUAGGGAAGGAAGAUAAAAAGGAAAGCUCAACAAUUGCACCUAUAAGUUCCUCUUAACUUUUGACUAUUUUGGGAUUUUUUUAAAUUGUUAUAGCAACAAAAUAAUAAUAAUUUAUUUUGAUAAUUUUAAUUUUUUGAAGGGAAAAAUUCUUUUGAUAAUAAAACCUACGUGUCUUUUAUAUCACAUCACCAUCUUUUAAGUUAAACUUUAUGUGUCGUAUUGAUCACAUUUGCUAACUCAUCGAUAAAUAUAAUUCUCUCACUUUAUUAAGAAAUAUGACCCACGAAUGAUGAUGGGUAAUGUGAAACUAUAAUAUGCGCACACACACACACACACCAUUUCUAUAAGGAUGAGAAAUUGCCAAGUCAGUCUAGUGCAUCUGAUACCAGUGCUGAUCUUUUUGCUUUCUACUUCAACUCUAUAUUUCUUCUUUGUUAUUUUCUUACAUGAAUAAAAUUCUUUGAUAUUGCAAGGAAAGUUGUUUUCUUCUCCUUUUGUCUUCUAUUUUUUUUAAUAAUAAUAAAUUUCCUUGAAAAGUGAUUACAUAACAAACAAGAGAGAGUAUGCAAGAGAGGAGGGGCUAGCCUUAAAUAUAUUUUAUAUAACAUAAGAAGUGAUUUGUACAUAUAAUUACAAGCGGACACAUAGACAUUGAGGUGCAGAAAAUAAGCUAGCUUAGACUGUAGGCUAGCUAUCCAAACCACUUCUACAUCUGCUAUACAUACAUAUACUAUAUUACAGAGAGCUUCAUUAGUUAACUAAUUACUUAUACCAAACUAAGUUGGUAAUAAUUAGCGGCGAACCUUGGGGUACUCUCUUAUCUCUAUCCCCCCAAAUAGCAGGGCUGCGUCCUUGCUAUUAAGAGCAGCCUGAUCAUUCCUAAGAGGAGCUGGUUGUCUCCCGGAACGAGCUUGUUGGUCUUGAGAAAAUGGAGAGCUCUUGCCGGGCUGGCCACAGAACUUGUCUAGCAUGGCAAAAGCCUCCCUUCCAAGCCUUGCUAGCUCUUCCUGAGUUGCCAUAAUAAUAUUGCUAAAAUUUAGUACAAGCACACAAAACACAGAUGCACGAAGCAGGUCAGGUAAUUUGGUUUGCCUUUGUUUUCUUGGUAACAACGGUUUGCGGCCACGCCCCAUUAUGUAGGAGUUAAAAAGGCGACUAUGGAAGAUUUUUUGUUGCUAAGAAUUUCGUGCAGGUUGACAGACGGAUAUGGUUGGUACAAAAAACAUUAAUGAAAAAUAGGAAUAAGCACAAAUUGUGGGAGGUGAAGAUAUUAUCUUCCUGAAGAGAUUGGAAGGAAUCAAUAUCAUACUUUAUCUGGGUUUACUUUCUUUCCUUGAGAGCUG